rnacentral:lncRNA from 1 species
UUCAACUUUCGCUUUCUCUCACUCGCUUAGACAACCAAAAACCCUUUCCAAUUCAAUGAUUUCAAUUUUAUUUUUUCUUCUUAUUUCGGCUUUUCUCAUGCAGCCACUUUGAGCAAAAUAUUUCUCUCAAAUUUCCCACCCGCCACCUGCAUUUUUCCUUUUCCAGCCAGCAUAGUUCUGGGAUUGUACGUAAAUUAGAGAAGAUUUCGUGCUGAAAAAGUGAGAAAUUUAGUUCACAAUGACUGGGAAUCAAGAAAAAAUGAGGGCUUUUAGACCUUUACUUACAGUUGUAUGGAGCUUUCUGUUGGCUUCAAUAUUUGUUUCAGCUGAAAUAGGAAGCUCAAAGCAGAAACUUUUAGCACAUAAUGCAAAUGGGGUUUCACAUUCUGAUUCUUAUUCAGAUGUUUUCACAAAUUAUCUGAGUUUUAUAUGGCAAUCCAACAAAUCAGGGUACCAGCACGUUUGGCCAGUGAGUCAUUGAUUCUGUUGCUUUCUAAUUUUCAAAUUCAAUUUGUUUUGUGCUUUAAUGUAUUUGAAUUAAGUUCUAUCUAAUUUUACUUUCCUACAUAUUUUUGCUUGACAUGCUUGUUUGUUGGGUACUUAUUGAUAAUGGAUUUUAGAGGUUGGGAUAGAUAAAUUGGAUUUAUUUAUUUAUUUAUUUNAUACUUUUAUUUUCGUUAAAUAGGUGGAGUUGGCAUUUCAAACGCGAUUGGAAAGAUUGAGAGGCAUGAAUACAUGGGAUUUGCGAACCUCUGCAAGUAUAAAGAUUAACACACUGCUUCUAAUCCUUGCUGUUUUAAUGUCCUCGUCCCUAUACCCAUCCUAGAAUUGGCCACUAGGCUCGUGUGUGAGCUCAGGAGUACUUGCUCUUGUAGAUCAGUUGUAAGAUUAAUUUUAUCAAUGCAGUUUGUUUUGACUGUCUUUUAGCUCUUUGUUAUGUUUAACCAUUUAUAAUCGAAGAAUAGCUCCAAUAGACUACAAAAUUUUUUCAUGGUUUGGCUUCUACUUUUAUUAUUAUUUAUAAAUUUUGAGCUAUUUGCUUAGUUAAAUGUUAAUUGAUAAAUUGUUUAUAAGACGAUUUUAAUUGCAAAAUCCAAUACUUUAUAUUUCAUUUUUCUCAAACAAAAUAAUUAUUAUUUAGUAUUAUUUAGUCCGCUUGGGUAAGUCCGCUUUGCUACCAUCGUUUGCGGUUCCUUCAUGUUCAUUUGUUAGGGAAUGACUCAUAGAGAAUAGGUAUAGUGUUGUAGAUGUUGGUGUUCAUGCUUAGGGCCUUCAGUCAAAGCACUCGGUGUGGAUUCUGCUACAAGGUGUACUUCAACUCUGUUUGGUAAAAUUUUUAAUCCUUGCGGAAUUUUGAAAACUCGAGGUUGGGUUCAGGAAUCAUUUGUCGAUACUAUGGAAAGAGAUAGAGCAUUUUUCGUAAGGUGAAGGAUUUUCGUUUUAAAUGAAAAUAUUAGUUUUAUUUCGUUGCAAUCGGACUUAUUUUUCUAGGUAGAGAAAUUUUGAAGUUUCGUUCGUUGCACUGAAAUUUGGGUCAAAGUGGAGAUUGUUAGAUUUUGUAACCCAAAUUAUGUUGGAUUUUUUUAAAAAUAUUAUUUCAUUAUUUUCAUGUGAUUUUAUUGAAAAAUAUUAUUUCCUUUAUUUCAUGUGAUUUUAUUGAAAAAAUAUUAAUUUUUUAUUCCACAUUAUUUUUGAUAUUAUUUCCAUCUUUAUGGUAUUUUUAAGAUUUGGUGUGCCUCAAUAAAUAUGUGGCUCUUUUAUUUAGUGUAGGGGAAGUAUUAUUGCUGAAGUUGUAUUAUUAUCUCUCAUUGGUUGUCAAUAAAACGCUUUGUUCCUUUACCAAUUUCUUUCUUCACUUUUAAUUUUUUUGUUUUUUGUGCAAUCAUAUACUUCAUAUUUUGUCAAUAACACCCCGGACUUUCCCGACAUUUUGAUCACCAUUAUUCGUUAUCUUCUAAAAUUAUGUAUAAAAACAAGUGUUUCAAAUUGAGUCUUGACCCAAGAGCAUGACUCUCAUGAAAUUCUGGUGAUUUGAACAUUUGAUUUUUCAAUUUUAGCUUUACUUCAUCCGAUCAUUGAUAUUACUCCAUGUUUUGACUUGAUCUGUCUGACAAAUAUACACAUGUAUUUUAUAUUGUCAUUUGUUGACUUGUUCAUAGUAUAAUUUGAAUUUCUAGUUUUGUUGCUAAAAUCCCCUUCGAGCCAUUCUUUAUUUGCUUAAAUUGUGUAUGGAUUGUAAAAAUGAAUACAUACUUUUGAACUUGGGUUUUCAAUAGGAAGAGGAUUUUCCUAUCUGACAACAACGAAGUUUCUAAAUCUACUGAAGAAAAUUAUGUUGAUUUGUUGACCGUUGAACAAAAAUCUGAAGUAUAUGAACUUGCUUAUCCUUUUAUUAUUUUGCAUCUCUGAUCAAGUUUUGAGAAAAGAAGAACUUUAGCUGUUUAAAUCCCUACCAAAUAAAUUGCCUUUUAGGUAGUGCCUUUUUUUUUUUUUUAAAAAUCAAUUCCUCUUAAGAAUUAGAUGAUAAUUUGAAUGCUUUUAAGAUAUUAAUCCUUGUUUGGGCUCCAUUCUAAUGAAAAUUUUGGGGAAAAUGAGUUUUGAAUUUUUUUUUUUUUUAAAGAAUGAUGGUUAAAAAAUAAUAAAAAGUUUUUGAUUCAUCUAUAAUAUUAUUUUAUAGAAGAAAGUGUAAGUGAAAAUAAUUUUUUGAAAAAAAUGGGAGCCAAACAUAGUCAUAGUUCAAGACAUCACAAACACUAAGAAGAAUAUAGGAAGUGAUUAUUUUCAUCCAACGUUCUUAUAUAUAUAUAUAUAUAUAUGAAUUAUCUCCUAUGUACUAAUCAUAACUUAUGUUAAGCAUCGGUGACAUAUCACACAAUUUAAUUGGUGAAUAAUUAAAUACAUGAGACUUACCAUUAACUAAUUUACCAAUUAAAUGGUGUGCUAUUUCUUCGAUACUUAAUAUAAACUAAGUACCAGUACUUAGAAGAUCAUUUAUGUACCUAUUCAAAUUUUAAAUUUUAAAAAAUUCUAUAUUCAUCCACCUUAUAUACAAAUAUUAUCCUUAUUAAAUUUAUUAAUUUAAAUAUUAUAUAUCUACAACAUUUUUAUAUAUUUGUCACAUUGUACAUCUGUCUAUUACAAUUUUAAAAUUUUUAAAAUUUUUAUAUUUAUCACCAUUACAUUUGAACAUUAUUGUUAUUAAAAUUACUAACUUUUUUCUUUUAAUAUGUGAGUAUUCCAUGAAGGCAAACGACAUGCAUAUAAAUACUAAACUCAUUACAUAGUCAAUCCAAUAACACUGCAAGUCAAGUCACAAUAUUUUGUACUUUUUACUAUGAUUAUCGACAUGAAACAGAAAUAUAUAUUAUAAGUGGCACUAUUUGGUUUAUUUAUUUGUUUUUUUUUUAAUGGCGUUCCUAGUUCCAACUCCUCUAGAAAAAUGAAUAGAAAAAUGCUACAUUGUCAAAAAACUGGUGAUCAAUAUCCUGACAGAACACUCACAACAAGAGGAGGGCUCUCUUUUUUUUUUUUUUUUUUGGAAAUAUUAUAUUCAUGCGGGUCUCAUGACAAUGUGAGUGUGUCAUCCCUUGUGUCAAAAAUUUUCUGGCAUUGUAGCUUUUUUUCGAAUGAAUAAUGGUACUAACCAAUGGCUUCAGCUUAACCACGUGGUGAGAAGCCAGCAGCUAUCGCAAUAAAUCUCCGAUGAUUCUGCUGCUGGAUUUGCUCAGAUUAAGAACUUGAUUUGAAUCGAUAUAAAAUUGUUCCCAGCCCUCAAAAUAAAUGAGAAAUAUAAAGUUGUCAUUAUUCUCAAUUCUAUUCCCGAGGCUUAUAAAGAUGUAAAAAUGCUAUUAAGUUUGGAAGUGACAUUCUUAUCCCUAAAAUGGUCAUUAACUCUUUAAGAAUUUGAAAAUGGAGUUAAAAUCAGAGAAAAUUGAGAGUGGUAAUUAUGAAAGUUUGUCUUUUAGGGGGUAGAUUACGAUAAAAGGCAAAAUGGGAAUCAGGAAAAUCAUAAUAUAUAUAAAAUGUGGUUGGUAGUGUUUGAAGAAAAUGAAAGUGUAACAUUAAAAUUUGCAAAUGGAUAUAUCUACACUCUUGAAAGAGCUAGAUAUAUUCUAGAUUUAAAUAGAAAUGUAAUUUUAAUGGGGAAUUUAUAUGACAUAGGAUUGCAAUGUAAGAUUGAAAAUGGCAUAUGAUAAGUAUGUUUUGACACACUUGUUUUUGAGACUUAAAACUAGUUAAUUAUUGAUUAAACGAGCGAAUUAGUACUCACAGUCGUGUUAUUAUUGUCUUUUACAGGUCAUAACCCCCAAUUGAAAGAGAACAAUGCAAAAGAAGAGAAAAAUGAUGAGUAGUGUACAGAACAUGAUUUUGAGGACAAAAUGUAGAAGAGCUGAAAGUUAAUGGACCUUGGAUUCAAUUUAUCGGGGGCAUAAUCAAUAAAAAAGUCAAAAUUUGAGACCAAAAUAUAUAUGAUCAAAGUUGAGGGAAACGACGUGCAAUUAAUAGAGGACUUUUAUGAAAAAGGGGAAAUUGCAUGGUGGACUUGACACUGCGUGGGCUUAGGGAUGGCAGAAAAACCUGCCCCGAAUGGGGCAAAAAAAAAAAAUAAAAAAAAUUCGCAAGAAUAUCCAGUUGAACCGUUACCAAAUGCGGAUGAAAGGCCAAUAAACCUAAGUGACGAUGAACGUUAUAUUGGAAAACUAUCUUUCGGAAAGAGGAAAUUGACUUCAUCCGUUUGGGAGCACUACAAAAGACAAAUAAAUAAAUAAAUAAAUAAAUAAAAAAUAAAAAAGAAGAUAGAGAGAGAGAGAGAGAGAAAAAAGAAAUUAUUGAGAAUUGGAAAGCUAUAUGCAAUUAUUGUAAGAAAUAGUUAGGGGUAACACAAAAAAUGGUACAAAGCAUUUGCAUGAUCAUUUGAAGAGAUGUGUAUUCCUUUAUAAAGAUAAUACUCACAAAGUAACAUUAAGUUUCAAAAAGAAUGCCAUGAGUAGCAAGGUUACAAUGGGUACUUACUCUUUCGAUCCAAAUAAGUGUAGAUAUAGUCUCUUGAAAAUGGUGAUUUUCCAUGAGUAUCAUUUGUCUAUGGUUGAUCACAUUGGAUUUCAAGAGUUUUUGCAUGACUUACAAUCAUUGUUUAAGGUUUUUUUCACAACACUUUGAAGAGUGACAUUUUGAAAAUAUAUGAACAUGAGAGAGCAAAAAAUAUUAUUGCACUUGAGAAGAUUGAGAGUCGAAUUUCGAUACCGUCAAGUGGACCUCUUCUAAAAAAAAAAGGAUUCAUGGUUAUCAUUGAUCAUUUCGUAGAUGAUGCGUGGAAACUAUAGAGUCGAAUCAUGAGGUAUAAUAAAAUAUUACAUUCACUUGUUUUCAUAAUUUAUCAAAAUGAUAUUCUUUAGUUGAUUUAAUUUGUUCUUGAAUGAACUCAAGUUUAUAUAUGUGCCAUGUCCACACACUAUUGAUGUGCUUUCAGAAACUCUAUUGAGCAGCUUGAUGGAUUGGAAUAUUGAUCGUAAAUUACUAACUUUGACAAUAAAUAAUUGUACCACAAAUGACGCUUUUGAUCAGUAUUAUGUUAAGUCAACUUUGUACUCAUUCUCUUGUACUGAAUGAUGAAUUUUUUCAUAUGAGGUGCUGUGCACACAUAUUAAAUCUUAUUGUGAAAAAUGGAUUGGACAUUAUUUGUGGUAGUGUUGAGAAAAUUCGUGAUAGUGCUGCUUAUUGGACAGCCACACCAAAUAAAUUUGAAAAAUUUGAGCUUUCUGCACGUCAAUUGAAAAUUGAUUGUGAGAAAAAAUUGGUGCUUGAUUGUAAAACAAGGUGGAAUUCGACGUAUUUGAUGCUUAAUACUGCUUUGAUUUAUAAGGAUGUUUUUCCCUCGUUUGAAACAGAGGGAGUCACGAUAUAAAUGUUUUCCUAGUGAUGAUGAUUGGGAUUUGACAAAAGAAAUAUACGAGAAGUUAAAUGUUUUUUUUGAGGUUACUGAAUUGUUUUCAGGAACAAAGUAUCCAACUACUAAUCUCUUAUUUGCAAAUAUUUGGGAUAUCAAUCUAUCAUUGUAUGAGUGGCUUGAAUCUCCUUAUGUGGAAGUUCAAAUAAUAGCAACCAAUAUGAUGGAAAAGUGUAACAAGUACUGGAGCGAUAUUCAUGGAGUUUUGACUUUAACAGCAGUGUUGGAUCCGAGGUAUAAGAUGAUGUUAGUUAAGUAUUAUUAUCCUCGUAUUUUUAAUCACAAUACUACAAGUGAGAUUGACAAAAUAUAUCAAAUUUGUUGCAAGUUGAUGCACGAUUAUUAGAAAAAGAAUGAUUUAAGUGAGUUUGUAGCUCAGUCUUCUACUUCUUCUUGUCAAAGUGAGAGUUAAGUGUUAAUAAUAAUUUAGAUCGCUUGGCGGAUUUUUAUAAAUUUGUUUCUAAUGUUGAAGCUCCUAGUAGUGUGAAAAUUGAGAUGAGCCUCUAUUGCCUCGGUCGGAUGAUUUUGAUAUAUUGACAUGGUGGAAAGUAAAUGCAAUCAAAUAUCCGACUUUAUCUCAAAUUGCAAAAGACAUUUUGGCCAUCCUAGUAUCUACUAUGGCAUCCGAAUCUGCCUUCAGUAUUAGUGGUCGAUUUGUUAGUCCACACAGAAAUAGGCUUCACCCCAAAACUUUGGAGGCUUUAACGUGUGCUCAAGGUCAGUUAUGGGUCGAUAUUCAUGGUACGAUGUAUAUAAAUAUUUGCUUUUUAUAUUAUUUCUUUUAUGAAUUCUCUUAUUACUAAUUAUUUUAUUUUAAUAAUAACGAAUUUUGUGUCGUUUGCAUAUUUUGGAAGUUGCUCCAAGAUGAAUGAUGAGGAGGUAAUUUUAUUUAUUCCAUAGUUUAAAUUUUAAUCAUAGUUAUAAUGAUGUUAUUGAGUAUAAUAUUUUUUUUAUUUUUCAGGAUCCAUCAUUUACAAUCACAGAACCUGCUAUGAAUGAAGUUAAAUAGUAGGAAAAAUAUCAGAUUUAUUUUUGGAUAAAGAAGUGAAAUUUAGUUACAGUGUAAUUGUAUUUGUAAUUGUUUAUUUUCGGAUAUUGUUUGUUUUCGAGUAUUUAAUUUGAAUGUUAGUGUUUUUAAAUUGUGAUUUUGAAGGGAAAAAAAAAAUAGAGGCAUAACCCCGCCCCACCCUACGCCGUCUAAGGCGGGGGAGGCCGGGUCACUUUGCCCUGUACUCACCUCAUUGCCAUCACUACGUGGGCUCAACCAGCCCAAGGGCAAAAGGCCUUUUGGCUAGGAGACGCGUUCUCGUAGCUGUUAUGGGAAUAGAAAUUUCUUCUUGCCAGGCAUGUUCGUAUGGCUGUUAUUGGAGCAGAAAAUUCUAUCCCAAUUUUGUAAAUUUUGGUUCAUUUUGGGAGGUAUUUUGGGGAAUUAGUUGUGUUUCAGUCAUUUAAAAACCUAGUUUCAACCAUUUUUCACAUUAUUCAUUGUUCCGUUAAUUCAAAUAAUUAGAGGUAAGAACUAGGGCACAAGAAGGCAAGAAGAAAAGGAGGAAAACAUAGAAAAGUGGAAAAUUUUGGGUAAAAAUCCAGACCAAGCUAAUUUUCAUUUCAAGAAUCUAACUAAGGGACGGGUUUUACAUUUUAUCUUACGAUCCUUCCUUUCUUCAAACAGAAGGAACAGAGAUAGAAUCGGACCAGUUCUUGAAACUAAUUUCCUUGGAUUGAUUUGUUACCAUGAGCAUUUCUUAACUGGACAAUCUGUCCUAUUGAAAAUACUAGUAAAAGUGAAGAUACGAAUAUAAAAGCUAAAAACAUUCAUUGUCGGAGGAGGAAUCAACUGAGAUCCACUCAAAUUGGGCAGAAUUUUAUUUUUUUUGUUGAAACUAUAUAGUAGUACCAUUUUACCAAUACCAGCUCCUCCAAAUAGUCUGAUUUUUUUCCCCACGGCGAUAAGAGACCAAAACAUCUACUACUUAUGGUUGCUAAUAUGUCUCGUGGUAACAAAAAUGUAUUGUUCUAGGGUAUAUCAAGUUCAUGAAUCCCAUUUUGAACAAUUUUUCGUAAGAAAAGAAUUUUAUCUUUAUCUCUGAGCCUCCAUGGGAGGCUUGCACAACGAGUUAUUAACUCUGUGAUAGAGCGCGCCUAUGAUAAUUGAGUCACUAGUAGUUGAGUACAGACUUAUCUUCCUCCCCACAUUGAUAGAAGUAGACAAACAGGAAUUUCGUUUAGUUGCAUCAACACGGAUUAGUUUUUUUAGAAAGGUAUGGAAUGUAUCGUCAAAUAUUCAAUAUGAUUCCACAACGCAAUGGAUGAUUGAUGCCAUUUUCUAUCAAUAAAUGUGUCCUUCCUUAUUCCUCAUUACAAGGCCUAUUCAUCAAAAUUUUCCUUAUUUCUUCUUUUGUUAUCAAUUAUUUUCUCUAACUUGUAUUGUAGUCCUUUAACCCUUCUUCUUUUUAUCAUUUAUAUACAAUGAGUUAAGUUAUUAAUGUUUGGAUGAUUUAUGUAACUUAAUCUAACUUAAUUAAUUUUAAUAUUUGCUCUUAAUGUUAAAAUACUUAUGUUCUUGUGUAUUUACUAUUGUAUUUAGUGCUUCUUAUUUAUAUGGUCAAUAAAUGAUUACAUUAAGAUUGUGUUUGAUUGACAUGGAAAAUAUUACCUAAAAAAGAAAAUGUUUUCCAUUUUUUGUGGAAAAUAAAAAUCACCUCUACCCAAGGAAAAUAUUUUCCUUAAAAAUAAGGAAAAUUAGGCAUAUUUUCAAAAGUUGGAAAAUAUUUUCCAUGGAAAAAAAUAGCAAUCAAACAUUUCAAGUAGAAAUUUGGGUGAAAAACUCUUAUUUUCCAUGGAAAAUAAAUGUAAUCAAACACACCCUAAGUGAUUGUAUAAUUGUUGAGAGACAUGCAUUUUAGACUAAAAUAUUAAAUACUCUAGUUUCUUGCUAGAGAUAGAAAAUAUACUCCUAACCAUAUGUGAUUAUUGAACUAUUUUCGUAGAGAUUUAAUGCGAUUGAUUGAGCUUUAAUCGAUAUAGAGAAAUAAUAGGUUAAACUAAUUAAUCUAAUUUUACUCAAUAGAGACAAAUAGUUAAAAUUGAAAAUCGAGUUAAGUAAUUAAGUAAUUUGCCUUUUGGCAUAUUGAAAAAUUAAUUAGACGACAAUUAAGUGAAAUCAUGAAUCCCAACUAUUUUAUCAUAAAAAAUAUCAACAUCUUUUAAAUUUGAUAUUUUUGUUGAACUUAAAGCUAUUUCUCUCUUACUUUAAAAAUCAAAUUCAAUUGUUUGUAUUCCGUUGUUAAAAUUAAAUUAACUAUCAUGUAAUAAAGGAAAAAUUUCUCGUGAGAAUGAUAACUUGAGCUCAUGCGUGUGCAUAAAAUACACAUUUUUAUCGAAUAGCGUGUUAAACGUGAUAAAAGGUUCACUUGUCAUUUUCAAAGGUACCAAAAGGAAUGAAAUUUGUGUUGCUAAAGCUAAUGCAGUACUUAAUCGCACUGCUUAGGCCUCUAAUGCUGAAUUGAUGCUAUUUUAAAGUGGUACAAUAUGCUAACAUAUGUUAGUGAAAAAAGGUCUUCAAAUUCUUCGCGAACAUGAAUUGUUUGGAAAAGAUUUUAUUUGAAAAGUUUCCUUUUUUGAAUUUUUCACUUCUAUCAAACAACAUAGGCUGUAUUUUAGUCUUGAAAUACGUAAGUACAUUUCUAUUUUAGAAUAUAUACAUUCUAAUCUUAUGGUCCUUCAUCUGUUGUUACUCAAUAAGGGAAUAAAUAUUUCUUUCCUUGACUUUUCAAGGAAAGUCUGAAUUUUCUUAUUAAUCAUAAAUCAGAUACUUUUGAUAGAAAAUCAGAUUGGUUAAAAGAUUAAAAUUCUAAGAACAAACAAUGGCAUUGAGUUCUACAAUUCUAGUUUUGAUCAAUUCUGCAAACAAAAUGGUAUUCUACGAUACAAAAUGCAUCUUAUACUCCAUUCCGUACCUGACUUUGUUGAUGAAAUUUGGGUGAAAAGUGAAUUAAGAAAUUUUACUCAUUCUAGGACAAUAGGAGGCAGUGUUUAGAUUCGAUGGGAUGAGGGAGAAAAGUAAUCUAUCUAAGAUGAUUAUCAAUUAACUAAAGAUAGAAUUAGAAGAAAGAUAAGAGAACCAUCUAGAUUUAGGGAUUAUCUUUCUCUUGCUGUCCUUUCCCUUCGAGAUCUAGCCUUUUAAGAGCAUAAAUCAUAUGUAUUGCGAAAUUAUUGUUCUUUCGCUUAAAAUAACGCAAGUGCAUAGUUUGUUAACUAGUAGUAAAAUGAAUUUUUGAAUCCAUGUAUUGUGCUCACAAAGUUUGUUUUGGUUCUAGUUCGAAUUAACUUAGCUUUAACCAAAACAAUAGAAUUUUGUGAUUUUAAUAACUAAAUUGUGAUCUAAUUAUGAAUGCAAGACCUAAUAAAAUCAAUGCAGAGUUGUAAUGAAUGUAAGUGUUAUGAAAAGAUGAUGAUGAAAAGCGUACUAUGAUCCUGAAGUCCCUUGUAUAAAUCCCCUUUAACCUUAAAAUUUAUAAUUUGAUAACAUGAUUCAAAAAUGAAAAUCAAUAUUUCUAAAUUGUUUAACAAUUUUUCUCUAGUAGAAUUAAACCUAUUUUCAUAUGUGGCCCGACUAUAUUUCUAUAACGGAUGUAAACUUGCAAGAAUCCAUUAAAAACUUAUGAAUAGUUAAAGAUCAUGUAAAGUAUAGUGGUAUAUUUCUAUCCUUUAUUGGAUCCUACGACGACUAACAAUAUUUCUAACUUAUUUUCCACCUUUUGAAGGUAAAACAAGACCCAAUAUUCGUACAAUCAAUUUACACAUAAUUGUAAAGAAAAUAAUUCUAUGGAAAAUCGUUCAAUAAUAAAAAAUAUGUUUGAAUGUCAAAAGAAAUAAAAUUAAGAAUUAAAGGUUCAUAAUACAAAAUUCAUCGAAAUUCUAGUAAAAAAAUACUUAGUGUUGGGAAAUUGCCUCAAAAGUCAAAAGUUGGAGAACUUCUAUUGCAAAUAAUAAAAGGUAAUCAUUGUAUGGAAUACUUCUAAUUAAAUUUGAGAGCAGAAUCCUUACAAUACUUGAUCUCCAAAUUAUAGCCGGUUUUGGAGUUUUGCACAUAAAGAAGUCCUUGUUUGAGUUGAAAUUAAACUCUUCUACUUGGUUAUUGAUUCUAUAAAUACUGGACAUAUUUCAUUAUUUCGGGUGUGGCUUGAGAGUUGAUUUGAGAGAAAAAUAUUGUGAGUCUAGCUAUUAGAUUAUCCAGAAGCUUGCUAUUGUAAGUACUACCUAUUAUGGUUAUCUUGGAUAUUCUUAUCAUUGGGAAUAAUUAUACUUGAUUUUGAUUGUUAUCAAAGAUCUUUAUUUUUAGCAACCAAUCAAUAAAUAUGAAAAGAGAUUUGAUUUUACCAUAAAAUUGCAGAAAAUGUAAUUAAGAUAUGAUUUGGUUGAAAUUCAAACAUAAAGAUUUUUUCUUAUUGAUUCAAUGCUUCUCUUACAGCUUAGUUGGCCAUCGGGAAUUGUGUGGUGAGCAAAUCAAAGAACACAUGAAGAACGAUAGGAUUGAGUAUGCCAUUAGAUUAUCCAGAAGCUUGCUAUUGUAAGUGCGGCAAUAAUCUCUUUAUGCCUAAGUUGUAUUAAAAUUUUAUUCCUAAUUUUGUUUCAUUUUGAAGCUCCUUUUAUUUGGGUGGUGUAGUAUCACAUUCUAAUGUUUAAGUGUAUGGAUUCAAAUAUUUGUAAUGAAAUUAUCAAUUUUUAUGCAAUUCUAAAAUUUGUUCAGAAGAAGUCAUUUCAAUUUUGCGAGUCAAUUUAUAUAAAUUACUGUGAUAAAUAAAAAAUAAAAAUACCUUCGGCAAUGGUCGAAAACUUUUGCGAAAGGAUUUUUUACAAUGUCAAAAAAACGUUGCGAAAAUGUUUUUUGCAAUGUUCGAAAAAUGUUACGAAAUGGUUUGCAACGUUCGAAAAAUGUUGCGAAGAGUUUUUUGCAACGUUUGCCGUAUUCUUCUAUCCUAUGGCAAUAUCAGGAUUUGCAACAUGCGGUCAAACGUUGCAAAAUUUCUUUAACAAUGUUUUUUUGUAUGUUGCGAAAUGCUAUUUUUGUUGUAGUGACGAGUGAAUUUGAUCAUUGCUUAUAUCUUAAAAAGGAAUGAUGAAAAUUAGGUGAUUAUUUAUCUAUUGUUACAUGUAGAUGACCUGAUAUUAAUUGGUAAUGACUUGAGUAAUAUAAACAAGACUAAAAGAUCUAUAAGUAAUGAAUUUUAAAUGAAAGAUUUAUGACAUACUAGAAGAAUUUUUGGAAUGGAUAUUUCGAUAAAUAUGUCAAAACAGGUUUUAAUUUCUAAAUAAAUUUUUUGUGUAGAAAAGGAUUUAUCAAAAUUUUACAUGCAUGAUUCUAAAUUUGUAACUUUGCCACUCGUUGGACAUUUCAAAUUAAGUAAAGAUUAGUCUUCUAUUGAUAAUAUUUGAAAUAAGAUGCAAGAAAGAAGUACAUUAUGUAAGGUUAUAAGAUUUGUUACAUAUUCUAUGGUGUGUACUAGACCUGUUUAUACUAUUAGUACCCUAAGAAGGUUUUUGACUUAUCUAGAACCUAAAUACUCCAUACUUUAAAUUGUCUAUUGAGAUAUUUCGGAGGCGUCUUCACAAUUAGGUUUAUGUUUUAAUACUUGUAAUAAAGAUGUAGAACUUAAUGAUUAUUGCUUAUAUGUUUGCUUUUUGUGGAACUUGUAUUAGUUGAAAAUCUCAGUUGCAAUCUAUUAUUGUUUUAUUUACUACAAAAGUUGAGUAUGUAGUUGCAAUUGAGGCUAAAAAAGAAGUGUAAUGGUUAAAAUGUUUGUUAUCUAAAAAAUAAUGAACUCUAUAAUCUAGUUAUAGUUUACUCAACAGUCAAAUUGCUAUUGUUUAUGUAAAAAUCAUGUUUUUUAAUGAAAGAACUAAGUACAUCAAUGUGAAAUUACAUUUUAUUAGAGAUAUUACUACAAAAGAAUCUUUAUCUCUUGAAAAAAAUCCCAACUGAACACAACCCAUAUGAUAUUGGAACUAAUGUGCUGUCUCUAAACAAGUUUAAGUCUUGUUUAAAAAUGUUAAACGUUGAUACUUUCUAAGUUCUUCUUGUAACUAUAUAACUUGGUGCUUAGUGGUGAUAGAAGUUUCUGACAAUUUGAUUAAUAGUUAAUCUAAAGGACAUUUGUAAUACUAUUAGAAUCAAGGUAGAGAUCUGUUGGGAUGUGAUGUUAAUCCGACCUAACUAAGCAAUGAUGAAAGAGCAUUGGUCAAAUUGCUAUAUCUAUUUCUGGAUAAAAUCAAAGUCAUGAAGCUCCAAACUAGGAUCCAUAUUAAUGGAGUAAAUCGUGUUUCUAAAGUGCAACUUUAGUUGCCUCUUAAACUUGAUAAAGUAUUAGUUGCUCAGAAUCGUUGAUCUUAAUCGGAGAUCAAUGAUGGUCACUGAGGGUGUAAAUAAAGUCCAUCACUGUUGCCCUAAUUCAUUAGAAGCAGCUGAUUUAUUUUGGUCCAUUUCUGUAAUUUUUUGAUGCCUUGAUAAAAAGAUAUAGGGUUAUAAUUUUCUUUUAAAAUGAUCUGUAAAUUGGUGUCCAUUACUAUAAUAUUUUUGUAUGAUCGGAAUCUAAUCGAUUAUGAUAUUGUACUUACAGAAUUCAGGACAACAAUAAUACUAGGGUUAUACUCACGAAAGGGUAACAAAAUGGGAAAAAGGCAACAAUACAAAAAAGAUGAAAAAUAUAAUUUUCUAAUUUACUGACCAAUAGAAUUUUCAUCAGUAAAUAAAUAAUAAAAGAAAAACUGAUUAUUAUUUUAGAGAAUCCUAUCAUAAUGGAACUUCGAUCAUAAAAAUAAUUUAAAAUUACAAAUUGAUUUUCAAUUGGUAAAAUAAAAAUAUUAUUAUUUUGAUAAACUUAAAUUAAUAAUAAAAAUUUGUCAGUAAAUGAAAAAAUAAUAUAAAAUGGAAUACUUAAAAAGAAAGAAUUGUUGAGAACAAAUUAACAAUUAAAAAUAACAUAUUUGUAACUUGGUAAUAAUAUAAAUAAAUUUAAAGAUAAUAUAAAAUUAUUUUAAAAAGUGGUAACUAGUACAAAAUGUGACCACCUCUAAUUGACCGUCAUCUCGGUCUAUUUUUGUGAAAAAGUUCAUUUUUGUCACUUGUCAUCCAUUUGUCCCAUUUAAUUGACGCGUACUCUACAAAUAACAUAACGUAGAAGGGCAAAAAUGUAAAUCAUCUUAAUCCUUAUUAUUUAUUUAGUUUUAGUAAAAAUAAUAUUAAAAAAAUGUAAUGAAAAAUAAAAUUCCAAAAAGCAUCUUCUACAAAGCCCCAUACACAAUAAAUGUCAUGUUUCUGGGGAAGGUGACUAUAUUGUACCAUCUCCACCUUUCGAAAAACUAAGCCAUGUUGUUCAUGAAGUAUAAUGUACUCUACUUUCCAUUAGCCAAUUUGCACGCCAUGGCUUCGGCUUCUUGUUCAAAAUACUCUUAAAUAUUUGCUAAAGUUUGGCCACGUUACCCCAUAUCUGGUAAAUCUUGGACAAACCCAACCCCCCCCCCCCCCCCCACACACACACACACAAUUGCUUUAUGAAUAAUAACUUGGAGAUACUGUAGCGCGUAUACGUUAAUAUUUACAUGGUUGGGGGAAACACACUCAAAAUUCAACAAUUGAUUCGUUCAUUGCCUAAUUAUUUUGAAAUCAUAGUAUAAAUACCAUAAUUUAUAGCUUUUUAAGUAGCAUAUAAUUAUGUUCUUUUUACUUAUUUCAAUUCAUAUGUUUAGCCUGCUUUUGUUGUCUCUUCCACCUCCAUGGAAAUAAUGUUCCAUUCUUAAUAAGUUUUAUAACCCUUUUGUUUUUCUAUUCUACUCAUUGUGCUCAUGUUUAUAAAAAAAUUAGGAUAACAUGCAACAUGUUUAUUGUAAUGUUAGUGCCUCAGUUGUAAAAUAUUUAAAAGAUGAUUAUUUUUCGUCACUACCAAAAAAAUAUUUUUCGUUAGAAGUUAAAUCUUGUGUUCAAUUAAUUUUAAACUGGUGUUAUAAGGCCAUCAAGCACGACAAUAAAUUAAAACAUAUAAAGGACAAUUACAAAAUAUUACAAUAUUUCUAUGUUCCGGUGCUAGUGAAAUAAAUAAAUACUAAUGGGAAGUGUCACAUUGAUACUGAAUCACUGAUCAAUCCAACUAACAAAUAUAUCGUAUUUUUAUUUUAUUUUAUUUUAAUAGUCAAAUUAGGUCAUGCCAGAAAAUAUUUUCUAUUAUUGAACAAGAAGUCUUCUUUAAUCAUGUUCAAGGAAUUAUUAAUUCAUAACAUGGAAGACAGCAUGUGAAGCUUUUCUUCGAGGAAAUAUAUGUAUUUUUUCUAUUGGAACAUACAUAUGGGUUGUUGUACCAUUUUUUGAGGUUUUGAGCAAAAAUGAAUCAUUUACAACGUGUUUGGCUCCCAUUUUUUUAAAUUUACUUUUCCUUAAAUUCAGGGGCGGAGUCAGAAAUUUUUUUCAGUGCGGACACAAAUUUUUUCUCCCAACCAACUUUUCUUACAUGGAGGAACCCGCUUUGUCCCAAAGUUGAAUUUUAGCAAAAAGGAAAUUUUCUCCCAAAGUUGAGUGCACUCAACUAUACAUGGUUCCGCCCCUGCUUAAAUUCAUUUUCAAAUAUACGUUUUAUGGUGCUCUCAACUUUUUAUUCACAUAUUUCAUUAGAUUUUAUCAAUAUUUUCUAAAAUUUGAUUUUUAGCCAAAUUGAACAAAGACUAAUUGCACGAAACAAUAAGUCCAUGUUUGGCCCCAAUUUUUUAAUUUUUAUUCCUAUAUUCAUUAUCAAAUCAUAUAUUUCAUGAAACGAACAACUUUUAUCAACUUUAUAAUCACAUAAUUUAUUAACUUUUAUUAAAAUCUACUAAAAUUAAGAUUUUUAGCCACACCAAACAUAAGCUAUGUUAGAAUGAGUUGUGAAGAACAAGACGUUGAUGACUCAUUUUUAUUUUUUUAAUGCUUGUUGAAUAGUUACUUUGACCUCUGACUAUUUUAAGAUUAAAUUAGUGUUUGGACAUAUAAACGUGACCAUUUUUAAAUUAGAGUUGGACCUACAAAUUAGUAGGAACAUGUGAAGAGUGUUCAUGUACCAUACAGUCCAUACAAUCAAUACAAUAACACGAACAUUAUUAGUUAUUUGAAGCGCCAAGAAAAAUUGAAAUUGAGAAAAUAUAAAUUUGUAACUACAAUUUUAAUAAGACUACUUAAAGUGACGAGUUUAUCAAUCUAUUCACAAUUAAAAAUCCCGAUUGCUGCAUACACAUACAUAUGUAUGUGUGUGCGCGCACAAAAAGAGAGAGAGAGAAGAAAACCACUUUUUAAUUCGCAUCAAACAUGGGCUAAAAUUGAGCAAUUCGAUUGAGAUUUGGCGAAAGUUGUAAUUUGUUGUUUAUUUUACCCUAAGAGUAUGUUAGAAUGAAUUUAUUUUUCGUUAAAAAUGUUAUUUUUUCAUUCAAAUUCCUACUUUUGGACGUUUGAUUAAUAAUUUAUUUUUAUGAAAAAGUAUUUCCAACUUUUGAUCACGUGACCACAUUUUUCUCAAAAAUAAGAAAAAUAUUUUCUCCAGGAAGGGAUGAUUUUUAUUUUUCAGGUAAUUCACUUUUUUUCUCUCAUAUUUGACCCCUCCCUUCUUUAUCCAUCAAUAACAAAUGGAUACAUAUAAUAUUUUUUAGGUUAAAAAUUACAUUUAUUUAAUAAUUUCCAUACAAAUAUUUUAUAAACAAUUGAUUUGUUUAAAAUUUAUUUUAUUUUCAUGCAAAUUUCAUAUUUGCAAUCAAAUGCACCUAAUCGAGUAUCAAGAAAAAUCCUUUUUUUAUUUUGACAUCGGUGGCCACAACCCAGACAAAAUCCUAUAAUAACAGAAAAAAUUUAAAAUUAGUAAAUUUAACCAAUAAUCACUGAACUUUACACUUGAUUACUACUUGCUCACUCAUCUUUCAAAUAUUACUGAAUGAUCACUCAUCUUUUCAUAUAAUUACUCAUUCGCCACUCGUCUCUUCAAAUAAUUGGGCUACUUUUACGGCAAAUUUUCGACAACUUCCGACCACAAAGAAUGUCGAAUUUUGAUACCGUUGGAAAGCCCACAAUGUCCUCUUCAAUUACCACCUAAAAUCUCAUUAUAACUCCAAGGGAUUCAAUCGAAAAAUUGCCUUAAAAUUCGCCCAAAAAUUCUGAAAAUCUGCCCAGAUUUUCAGAUUUUUUGGGCGACUUUUAAGGCAAUUUUUCGGCAACUUUCGACCAUCAAAACUAUCUAAUUUUGAUACCAUUGGAAAGCCCACAAUGUCCUCUUCAAUUACCCCCCAAAAUUUCCCGAUAACUCCAAAGGAUUCGGUCGGAAUAAAUCCACAAAGUCAGCAUCUUGAAAAGGCGAAAAUCUGGNNNNNNNNNNNNNNNNNNNNNNNNNNNNNNNNNNNNNNNNNNNNNNNNNNNNNNNNNNNNNNNNNNNNNNNNNNNNNNNNNNNNNNNNNNNNNNNNNNNNNNNNNNNNNNNNNNNNNNNNNNNNNNNNNNNNNNNNNNNNNNNNNNNNNNNNNNNNNNNNNNNNNNNNNNNNNNNNNNNNNNNNNNNNNNNNNNNNNNNNNNNNNNNNNNNNNNNNNNNNNNNNNNNNNNNNNNNNNNNNNNNNNNNNNNNNNNNNNNNNNNNNNNNNNNNNNNNNNNNNNNNNNNNNNNNUUUCACAUAUUACUGAAUGCUCACUCAUCUUUUCAUAUAAUUACUCAUUCAUCACUCGUCUCUUCAAAUAAUUGGGUGACUUUUACGGCAAAUUUUCGACAACUUCCGACCACAAAGAAUGUCGAAUUUUGAUACCGUUGGAAAGCUCACGAUGUCCUUUUCAAUUACCACCCAAAAUCUCAUUAUAACUCCAAGGGAUUCGAUCGAAAAAUUGCCUUAAAAGUCGCCCCAAAAAUCUGAAAAUCUGCCCAGACUUUCAGAUUUUUGGGGCGACUUUUAAGGCAAUUUUUCGAUCGAAUCCCUUGGAGUUAUAAUGAGAUUUUGGGUGGUAAUUGAAAAGGACAUCGUGAGCUUUCCAACGGUAUCAAAAUUCGACAUUCUUUGUGGUCGGAAGUUGUUGAAAAUUUGCCGUAAAAGUAGCCCAAUUAUUUGAAGAGACGAGUGGUGAAUGAGUAAUUAUAUGAAAAGAUGAUUGAGCAUUCAGUAAUAUUUGAAAGAUGAGUGAGCAAGUAGUAAUCAAGUGUAAAGUUCAGUGAUUAUUGGUUAAAUUUACUCAAUUUAAAACUGUUGUCGUUUCAUGGGUCGAAGGACCUGUUUGUCCAAUUUUGAGUUCUGCCACAUUUCAACUUUCGCUCUCUCUCCCUCUCAACAAAAAACUCUUUCCAAUCCAUAUAUUUCGCUUCUUCUGUUUCUUCUCGAAAGUUUUCUCAUGCAUCCACUUUGAGCAAAAAAUUUCAUCAAAUUUCGCACUUGCCACCUGCAUUUUUCCUUUUCCACCCGCCAAAAUCUAAGACUGUACGUAAAUUAGAGAAGAUUUUGUACUGAAAAAGCGAGAAUUUUGGUUCAUAAUGGCUGGGAAUCGAGAAAAUUUGAGGGCUUUUAGACCUUUACUAACAGUUGUAUGGAGCUUUCUGUUAGCUUCAAUAUUUGUUUCUGCUGAAGGAAGAAGCUUAAAGCAGAAUUUUUUAGCACAUAAUGCAAAUGGGUUUUCACAUUCUGAUUUAGAUAUUUUAACAAAUUAUCAGAAUUUUACACGGCAAGCCAACAAAUCUGGUUACCAGCACGUUUGGCCGGUGUGUUAAAUCUUUGAUUCUUUUAGUUUUUAAUUUUCAAAUUCAAUUUGUUUUGUGCUUUAAUGUAUUUGAAUUGAGUUCGAUCUGGAAUUUUAUUUUCCUAUUAUUUUUGCAUGAUAUGUUUGUUUUUUGAUAUUGGAAUUUGGAGGCUGGGAUGAAUAAUUUGGAUUCAGUUUUUUUCAGAAUUGAUCUUUGGGAAUCCUUAGGAUUUUGUUCUUAGGUUUCUUCAUAGGUUGUUGAGUCUUGGAGGCCUUUGCGUUGGUUCGAUCGAAGUAUUAACAAGUGUUAAUACAUUUAUACUUGAGCAUACAUAUUUGUUCUUGUAUGCCGGUAUGUGAACUUCUUAACGGUGAUAUCCAUAUGACCAGAACAGAGUAACUUUUGGAAAACCUCAAAGAAAUGAUUGGUUUCUUGAAUUGAUCAUAACUUUGAGUGUUUGUGUGUGAGGAAAAGAUAGUUUAUAUGUGCUUUUUUUUUUUUUGGGUCAGUGUACAUUAAUAAAUUCGUAUUACCGAUUUUUCAUGUUUUGUAAUGUGAGACAAUCUGGUAUGUCGUCUACAGGAUCUGAAAUUCAACUGGCAAAUUGUUGUUGGAAGCAUAAUUGGAUUUUUCGGAGCAUCUUUUGGAAGUGUUGGUGGCGUUGGUGGUGGUGGGGUAUUUGUUCCCAUGCUUACUCUGGUUAUUGGAUUUGAUCCGAAAUCAUCAGCUGCUAUCUCAAAAUGUGAGUUAAAAACCAUAUUGAUAUAACAUGGAACGAUUACGUAUUCGGCACGAUUGGAUAUUCCAAGUUAUUUGGUGAUUGAAUUAAUUCAAAUCCUUAUGCAUAUAGUUUUAGACAGCCUCAAUCUGAAGUUCUUAGUGUCCCUAUAAUCAAGAAGGAAGAAACUAUGCAUAUAAAAUAUUCUAACGUCCCUUUUCAGCCAUAGAAUAUCACCAACUUAUGUCUCCUUUAAAUUUAAUGGCUAAAGAUGAACUGAAUAUUUCCUUAGAUAAGUUAAGUUUGGUUGUAUGGAGUUGUAAAUGUCGUUUCUAAAUUGACAGGUAUGAUCAUGGGAGCUGCAGUCUCGACUGUUUGCUAUAAUCUUAAGCUCAGGCAUCCAACUAUUGAUAUGCCAAUUAUCGACUAUGACUUGGCUGUUCUCAUCCAACCUAUGCUUAUGCUAGGCAUUAGUAUCGGAGUUGCAUUCAAUGUGGUAUCAAAAUUAGAUAGUUUUGAUGGUCGAAAGUUGCCAAAAAAUUGCCUUAAAAGUCGCCCAAAAAAUCUGAAAAUCUGGGCUCACUUAUCUUUCAAAUAUUACUGAAUGCUCACUCAUCUUUUCAUAUAAUUACUCAUUCACCACUCGUCCCUUCAAAUAAUUGGGCUACUUUUACGGCAAAUUUUCAAUAAAGUCGCCCAAAAAAUCUAAAAAUCUGCCCAGUUUUUCAGAUUUUUGGGGCGACUUUUAAGGCAAUUUUUCGAUCGAAUCCCUUGGAGUUAUAAUGAGAUUUUGGGUGGUAAUUGAAAAGGACAUCGUGAGCUUUCCAACGGUAUCAAAAUUCGACAUUCUUUGUGGUCGGAAGUUGUUGAAAAUUUGCCGUAAAAGUAGCCCAAUUAUUUGAAGAGACGAGUGGUGAAUGAGUAAUUAUAUGAAAAGAUGAUUGAGCAUUCAGUAAUAUUUGAAAGAUGAGUGAGCAAGUAGUAAUCAAGUGUAAAGUUCAGUGAUUAUUGGUUAAAUUUACUCAAUUUAAAACUGUUGUCGUUUCAUGGGUCGAAGGACCUGUUUGUCCAAUUUUGAGUUCUGCCACAUUUCAACUUUCGCUCUCUCUCCCUCUCAACAAAAAACUCUUUCCAAUCCAUAUAUUUCGUUUCUUCUGUUUCUUCUCGCAAGUUUUCUCAUGCACCCACUUUGAGCAAAAAAUUUCUUCAAAUUUCGCACUCGCCACCUGCAUUUUUCCUUUUCCACCCGCCAAAAUCUAAGACUGUACGUAAAUUAGAGAAGAUUUUGUACUGAAAAAGAGAGAAUUUUGGUUCAUAAUGGCUGGGAAUCGAGAAAAUUUGAGGGCUUUUAGACCUUUACUAACAGUUGUAUGGAGCUUUCUGUUAGCUUCAAUAUUUGUUUCUGCUGAAGGAAGAAGCUUAAAGCAGAAUUUUUUAGCACAUAAUGCAAAUGGGUUUUCACAUUCUGAUUUAGAUAUUUUAACAAAUUAUCAGAAUUUUACACGGCAAGCCAACAAAUCUGGUUACCAGCACGUUUGGCCGGUGUGUUAAAUCUUUGAUUCUUUUAGUUUUUAAUUUUCAAAUUCAAUUUGUUUUGUGCUUUAAUGUAUUUGAAUUGAGUUCGAUCUGGAAUUUUAUUUUCCUAUUAUUUUUGCAUGAUAUGUUUGUUUUUUGAUAUUGGAAUUUGGAGGCUGGGAUGAAUAAUUUGGAUUCAGUUUUUUUCAGAAUUGAUCUUUGGGAAUCCUUAGGAUUUUGUUCUUAGGUUUCUUCAUAGGUUGUUGAGUCUUGGAGGCCUUUGCGUUGGUUCGAUCGAAGUAUUAACAAGUGUUAAUACAUUUAUACUUGAGCAUACAUAUUUGUUCUUGUAUGCCGGUAUGUGAACUUCUUAACGGUGAUAUCCAUAUGACCAGAACAGAGUAACUUUUGGAAAACCUCAAAGAAAUGAUUGGUUUCUUGAAUUGAUCAUAACUUUGAGUGUUUGUGUGUGAGGAAAAGAUAGUUUAUAUGUGCUUUUUUUUUUUUUGGGUCAGUGUACAUUAAUAAAUUCGUAUUACCGAUUUUUCAUGUUUUGUAAUGUGAGACAAUCUGGUAUGUCGUCUACAGGAUCUGAAAUUCAACUGGCAAAUUGUUGUUGGAAGCAUAAUUGGAUUUUUCGGAGCAUCUUUUGGAAGUGUUGGUGGCGUUGGUGGUGGUGGGGUAUUUGUUCCCAUGCUUACUCUGGUUAUUGGAUUUGAUCCGAAAUCAUCAGCUGCUAUCUCAAAAUGUGAGUUAAAAACCAUAUUGAUAUAACAUGGAACGAUUACGUAUUCGGCACGAUUGGAUAUUCCAAGUUAUUUGGUGAUUGAAUUAAUUCAAAUCCUUAUGCAUAUAGUUUUAGACAGCCUCAAUCUGAAGUUCUUAGUGUCCCUAUAAUCAAGAAGGAAGAAACUAUGCAUAUAAAAUAUUCUAACGUCCCUUUUCAGCCAUAGAAUAUCACCAACUUAUGUCUCCUUUAAAUUUAAUGGCUAAAGAUGAACUGAAUAUUUCCUUAGAUAAGUUAAGUUUGGUUGUAUGGAGUUGUAAAUGUCGUUUCUAAAUUGACAGGUAUGAUCAUGGGAGCUGCAGUCUCGACUGUUUGCUAUAAUCUUAAGCUCAGGCAUCCAACUAUUGAUAUGCCAAUUAUCGACUAUGACUUGGCUGUUCUCAUCCAACCUAUGCUUAUGCUAGGCAUUAGUAUCGGAGUUGCAUUCAAUGUGAUAUUUUCUGAUUGGAUGGUCACUGUUCUUUUAAUCAUUCUCUUUAUAGGUAAUUAAAGUUUGUGUUACAAUUGGUUUGUUACGUAUCCUGCUUCAGUGUCUCUUUUUUAAUAUAAUAUGACACUUGCAGCAACAUCAAGUAAGGCCUUUUUCAAAGGAGUUGAAACAUGGAAAAAAGAAACUCUUGUGAAAAAGGUAAUCAUUUCAACUUUUUUACACAGUUUGGUUGUAUUUUGGUGUCUUAUGUUAUUCACACUUGUGGCAUGAAUCUCAUUGGUGAGGGUUCAAAUUAAUUGAGUAGUGGCAAAAUCUAAGUGCAAUGUAUUUUCAUAUUUUUUCUUCCUGUCCUUCUUGGUAUAGCUGGUCUUUCUCUUUCAUAUUAAAUGCCAAUUUUUGUAUUGGUGCAGGAGACUGUAAAGCAAUUGGAGGCAAGUGGUGAGUUCAUUGAAGCAUUUUUGUUCAUUGUAUUGUCGAAUACAAUUUAAUAUUGCAGACCAAACAUGCAUUAAGGAUCACCUUUUAUUUUCUGUUCAUUUCUCCUUUUUGGCCCAUAAUUUCCCUACUAAAAAUAAAGCAUGCAUUUUUCCUGUUCUGCCAGGCAAUGUUACAGAAGAAGCAGAUAAUAAGCUUCAUAGUGGAGGCCUUAGUAAUGACACGGAAAAUGAAGCCAAAGACUUGGCAAAACCCAAGGUGUGAUAUAUUUGCAGACGAGUGUGCAUUUCCUGAACUCUAAUAUAUGACACAACUCACAAUCUCAGGUCGGUAUCCUUGAGAAUGUACGUUGGAAUGAACUUGGUCUUCUUGUCUUCGUUUGGAUGGCAUUUCUUGCAGUCCAGAUCAUCAAGGUUUUCACUUUUUUCUAUUUCCUUGCAAACAUUAUUUUUACUUUCAGGAACCUCCAAUUGGGUUACUUAACUAGUUAGUAUCUCUGAAACACACUCAUUCAUCAUCAAAUUGAACAGAACUAUACAGCUACAUGUUCAGCAAUGUACUGGGUAAUGAACUUGCUGCAGGUAUGUGUACAAGGUUAUCUGCAUAUUUGGGAAACUUGUAGCCGAUUCUGCAAUAUGUUAAUGCUCUUGUUAUACUUAUUUCUUGAGCAUUCCAAACUACCAUUCUCUGCUCUGCAGAUCCCUGUGUCUCUUGGCGUAUCUGGUUAUGAAUCAAUUUGCCUAUACAAGGGAUGGAGAAAAAUUGCAUCUAAGGGAGAUGGAGGGUCCAACUUGAAAGUGCACCAGUUGAUAAUCUAUUGCUUGUUAGGCGUAUUGGCUGGUACAGUGGGUGGUUUACUGGGUGUGGGAGGUGGAUCUAUCAUGGGUCCGCUAUUUUUGGAGUUAGGCGUUCCACCUCAGGUGAGUUUGAGAUCAUUCUAAAAUAAUGUUACAGACCCAGUUUUCUGAAAAAAGUUGAGCUGACCCCAAAUUUAUUUAGGACAACACUUAGUGAGUUUGGUAAUCAAUUUUUAGUCCUACGGACGUGCUUAAAGGUUUCAGUUGUCCUGAUGUUUAAACAAUCCUACAAAGAUUCUGGAAUUUUAUUUCCUUUCCUUCAUCAUUAAAUAUAAGAAACUUCAUUUUCUUGUUUGUCAAAUGUGAGAGGUGGAGAACAUGUCUGAUAUCCAUACCUUCAUUCAGGUUGCAAGUGCAACGUCCACCUUUGCUAUGAUGUUUUCCUCAUCAAUGUCCGUGGUUGAAUAUUACCUUCUAAAACGUUUUCCAGUUCCAUAUGGUAAGUGCAUGUCCAACUAAGCGUGCAAGUCUUGUGAAUUGCAUAGUACUCAACAGAAGUUUAAGUUUUUAUUUAGGGUUUGUUUGAGCUCCAUUUUUGUCAAAAAAAUACAUUUUUGACCAGUAUAUUGAUGGAAAAUGUGUGAUUAAAAAAAUAAUGAAACGUUUUGCGUUUGCGUGUAAUAUUAUUUUAUUUAAAAAUGUGUGAUUGAAAUGAGAUUAAAAUAUUAUUCGAGAAUGCGUUUUUUUUUUUGACAAAAAUACGAGGCUCGAACAAGGGUUUAGUAAUGUGUACCAGACAUUCAUUGAUUGUUCAAUCUCGACAAUAAGUAAACUUGUAUUGGUCCUUAUAUAACAGUUAUUUAAAUUUUUUUAAUAUAUAUAUAAUUUUUUUUCCCAAAUUUGUAUUGGAUCAAUGGUUUCUGCAUUUAUGUGUUCAGCUCUUUGCUUGGUUGUUGUUGCCACUGUUGCUGCAUUUAUUGGCCAACACGUCGUGAGGAAGGUGAUCAUUAUAAUGGGACGGGCAUCAAUAAUCAUCUUUGUUUUGGCAUCUAUAAUCUUUGUGAGUGCCAUCUCUCUAGGUGAGUAGUUUCAUUCACCAUUUUUAUAUCAGUUAAAAUCAUGAAUUUCUUCAGAGUUCUGUUUUUCAAUUAUUUAAACUUGAAGCAACGAUAAAUUUGUCCGCUUGCAAUUGUUUACUAGAUCCAUUAACUAGCUUUUAGUACACACUUAAAUGCUUGUAUAAUUGUAUAUAUCCAUACUUAUUUUUUUGCAAAACAGGUGGCGUUGGCAUUUCAAACAUGAUUGGAAAGAUAGAAAGACAUGAAUACAUGGGAUUUGAGAACCUUUGCAAGUAUAAUGUUUAACAUGCUACUUCGAAUUCUUCUUGUUAUAUUGUUACCAUUUCCAUUCUCGAUCCUGUUGCCGUCCUUGUCGAGGGGGAUGGGGUGGGUGUGAGCGCGAGAGUGCUUGCUUCUUUAGAUCAGUUAGGAUCAAAUGUCUUUCUGUUAUUUGCUUUGUUUCAUUGUUUGUUAUCGGAUAUCAGCUCAAAUAGACAUUGAAAAGAAAUUUUCAUGGUUUGGCUUCUACUUUUGUUAUUGUCUUAAAGAUUGAGGUAGAUGAUUAGUUAAAAGUUAAUUAACAAAUUUUUACUAAGCCGAUUUUAAUUGCAAAAUCCAAUUAAAUAUGAAGUAAAAGUAUUAUACUUUUUAUUAUAAUCUAUUUUCUUUUAACAAAUUUAUUUUAAUCAAGUUCAAAUCACAUGUAAUGACAUCUUAGACAAACUGCACAAAGAAUAAAUGGUUGAUUAUUGAAAUCCAUGUUGUCGACAAAUUGAAUCAAAGCAACUCUUAGUCCCUUUCCUCCCACUCAAUUAUUUAACUUGAUCAAAAGCCGUGUCGUAAUCCAACAAGUCAUACGUGAGCUAAGCACAUGUAUAGAGUAUUAUCCCCUACCUAGUGAAUUGUUAGAUCUCAUGAACUAAAUAAUAAUAGGGAUGGCAAAUGAGCCCAUUGGUUCGGCAACCCGCCCAAGGCCAAAAUUUGGGACUUGGCUCGAGCCUAGCCGGCCUGACUAGCCGCACAGGGCCAUUUUGGCCCCUGUCACAGGCCAAAAUUCAUUCGCGUACAGAACACACUUGCUCCACUGGCUGUUUCUUGAACACUAGUCCAAGAUAAUCAAAACUAGAAGUAACUUGCAAUUCUUUUCCAGUUCCCCAACAAAAAUAAUUCUAUUUCUUGUUUCUGCUUCCCUUCAUAAUUAAUGUGAGUAAAGUACCAAAUGAAAUGAAUUUAUAAAAUUUAAUUAUCCCAUAAACAAUAAAGUCCAAGAUGAAUAAUAGACAGAAUUUACCAGUCCUCUUUGGACGCCAUCAGACUUGAUCAUGAUAAAAUUUUGCUCCAUGGUUGUUGUUUCUUGAAGCCGCCAAGCAUGUAAUAUUAAUUUAACAAUGACGAUAAUAAAUAUUUUCUCGAGUGCAAAUACAUUUUUUGUCCUUUCACCAUUUUAGUCAUAUAACUAGUGGAAGGUUAAAUAUUUGUUGAUUAUUUUGCAAUCACAAUUAUACUUUUAAUUUACAAUUACUAUAAAUUGCAUUGUUAAAAAGAAUUUAGAAUUUAAUGAAUUUAAAAAAAUUAAAAAAAUAUGAGCCGGCUCGGCUCGCUCGAGCUAAAAGCCCGAGCCAAGCCUCAAAAUUUUAAUCGGGCUUUGGCCUUGGGUCAACUCGAGCAAAAAAGGCCUAAGCUUUUUGGCACAGCCACGAGCUUCGGCUCCCGAUCGGGCUUAGCCCAACACGUUGACACCGCUAAUAAUGAGCAUAGUUGAUAAAUAAAAUAUUUUUUUUAAACCAAAAAAAAAAGGAAAAAAGAAAAAAAAAAGUGUUAGAUAAGAUAACCAAAACUGACGUUCUUCCCCAAAUUUCUUUCAAAAUUCAAUCAAAACCCUUAACAUCAAUUUCAAAUUCAAAAAUCUCAAUUACUUGCAUUGUUAGUAUUAUACAAAACUUCGAACCAAGAAACGAAAUAACAAAAGUAACUUCAGAAUCUUGAAGCAAAUAUAGUUUUUCCCACUCGAUCUGUGAUGUAACACCGAGGAAAUCAAAAAAUGAAGGGCACAAAUUCAAAUUGCACCCGUCUAAUUGGCCAUAAAACCCUAACGGGCUCCUAAACGAUUCCCCUAUUAAUUAAAGGAAGCCACAAGUAAUCACACUGUUUCUCUGUAUACAAACAAAUUAAGAUUCCAUUUGAUAGCACCCAAUUCCAUGGAAAAUGUCACAUUGAAGGAAUUCAUUUUCUACUUUAACUGUUUGAUAGAAUUGGAGUUCGAAUUCUAAGGUAUAAACACUUAAAGUAUGUCUUUGGCCAAUUCCAUCGAAAUUGAAUUCUUAUGAUUUUGGUGGUUUUUCUUUUCCAACUUACAUGUAAUUGGUUUGUUUUUUCCACCUUUGCAAUCAAAACGAACCCUAAGUGUUUAAAUUUUCCAAAGAAAGAUAGAAGAAAUCAACUUCCAAUCAAAGGAUUUGGAAGAAGAUUACAAAGAGGAAAGAGGAGAAGAUUUCGAAAACCAACCCAAACGGUAGAACUUGGAUUAUCACCUAAUUGGACGACUAUAUAUAUAGUUUCAUCUAAACUAAUAUCUCUUAUAAAGUGUAAUUUAAUAUCUAUAUGUUUUCUUCUUUCAUGAAAAAUGAGAUUUACACAAAUGUAAAUCACUUUGACUAUUAGAAUAGACAAUAGCAAGUUUGAAAAUCAUAUUUAUUUCAAUUAAUAACCCUUAAGCCAUAAGUUUUCCUCCACAACCUUUGUAGCUAAACAUAUUUAUUCUUUGUAGUAGACAUUGCAACUAUAGGCUGAAUUAUGAUUUUCUAUUUAUACAAGUACCACAUAACGUAAACAUAUAGGCUGUGGUAGACUUAUAUUAUCUCUAUCAUCAGCAAAAUUAGUAUCAGCAAAACCCAUUAAUAUUAUUCCCUCAUUGAAGGUUUUAAAUACUAAUCUUAAAUGUGAGGUUUCUUUUUUAUAUCGAAGAAGCCACUUAGAGCCUCCAGUGUUUUGGUUUGGGACUAGUCAUGAAUCUACUUAAAAUGCUAAUAGCAUGAGCAACAUCAUGUCUUGUACAUGCCAUAGUAUAAAUGAUUGUACCUGUAACAUUAGCGUAGGGUACUUUCUCCAUAUAUCUAAUAUCAGAAUCAUCAAUUGGGCAUUAUUAUCGAAUGGCCAUACUUGUGAAAACGGUAGCAUUGAAUGUUGGACUUGUCAACUUUUUAUUCAUGAUCAUACUUGGGUUGAUGAUUACGUCAUCUGAUUCUACCUCGAGAACCAAGUGUGAAACUACCUCUUCCUCUUCCUCUUCCUCUUCCUCUUCCUCUUCCUCUGCCUUGACCACGACCUCUACUGGUGCCUUUCCUCGUAGAGUAUUCAUUAUGGGUUGAGACUUUCAAAGCUUGUUCCUCUACUCAGUGGCAGAUCCAAGAAUUUGAGUUAGCACAGGUGACCAUCAAUUGUCAACCACAAAAAAAUAUUAAGAACCCGUUUAAUAUCCCCCCCCCCCCCUUUUUUGCUUGCAAAAAAUGCAUUUUGGAAUAGUGAUUAGAUGGAUAAUAUGUAGUUAAAAAUAAGGAAAAAAAUUUGAAUUUGCGUGUAAAAUUAUUUUAUUAAAUAAUGUAUGAUUGAAAGUAAGAAAGAGAAAAAUGUAUUUUGAAAUUGAUGGGAAUAAAAAAAGGCCUAAACUUCAUAUAUAACAAUUAUUUUGUUCAAAUUGAAUCUAUAUAAAUCUGUUAUAAGAAUAAAUGAUACUCACCAAAUAACAUUGUUGCCAAGUUUUGUACAAUUCAAAGGAAGAGUACAGGUUCAAAUUUUUACAAUUGCACUAAAAUUGUUAAAACUUAACAUAUAUUAUUUUAUUAAAUUUAGCUCCAACUUCAAGAAGUACCAUAAUGGUCGAGCAUUCAAUAAUCCUUGCAAGAGUUCAUAUGUUAGAAUCCCCUCUGGUAUUCUCCCUUUGCAUUAAUUUUGGCAAAAAUUAUAGAACUAUAGUUAUUGUACAAUUUAUUGGUUGGCAAGGGAUUUGAGCCUAAGACUUCUAAUAUGUACAUCCAAGCUCUAACCAACUUGGCUAGAAGAAACAUUUUAAAUUAAAGUGAAUUACCAAUAAUAUAAGAUAAAAAUCUUAUCUAUUAUCAACCAAAAAAUAUUGCUCCCACAGAUCCAGCACGCGCGGUCGUAGGUACUCAUCAGGUGCUGGAUCUGCCACUGCCUCUACUGAACUAUUUCCCAUUCUUUCCUCAUGUGCCAAUAAUGAUCUUUAUAGUUCCACAAUCAAAAGCUCAUCUAGGUCUUUUGACUCCUCAAUUGAACAUACCACAAACAUGAAUUUUGGAGCCAUUAUAACAAUUUUCUCCACCGUGGCUAUAUCUUCAAUUUUUUCAUUAUGAAUGCACAUUUUGUUAGCAAUUGCCAGUGUUCUUGAAAAGUACUCCUCGAUAGAUUCUCCUAGCUUGAUGAAAAGAAUCUCAAAUUCUUUGUAACGAGUUUGAAGUUUUUGGCAUUUCACCCUUGUUGUGCCUUGGUAUUUUUUUUCAUGGAGUCCCAUAUUUUUUUACUAGUGUCCUUUUUGAGAAUUGUCUCUAAAAACCACAAUCUAUUGAUUGAAACACGUUAUUUUGUGCCUUUAAGUCCUUUAGAUUCUGUUUGUCUAGUUUUUAUAUUGAGCUUCAAUCAACAUCGUUCCAUAGGUAGUUCAAUCACUCUUGUUUCCAUGUAUUCUAAUAUUCUUUGGAUUGCAGAAAAUUCUCCGUCAACAUGCUCCAAUGAUCAAAGUGACCAUCAAAGAGAGGGAUUACUAGUUGCAUAUAAUUAUUAUCUGAUACCAUUGAUGCCUGCUAGCUAUUGCUAGGGCUUAACAACGAAACCACCAAAUCGCAAAAUCGAACUGAAACCACUUUUUUUAAGCAAUUGGUUUGAAUCCACAUAGAACCAUCAACAUUUUGGCUUUGAACUGAGCCAAACCACUUCAGCACAUGAAUUAGAUAUUUGAAUCCUCAAAUUGAACCAAUUACAUCAAAUUUAAAAACAUAGGAACUCACAAAUUCAGUCCACAUUUAAAUUAAACUCGAAAAUUUCAUUUGAAUCACAUGUGAACCGACCGCAACAACUUACUGUCACUAAAAGAUAAAAUAGAUCCCAACAUAUGCAUUUAAUUAUGUACUUACAAACCGAAUAAUCAAGUCAUCAAGAAAAUAUAAUCAUAGAACAAAUAUAACUCCUUAUUCAUCCAAAAUUGAAUGAAUGACUCGAUAAAAAAUUAUCAAAAUAUAUGGAUAAAUGAACAAACUUACAAAUAAAUUAACUAAGUUGAUUUAGAAAUUGGAAAAUGAUACUAACUUCAUGCAAACUCAAAAUCAUAUUCUCAACACAAUAUAACAAGAAUUUAGCUUAACGAUAACCCCUAAAACAAUAAUAUCUGAAAAGGAAUUCUAUUCAAAACACUAAAAUCAAGUAAAAUUGUCAAAAUCAUACAAUUAACACUAAACAGAGUGUACUAAAUUUUCUUACAUUAUUGCUUCCAAGUGCAGCUUAAAUAUAAUUCACUAAACGAGAAUGCAGUACAUUUUUCAUCUAUUUUCGCUUUUUAAUAAGCAAAACACAUAUGCCAUUAAGAAUUAAGUAAUUCUAUUCACAAAUCUAUUUUAAAAAAAUAAUAAUUGUUACGCUCCUAUCCGAACCACUUCGGAGAGUUUACCUCUGCCUAUUACGAGGUGUUCAGCUCCCAUCCAAAGUGGUUCCGAAGUGACUUCAUCACCAAUGUUGUUGAUUUGCUAACGCACUGCGAGGCAUAGACAAUUCUGCUGAAUUGACCGAAGCGUCCUCGCCCCUGAAGUCGAGGCGCACUCCAAGGACCUCUGUCAGGAUUCGUCGCCAAUUUCAGAAAGAGAUCUAUGUUAAGAUCAUUUCUGUCCCUAAGGUUUAAUUGAUUUGACGUCUCCACGAGCCUAGUUAAUGUGACGUAUCAACUUUAUGUCAACUCAACUCGGGAGAAGUAAUUACCCGUCCACUCUAUAGACGCGACCGAUUGACGGCUAUGAGCAUACACGUGUCUCACAUCCAACGUUUCUCCUCAUCUAUAAAUACCCAAGGUUUAACAAGAGGCAAAGGUAAUGAAACUCUUACAACACAGCUUUCCAUAACAAGCAAAUAUAUAUUCUCCUCCCCACUAUUUUACACAACCUUAGUAUUGUUCCGAUCACCUGAGGCUAACUUGACCGUCAAAGUGUAUGCAGCCAUCACCAUCCCCGCUAGUUCUAGCCGUGUGCAUCUGACCGUGCGUUGACUGUGCGCAGGGAGAAAUACGUGGAGUAGCUAUCGGUUGGUCACGUGGAGGGUCCAAUUUACGAGGUCAACAGAUUGGCACCGUUUGUGGGAAUACUUCCCGUCCAAAGUUCUGCAUUCUACCGGAGAAACCAUCGAAAAACUAGCAACUUACCCUGUAAAGGGCCCGUUCUUGAAAAAGAGCAAAGUCGAGUUAUAAUCCAAGUUCUCAUCACCCUUGAAAAAGGAGAUAAGAUGAGUCCCAGCUAUAAAGACGACAAUCCUAUGAGAGAGGUCUCUGAAGAAGAGGUGCUCCGUAACAAUGUCACUAAUUAGAGACCCCAUCACCGGCGUCGCCGAGGUGAAAGAACAGCCAUGCUCACUAAAGAAAUAACUCAAAUAGCUGCAGGCAUGAAAGACAUCGUAGCUCAAAAUAUGGCGAUGCAUGAACUCUUCAUGCAAGCCGAGGUCACCAGGGCUCUCAAAUGCCCCAAGGAUCUUACCUAGUUCAGGAAGCCCCUGUGUCUCGUUCCCAAGGCCAUAUGAGCCAGCAUAGAGAAUGCCCCCUCGAAAGAGAAGUGAGCGCAAAAGCCACAUCCUAUGUGCAAGAGAACCAGCCAGCAGAACCACAACUGGGAGAUAAUUUCCCUAAAAAAUAUGAAGCACAAAGGUCAAUCAACGUCUUCGACUGAAUAGGGCAAGACCCUAGUAAUAGGGUCCGCUCAGUGCGAAGAUCAGAUUGGCAAGAAUAGGAGCUAGAACAAGCACCUCCUCCUAGAAAUAGGAAGGAGAGAAGGGACUUAGUUGAUUGGGGCAGCAGAGGAGAAGCACCUCCACCUUCCCAGAACAUUCAAGAUGAUGAAGGGUCAGAUGGGCCUUGUCGAUCUUAUGAAAUUGACGAUGAUGAUGAUAACCUCCCUUUCUCAAGGUAAAUUCGAAGCUUUCCAAUGCCUUCAAAUUUUAUGCCUCCUAAGAUCCCCAAGUAUGAAGGAAAGAGGGACCCGAAAAAACACCUCACCAAGUAUAUGACACAGAUGAGCCUCAGGGGAGCCUCACCUGCUUUGAAGUGCAGAGCCUUCCACUUAACCCUGGACGGAGUUGUUGAAGUGUGGUACAACAGACUUCCUCCUCUGAGCAUUAGGAGUUCGCUAGAUUUGAAGAAGACAUUCUUGAACCAGUACCUCUCACGCAGAGAAGGAGAGGCCCCAGUGCAACGCCUGCAAGAUAUGAGAUAGGCCCCUGGAGAGACGCUGAAAAGUUAUCUCUCCAGGCUUACAGAUGAAAUCACGUACUGCGAGUAGGUCACUGACAGAGAAGCCCUUUCAGCUCUGAAAGGCGGCCUCAAUAUGAACACUUUUUUCUAGAGGGAUGUGCGUAGCAAAAAUCCCUCCACUUAUGACGAGCUGAUAGAAAUGAUGAGAAUUGAGAUCGUCAGUGAGGAGAUAAUUGAUCACUGAAACUGUGUCGUGCAAAGACUCCCUCUACCUCAAAGGCAGGUAGGUUGAGGACCCGCAGCGCACCUUGUCACUCAGUAAUGGACUCAAGCAGGUCAUACAAUAGCUCCCACCUCUGGACAGGCACUGGCUUCUGCCAUGCUAAAUGCAGUGCCGGUGUUGGCAUAUGAGAAUUUCCAUGGUGAAGUGGGGCUAUAUGGAGGAAUUGAUAGUAAUAAAAAGAAGAAGAAGAAGCGGUUAAACAGGCCCUUGGAAGGGACAAAGUUUUGCACUUUCCACCAACUUUAUGGGCAUGACACCAACGAGUGCAGAGACGCUCCUCGACGCUCAGAUCGGAGUGACCCACAUCCCUCCAGGAGGAAUGAAUAUCCUCGCAGAUCCGCCUCCCCGAACAGGAAAGAGAGAAGGCAUAGAGAGCAGUGAUCCCAGAGAAGAUAAUCAAGGGAUCGAGGAGAGUCCAGACAGAGAGAUCAGGCCCCAUUUUCUGGAGGCCGAAUCAUCAGAGAGAUUGACAUGAUCAUUGAGGGACCUCACAUCGGUGGCAACACCAGGAAUGCCCAAAGGAAUUAUACAAGGGAAGUAAAGGACCCACCAUGCUCACUUACAUUGUCAACGAGUCACAAGAGGCCAAUAGGAUGGCCCCAAUCACUUUCUCCCAGGAAGAUGCACAAGGAGUUCACCACCCCCAUUGUGACGCAUUGGUUGUGAGAGCCGUAGUGGCAAGAAAUGGCUCAAACGCAUGCUCGUCGACAAUGGCAGUUUAGUGAAUAUACUAUUCGGCUCCACCUUUGACAAAAUGCAAAUUGAACGUCGGUCGAUCCCCAUGACCGAUCCACUAUUCGGAUUUACUGAAGACAGCAUCGUCCCACGAGGGCGGAUUACUCUGCCCGUCGAAAUGGGUUCAGCUCCUCUAGUGGCCCAACACUUCAUGGAAUUCUUGGUGGUAGACCACGGAUCAGCCUACCAUAGAGUAUUGGGCAGACCCGCCUUGAAAGAUCUUUGGGCUGUCACCUCCAUCCACUACUUUUGUAUGAAAUUUCCAACUGAACAUGGGAUUGCUACGAUCCGAGGUGACCAGAUGGGGUCCAAGGCUUGUUACUUAAACUCUCUGCGAAAAUCGAAGCCCAGAACUGUUAACGUGAUCAUAACUGAAGUUGCCAGUGAGGCCAAUUUAGAUGUGGAAAUGCUCGACGCCUCUAAACAAGAGCAUACCUCUGAACAAGAGAAAUACGUCGACAUGGAAGAGGCCCUUGAAGAAGGGCACCUUCUUGAUGAAUUAGAUUCCCGGAUAAUUGACUCCAAGCCAAAUGCAACCCCAAUGGAAGAGCUUGAAACUUUCUCCGCCAACCCAGAGGACCCCAGUCAGAUCUUACGAAUAGGGAAGGCACUGUCCCCCGAAACAAAAGAAGAAAUGGUGAGCUUCUUGAAAAGGAACUUGGAUGUCUUCAUUUGGAAGCAUAAAGACAUGGUGGGAAUAGAUCCAGGAAUCAGUUGUCAUCAUCUUAACAUCAACUCCUCAUGUGUCCCACAUCGACAAAAAAGAUGUGCCCUCAACCCGAAGCGGUACGAGGCAAUCAAAGAUGAAGUAGACAAGCUUAGCUGUGGUGGCUUCAUCAGAGAAGCCAUCUAUCCGAAGUGGAUAUCCAACCCGAUCCUGGUGAAGAAGCCUAGCGAAAAGUGGAGGGUGUGCGUAGACUUCACAAACUUGAAUAAGGCAUGCCCUAAAACCAGUUUCCCACUUCCAAUGAUAGACCAACUCGUGGAUUUCACCGCCGGACAUGAACUCUUGAGCUUCAUGGAUGUAUACUCAUAGUAUAACCAGAUACCCAUGUUCCGACCUGAUGAGGAGGCUACAUCAUUCAUCACAGACAGAGGGCUAUACUGUUACAAAGUCAUGCCCUUUGGAUUGAAAAAUGUUGGAGCUACAUAUCAGAGGCUGGUCAGCAUGAUAUUUGCCGAACUCAUUGGCAAAACCAUGGAGGUCUACGUGAAUGACAUGCUGGUCAAAAGCCUCCAGGCCAACGAACAUGUAAGUCACCUCGACCAAACAUUUCAUAUACUUAGAAAAUAUAAAAUGAAGUUGAAUCCCCUCAAGUGCACCUUUGAAGUGGCUUCGGGUCAAUUUUUAGGAUAUAUUGUAAACCAAAAAGGAAUCGAAGUGAACCCAGUGAAGAUAAUGGCCUUUCUUGAAAUGAGGUCACCCCAGAAACCAAAGGAGGUCCAAAGCCUCAAUGGUCGGAUAGCCGCACUCAGUCGCUUCAUCUCCAGAGCUACAGAUAAGAGCUUACUCUUCUUCAAUGUGCUGAAGUAAGGAAAGAAGUUCCCAAUGGACUUCUCAGUGCAAAGAAGCCUUCCAAGCGCUGAAGAAGCACUUAGGAGAGGUACUCCUGUUGUCAAAACCUCAACUAGAAGAGCCACUACUACUGUACUCGACCGUUUCGGAUGAGGCGGUCAGCGUUGUCCUAGUCAGAGAAGAAAAUGAGCACCAGUUACGGGUAUACUAUGUCAGCAAAGCACUCGUCCCAGUCGAAACACGCUACCCGAACAUGGAGAAAUUGGCACUCGCUCUCAUCAUAGCCUCAAGGAAACUGAGGCCAUACUUCUAGGCCCACUCAAUUGAAGUUCUCACCAACUUCCCAUUGAAGCAAGUGCUACAGAAAACAGACGCAUCAGGACGCCUGCUAAAAUGGGCUAUCGAGUUUAGUGAGUUUGACAUACUGUUCCGACCUCGACAUGCCAUCAAGGGCCAGACCCUUGCAGAUUUUGUGGCUGAGUUUCCUAAAGCCCUAGAAAUGAAGGCGACAAUGGAAUCAGCCGAGCCCCCAACAUGAAAACUGUUCAUAGAUUGAUCCUCAGGAGAGGCUGGCUCCGAGGCAGGGAUCGUCUUAGAAAGCCUCGAAGGCCACAAGCUAAAUUGCGCAACACUGCUGAAUAUGAGGCCCUUCUAGCAGGCCUUAGAUUGGUGAAGGAAAUACUGGUGAGAACGUCCUAGCAAGUAGCAAUUCUCAGCUUAUAGUGAGUCAGGUCAAUGGAAACUUUGCGGUCAAAGACAGUAGCAUGGUUGCAUACUUGAAAAUGGUUCUGGACCUAGUCCCUCAUUUUGAAAGGUUCAAGCCGAUUCAAGUCCCACACCUAGAGAAUACUCAUGCAGACGCCCUGUUAAAAUUGGCCAAUAGCAAGGAUUUAGAGCUACUAAAAGUUGUUCCCAUUGAACACUUAUCGAAGCCCUCCAUUUCCGGAGGUGAAGAUAUGUUAUGGAUAGAAGGCACCCCGUUAUGGAUGCAACCCAUCAUCGCCUAUCGUAAGGACCAAUCACUCUAGAAGCGAGGUAAGGAAGUUAAGAAGAAGGUUUGCACACUUCGUCCUACAAGAAGAUGUCCUCUACAAAUGUGUAGGAGGUGAAGAUGCCAUAUAUAUACUCAGGGAAAUCCAUGAGGGAAUCUGCGGGAAUCACUCCGGAGAAAUGGCUCUGGCAUACAAAGUACUCCGACAAGGCUAUUUUUGGCUGACCCUGAAAAGGGAUGAUCGCCAAUUUGUCCAGAAAUGUGACAAGUGCCAGCACUUCUCAAAUAUUCAAAGGCAACCUUCUCAAAGCCUCUCCGUAGUGACCAGCCCUUGGCCGUUCGCCAAAUGGGGCAUCGACUUCAUUGGUCCACUCCCAAAAGGAAGAGGAAGCGUGACUUUUGCCAUUGUCGCCAUCGACUAUUUCACCAAAUGGGUCGAAGCUGAACCUCUUGGCAAGAUCACCGAGGCGAAUACUAUAAAAUUCGUCUUGAAGAAUAUCAUUUGCAGGUUGGCAUUUUCCACUCCUUAGUAUCUGACAACGAGAGAAAGUUCGACAACAAGAAAAUGCGAGACUUAUACGACGAACUGGGCAUAAAGAAGGAUUUCUCAACGCCUCAUAACCCACAAGCAAAUGGGUAAGUUGAGGUAGUAAACAAAACAAUCAAGCAUACCCUGAAAAUGAAGCUUGACACCUUGAAGGGGGCUUGGGUCAAUGAGCUUCCCCACGGCCUCUGGGCCAUCAAAAUAACUAGCCGGACUGCAAUAGGGGAGACACCCUUCUCAAUGACCUACGGAGUCGAGGCCAUAAGCCAGAAUGAGGUAGGAGUUCCAUCGCACUGUCGAAUACACUUCGAUGAGAUCAGUAACGACGAGACUUGAAUGAGCAAACUCUACAUCCUUGAAGAAAGGAGGGAUACCUUUCAGGUGAACUUGGCAAAGUAUCAUAGAAAGAUGACCCGCUAUUAUAACUCCAAGGUCAGAAAUCGGACUCUUCGCCUGGAAGACCUCGUCCUUAGAAGAGUCUUCCAAUCAUCAAAGCCAACUGGGUCCGGAGUGUUUGGACCGAACUGGGAGGGUCCUUACCGCAUCCCCCGGAAAUUCCAGCCUGGUACUUUUGAAAUUGAAGACAUGGCAGGGAAAGCACUGACUCAUCAAUGGAACAUUGAACACUUGAGGAAUUACUAUCAGUGAUAAACUUGUGUUUCGAUCCGAUCUCAAUGUUGUCUAAUAAAUGUGUUAUGAUCCAAUCUCAUUUGUAACUUUCCUAUUUUAUUAAGUGCUGAAAAUGCCUUAGUGAAGGGUGAUGUAACUUCUCUAAGUAAUGAUACUUUAGUUCUUUAUCACAUCGGUUAGUAAAUUGUUACCUCAGCUCUUCAAUAUGUUAAUUAGUCCGAUCUUCUGUUAUUAACUGGUUAUUGGUAAACCGCGGUUCAUGUUUACUUAAGUGAUUGUCAUUCAUAUACUCAAGUGUAAACGGCUCAAAACAAUGAAAAAAAAAAGCAGAAGCACUAAUACAUGACAAAUAUUUCAUUUCAUUCAUUUGAAAUUGGAUUACAAAAGAGGUUGAGGCUAUUACAAAGAUUAACUCUAUUCUACAGGGGCAUCUUCCACCCCAGCCUCCGCCUCGCCUGCCCUAGGGGCCUCUAGAUCAUCCUCAGCGAACCUAUUAGGCCGACCUCCAGUAGGCCCACCGAACUUUGCCUCUAACGAGGAUAUGUCCAAAGUAGGAUGGAUCUCUUUCAACUGACCUAAUAAUCCUUGGACGCUUCAGGAAGCCCAAAAGUUUGCAAAGUCGUCGUACAGGGGGUGCUCUUCGAAGUGGUCGAUGAAGUUCUGUAUAGCCACUUCCCCUACCGACUUCAGCUCCUCCUUCAGAGAGGCAAUCUCCUCAGCUUGGGCAUUCGCCCUUUGCCUUAGCUCCUUCUUUUCUUUGUUAGAGGCCUCCACAGCCUCCGUGGCGAGCCGGUGGUGCUCGUUUGCAUGAUCAACUCUUCGAGUAAUAGCAGCCACCUGGCACUCCACUUCAUAGAGCUCUUUCUUCAGCCGCUGUAUGUCCCCCUUGGCAGUUUCCAGUUGAGCCUCAGCCUACUUCCUUCCUCUUUCUUCCUUGGCCCGGGCUUCCCUCACUGCGUCACCAUAUUGCAUCGCCUCCUCAAGGCGCUUAGCGAGGUCCUCCCUCUUAGCGUUGAGGUCUUUCACCAAGCCCUCAAGUUGGAUGCUUGUGCUUAAGGCCCAGGCCAUACAAGCACUGUUGGCUGUAACCAAGUCCUUGAUAGUGCAGGAGGCGGUGUGGUCUCUCCAUUCCUCAGUCCAAUACUUAUUAUGGACCACCGCCACUGUGGCCGUCUCUGGAGGAAGGGCCUCCAGCAUUUCUUUCACUGGCUCCUCUGAGUUGGUGCCCAAGAAAUCCACCUCCUUUGAGGGAUGGACCAUUUUCCUCUUUGGCUGCCCCGACACUUGGGCAAUGGGCACAGCAGCUAUUGGCGAUGUGGUCGGGGAAGAAGAAGCCUCUGAUGGUGCAGGCCUCUUCUCUGAGAUGACCACCCUGGUAGGAAUUGUAGUCUGCCUUAGAGCCGGAGGCGGCCUCGCCACAGUUGGGUGCUUCGAGGGGGCAGCAGGCUUCUUACCCUUCCAUAGCAAGUUUGCGUCUGGGUCCUCCACCACCUUCUCCUCGGUCGAAGGCUGGAGCCUUUUGCUGGCAUCCACCAGAUCCUUCAUCUAUUUUUUGUACGCAGAGGAGGAGGUCUUUAGAGCUCUAGCCUCUGCUAUCAUCUUUUGGAUGGUUUUGAAGUCUUGCUUCAGAGGCAACUUCUUGUUAAAGUUAUUUGCAAGGGAAUAAGUACUUUAGUACAAGUGUAAACAGUUCAGAAAGUGCUAAAAGAUAUUCGCUUCUGGACAUUUACCUUGAGAGGCCAUCAAGUCAUGCGUCACAAAGUGGAUGUUUUUUCUGAUCAACUGGUGGUAUGAUCUCCUCUUUGGAGACAGCUGGUAAAUGAUGCAAAUGCUGUUAAAGUCAUCAGUGGAUAACUCACACCAAGGAAGAGUACCUUCAAAAACAAACAGAGUAGUUAAGAACCGAACCGAAGAAGAAUAAACAAGAAACACAAAGCCACAGUACUCACUAAGUGUUGAAUACUUUGUGAGGACAGUAAGAGGUGCCAGGGGGUCCCCCUCCAUCGUGUCCCAUCUCCCGGUAACCUAGCACCACGAGAUCUUCCACUCCUUAAUGGAGCUCGGUAGAUCAAGCACGAAUAGAGUGUAGAAACCCCAUGAGGUUAAGUAAUACCAACCCCUUGUCUUAUCCCUCCCAACCGCUACCUUGGGGACAUAGAGGGUUUGAAAUACAGAAAAAUACAUCUCUACCCCAAGCGACGCCUCCUUCCACAACAUCCAGGAGCCCACCAUUUGGCUCCAGGAGUUCAAGUUCAAUUGGGUAGGAGCUAAGUCGUAUGACCUAAGUACCAUAUGGAAGAAAGGGUGGAUUGAGAGCCUAAGGCCAGCCCUAACGAUCGCCUCGCUGAUUGCCACGCACCUUGGCCUAGGAUAGCAGGCCCGCUCAUCAGGUUCAGGUAGGAUCAGAUCUACACUAUCUGGGAUCCUAUAUUUAGCCCUAAGUCUUUCCAGGUCGGCACCCUUUAGCUUAGAGGGGUAAUCUGACGCCCCCAAUGCACAGAUGUGUCUACUGGGCUAUUUGUCCUUCUAAACUUUACAAAGCUUUAGCCAUCUCCCAACGCGUCGUCCCCUGUGGGUCAGCGUACUGGUGGCAGAUGAGCUCUUCACUCAGCUUUACAAAGUUUACACGUACCUGAUGCGGAGUCUUCUGUGGGUCAUUGCCUUGGUAGCUGCGUUCCCUCAUAAGCUUUAGCCAUUUCCCAACGCGUCGUCCCUUGUGGGUCAGCGCACUGGUGGUAGAUGAGCUCCUCACUCAACUUUACAAAGCUUACAUGCACCUGACGUGGAGUCCCCUGUGGGUCAUCGCCUCGAUAGCUGCGUUCCAUCCUAAGUUUUACAAAGCUUUAGCAAUCUUCCAACACGUCGUCCCCGUGGGUCAGCGCACCGGUGGUAGAUGAGCUCCUCACUCAGCUUUACAAAGUUUAGACGCACCUGAUGCGGAGUCCCCUAUGGGUCAUCGCCUCGGUGGUCACCUUCCCUCCUAAGCUUUACAGAGCUUUGGCUGCCUCCCAUCGCAUCAUCCUAUAGGCCAGCACAUCUGUUACAGAGAAGUUCCUUGCUUAGUCAAUGAUAAAGCUUUAUUGCAUCUGUCAAAAAUAUUUCCCAACGUAUAUCUCUUCGGUAAAAACAGAAAACCAAUCCGCAAGCUCUCACAAACCAAAGUUCCUGUCCCGAGGCAGACAUACCCGAUCAGGAAAACAAGUUCACCCAUGAUAUAAAUAUUCAUGCCUAAACUUAGGGGGACCACUGUUACACCCCUAUCCGAACCACUUCGGAGAGUCUACCUCUGCCUAUUACGGGGUGUUCAGCUCCUAUCCAAAGUGGUUCCGAAGUGACUUCACCACUAAUGUUGUCGAUCUGCUAACACACUGUGAGGCAUAGACAAUUCUGUUGAAUCGAUCGAAGCGUCCUCACCCCUGAAGCCGAGGCGCACUCUGAGGACCUCUACCAGGAUCCGCUGCCAAUUUCAGAAAGAGAUCUAUGCUAGGAUCCUUUCUGCCCCUAAGGUUUAAUUGAUUUGACGUCUCCAUGAGUUUAGUUGAUGUGACGUAUCAACUUUAUGUCAACUCACGCUUAUGACCGGACGCCUCACACCGCCAGAUGCAUACACGUGUCCCACAUCCAACGGUUCUCCUCAUCUAUAAAGACCCAAUGUUUGACAAGAGGCAAAGGUAAUGCAACUCUUACAAUAUAGCUUUCCAUAACAAGCAAAUAUAUAUUCUCCUCCCCACUAUUUUGCACAACUUUAGUAUUGUUCCGAUCACCUGAGGCUAACUUGACCGUCGGAGUGUAUGCGACCGCCACUACCCCGACUGGUUCUGGCCAUGUGCAUCUGACCGUGCGUUGACUGUGCGCAGGGAGGAAUAUGUAGAGUAGCUAUUGGUUGGCCACGUGGAGGGUCCAAUUUGCGAGGUCAACAAUAAUAAUAAAAAGGAACACCAAAUAAAGAGGGAAAAAAAAUAAAGGAACAAAUCUAGAUUUUCCGUAAAUCCAAAAAUCAAACUAAAAAAUUCUACUCAACAUUAAAUUGAAAAUGCUUGAAAAUCUCUAUUUUUUAAGGAAUUUGAAUAUGGUUGCUUAUUAAAUCGAAACCCUACAUAUGAAUUUUUUUCCCCUUAACUUCAAAUUGCAACCAACCAUUACACAAAUAAAUUACAAAUUAUCCGAAACAUUUAAAUUUAAAAAAAUGAAAAUGAUAUUUACCUUGAUUUGAAGUUGGAUCCAAAUAUGAACCGUCGGAUAUUGAACUUGAAAUGUACUCCGACUAGGAGUGGGUUGUCGAUCGUGAGAUGGAGAAGUGGUUAUUGUGGGGGUGGAAAUUCUUCAAAUUCUUUUUCACCAUUUUGUGUGGGUUUGGAAAGUGGAUUUGUAAAAUGUGGAUAAGUUCAAAAUUGGAAAAUGGGUUUAAAAAGUCGGGGUGAGAGGUUUGAUGUUAUAUUUUUCCACCUUUUUUGCUAGUCAAAUCAGCUUUAAUUAUUGAUAUGCAAGGUAUUUAAAUUUUCUAGAAGGGUAAAAAUGUUCAAAAGUGAUAUUCUUGUAAAGAUUAUUAAAAUGUGACAUUUUUUUAAAAAUGCCAAUCCAAAAGGUGACAUGGGGUGCAAUUUCCUCAGAAAAUUAACUACUGCUUAUAUGUUACUUUUUGUGGAACUUAUGUUAGUUGGAUAUCUUAGCUAUAAUAUAUUGGUAGCUUUAUCUACUACAAAAGCUGAGUUUUGUAGCUGCUUAUAUGUUACUUUUUGUGGAACUUAUGUUAGCCGGAAAUCUUAGCUACAAUAUAUUGUAGCUUCAUCUACUACAAAAGCUAAGUUUGUAGCUGCAAUUGAGGUUAUAAAAGAAGCGGUAUGGUUAAAAGGUUUGUUAUCUGAAAUUAAUGAACUCUAUCUACUAUUCAUAUAUGUAAAAAUCAUAUAUAUUUGCCCCCCAGGGCACAUCCCAAUUGGCAAAGAUGAGGGCGCUUCAAGGCUGGCAGAUCAGAGGUCGUGAGUUCGAUUCCUGGAAAACUUUUGGAAGGCAGGAUUUAUCCUGGAAAGUAGGAGCUCUACUGGAAGGAAAGGUGCAAAAGAUGGGAAACGACUUGUUUGGCACUUUGGCAUAUCAGUUGGGCGGCUCUUGAGCACUGAUCAGUUUGGGGCACAACUUGCGAUUUAACCUAUCUGCAGCUUGAUGGGUCAAGGUGUAGACUGUAGGAUUUAGUCACUGUAAGGUGGAUACCUGAAUAUAAAAAAAAAAAAAAUCAUAUAUAUUUUUUUAUGAAACAACUAAGAACGUUGAUGUGAAAUUACAUUUUAUUAGAGAUAUAUUUGCAAAAGAAUUGGUAUCUCUUGAGAAAACAAAAUUGAGUACAACACAUUUAAUUUGGGAACUAAUAUACUACCUCUAAACAAGUUUAAGACUUUUAAAAAAUGUCAAACAUUAAUAUUGUCUAAUUUCCUCUCGUGGGUACAUAAUGCUUAGUGACGAUACAAGUAUCUAUUAAUUAGAGUUGCUCUAGAUCGUUGAUCUUAAUAUAAGAUCAACAAUGGUCACAGAGGGUAUAAAUAGAAUCCAACCUGUUUCCCUAAUUCAUUACAAGAGUGGUUUUUUUUCAGUUUCUCUUUAAAAGUCCUCUUCGUCUUCUUUAUCAUCUUCAACCUCUAGUUGGAAGGUUUCUAGAUCUUUCUUUGUAAGAAGUCUUUGUGAUUCUGUAUGAGAAGAGGGGUUUGAUAAGAGGGUUGAGGUCUUCUGAUCUAUAGAAUCAACUUCAACGAAUCUAUUUGAGGGUCUAAAUUUGUGGUUUCAGUUUCAUGCAGAAGAGUACGAUAAUCUGAGAGUCAGGGGCGGACGCAGAGAAAUUGAAUUAGGGGGGCACAAUCAAAUUCUGUACAGAUCGAAUACUUUGUUUUUUAUAUUUUGAAUGAUUUAUAUUUGACUCGAAAAAAAUGUAGAUUUACAUUUCAAAAAUAUUUCUUCAUUAAUAUUUUGCUAAUCAUUUUCAUCUCUUUGAUUUUGAACAAUAAUUUUAUUAAUAUUUUACUCAUCACAAAAAAAUGCAUAUUUAUAUUUUAAAAAAUUGUGUAUUUGAUACAAACAAUCAAUUCAAGUAAUCGAAAAAAAAAUAAAUAACCAAUGUUCAAUACUAAUAAUUAGUCAAAUAAACACAAUUUGUUAAAUAUAAGUUAAAUUUUAUAUAGUCAGUUUAGACACGUGCUAUAUAGUAUAUACACAAAUAGGAUAGGGAAAAUGCAUAUUUAGGUUCUAAUUAGUUAAAAAUUUGAUUGAAAAAUGAAAAUUUGUAGUAGAUGUGAUAUUUGUAGAGAAAUUAUAAACAAAUUUUAAAAAAUUAGAAGAAUUAAGAUUUUGGGAAAAUGCUUGAGGGAGAGAAUACGAUAGAACAAUAAAAAAGAGAGAAAAUUCAAAUUCAUUGUAAUUUUGUCUUUAUUUGGUGGGGAUUAAAGUUCGAUUUUUAGUAAAUUUUGAUAAAAUUUUAGAAGUUAAGAAAUUCAGAAAAUAUGUUAUUAAAAUUAAUAAUUAACUCUGAUUUAGAUUAAAAUUAAAAUUUCAAUUGAUAUCAAAUAUGACUUUAUCAAACAAAAAAAUAAAAUAAAAUAAUUGGAAAAGAUCUCAAAAGUUUGGGGGGCGGGGUCACUUGACCCCCCAUGACCCCCUUGGGUCCGCCCAUGCUGAGAGUACGAUAAUCUGAGCCCAUUUUUUGUGAUACUUUGAUUCCUUUGGUAAAAAUGUAUAGAGUUAUAAUUUUCCUUCAAAUUGAUUUGUAAAUUGGUGUCUGUUACUGUAAGAUUUUUGAUAAUAGGAAUCUAAUUGACUACCAUAAUGUACGCUUGUAGAAUUUAGCACAACAAUAAGGGGAACCAAAUGGGAAAAGGUACCAAUAUAAAGAAGAUGAAAAUAUAAUUUUCUAUUUUAUUGACCAAUAGUAUUUUCAUCACUAAAUAAAUAAUAAAAGUAAAAAAAGAAAAAUUAUUUAUUUUGCAAAAUCCUAUCAUAAUUGAACAUUGAUUACAAAAACAAUUUAAAUUACAAAUAGAUUAUCAAUUGGUAAAAUAAAAAUAUUAUUAUUUUGAUAAACUUAAUUUAUUGAUAAAAAUUCUUGAAUAAAUCAAAUAAUAAUAAUAUAAAAUUGAAUACUAACAAAAGAAAGAAUUGCUGAGAAUAAAAUAAUAAUUGAAAAAAAAAAAUUUAAUUGCAGAUAAUAUUAUAAAUAAAUGUAAAGAUAAUAGAAAAAUUUUUAAAAGGGGUAAUUAGAACAAAACAUCACUAUCUUUUGUCACCCUUAGAAAAUCGUCUCUAUCUUUUCAAUUUGGCCAGUUAUGCCCUUAUUUUAAUCUAUUUUAGCGAAAAGGUCAUUUUAGCACUUUUCAUCCAUAUGUUCCAUUAAAUAGACCUGUACUUUACAAAUAACAUAAUUUAGAAGGCCAAAGAUUUUAGUCAACUUAACCUUUAUCAUUUAGUUUGAAUAAAAAUAAUAUGAAAAAAAUAAACAAAAUGAAAUACAAAAUUUCAAAAACUUUUCCAAAGCCUCCAACACACCCACUGCUCCUCUUCUACAACACCCCUCCCUGCCCAAACCCCUUCUACGAUUCCACCCCCACCCUUUGUCCCAACUGUCAGCUUUUAUAUUUAAUCACAAGAGAAAAUUAUUUUUCCCUUUGAAGAUUAAAUACAAAUGGAUAAUAAAUUUAGAUCAACUUGAAGUCUGUUGACACAUAAAAAUUCAGCCCAAAUCGAACAGCUCAAGGAGUAAAGCCCAAUUGGAGGAUCCCCAAAUCAGAUAGCCCAAAGAACGAAGUCCAAUCGAACGAAUCAAGGUGAAGGCCCAAAUAAGAGGGCCCAAGAAUGCGGUAAUGCCAUCGCCCAAGUUUGCAAGUCGCCAAGAAUCUGAACGAAUAGAGUGUCAUACGAUCGCCCAGAGCUGUUAUUUUAUUCUCGCCCAGACAUUCAAGUCGUCCAAGGUAUCAACAGACAUAACGCGUCGUGGUUAUCAAGAAAUGCAGUUAUCAAGGCAGUUGUUAAAGCGGCCAUAUCACGUUCCACGACUCGAGAAAUUCAAUCGAAAGCGGUUGAACGAUGAAAGGUAAUGGCAGCAGUUAAAAGGCAGUUUUAUGACAAAAUGGCCACUACGAAGAAAGUGGGUAGUUAUAGGACGAUCAAGCAGUUUUUGAGUAGUUAAUCACAAAGAGAUCGUCUAUGAAGUAUAAAAGGGAGAAAGGACGUAGAAGCAAAGGACCGAAUCCAAAACUCUCGAACAGAGAAUAUGUAAUUUUCAUUUCCUUAACUUUUAGACUUAAACACUUUUCUUUCUGUAACUCAUGUGCUUGCGCCCCUUGGAGGCACGUUGUUUUUCAUUUCCAAUUGUAAAGUUCAUCGCCAAUAAAAGAACACCCCUUUUUGGGACUUUGUCUCAAGAGGUUUCGUCCCUUACACAAUCGUCUGAUCCUUUUUAAUUGUUAGCGACUUAACCACUGCGAAACAAUUUGGCGCGCCCAGUGGAACAGUGGUGUUAGGUGUUAAAAGUACAAAAGGUGAAACAAUAUGCCUCAGAGAUCCGACAAGGAAGGAGCAAGUCAGGGAGGAAUCCAGUCUGUAAUCGAGCGAUAUGAGGAGCAGCAUGCCUCUCCAUGAAUAGAUGGACAAAAUCAGAGCAAUAACAGUCGUUACGAACCAAUGACGGAGUUUAGUCCUCGAACCAUGCUUGCAUUGCUUGGAGAACUCACGUAAGACGUCGUUGAACAGGUUAAUCUUCGAAGUAUUCAUAAUAUGGAAAGAUUUACACAAAAUGGAAAUGCACACUAUAACAAUAUGGCCAAACAGCUAAAGACGUUAAACGAAACAAUGAAUAAGUUAGUAGGUCAAAUAUGUCAACCGGCUAUACCUCUUACAAACCACUUUCAAACCAGGACAAUUGUGGGACAUAAUCCCUCUGUCCUAAAUCCGAAUCAAGGGGUAGAACCGCUUUCUGGUCCCUCUACUUCAAACCAAGGGGGUACUACAGUGCCAAAUCAAAACAAUGGUAGUGGCAUGCCUAAUUUGGGGGGUAGUCCAAACGUGAGAGAUAAUGUCCUAAACAAUGGACAAAAUAUUCCACGUGGUAAUGAGGGAACAGAUGUCCAGGCUAAUGGUAAUGGCCCUAAUUAUGGUAAUUUUGUUGUCAAUCAAGGACCAAACAUCAGACCUUAUGCAAAUCAACCGGUUAAUCAGCCUGUAGGAAUUCCAUAUGAUCCCAAUGUCAUGUUGAGGAACCAGAUUAUGGAAAUCGUGCAGGAUCAGAUGGCUUUUGGGGUGCGUCCUGUUAUUAGACCGACGUACACAAAGCCAUAUCCUGAUUGGGUAGACCAAGCAUAUUCAUGGUCUAGAGGGUACAAAGUGCCAGAAUUCUCACUGUUUACCGGUUUAGGAGAGGUGUCUACUCUAGAACACAUAGGGCGAUUCACAUUACAAAGUGGUGAUGUGACCGAUUACCAUAAAAUGAGACUUUUCCCUAGUUCGUUAACAGGAGUAGCUUUCUCCUGGUUCAUCAACUUGCCAGCGAACUCUGUUCAAACAUGGCAACAACUGGAACAGUUGUUUCACACUCAGUUUUAUAAAACUGAGUCUGAAGUCACUUUGGCUGAUUUGACGAAUCUACGUCAAAUGCCAAAUGAAUGGGCAGAAAGUUUUCUCCAAAGGUUCAAAACAGCAAGAAGCAAGUGUUUUGUACCUCUGCCCGAAAAAGAAUUUGUCAAGAUCGCACAAGGCUGCUUGAGCUUUGAUUUAAAAAAGAAGUUCCAGGACAAGGAAUUUCCUGACCUUUUUCCAGUUGAGUGCGAAUGUGAUUAGGUAUGAGCGACUGAUAAGAGAAGAAGAACAAAUGAAAAAUUCUAGUAAAGGGACUUAUUACAGAGACCCAAAUUUUGACGUUCAUACCAUCGAUGACGAAUCAUACGAUCAGGCCGAAAUGUGUUUGGCCGAAUUGGUAAAAGGGGAUACAUAUACUUGUCCCAUAAUGGCCAAGCCUAGACCAUCGGGCAAAGAUGAGCCCAUAGAGGAUGGAAACAUAAAGGCUAGAACGUUCUCGUUCGAUGUGACCAAAGCUGAUCUUAUAUUCGAUAAAUUAUAUAGGGAUAAGCAAAUAAAGCUGAGCGAUAAGCACAAAUUGCCAAACCCUAAACAAAUAAAGGGUAAAAAAUAUUGUAAGUGGCAUAAUGCAUGGUCACAUUUGACUAACAAUUGCUUGGUUUUUCGUCACGUAUUGCAGGAUGCUAUUGAAUCAGGACGAAUUACGUUCGAUGAUAAGAAAAAGAUGGCAGUGGACGAUAAUCCUUUCCCACAGCCACUUGGGGUAAACAUGGUAACGUCUGGAUUUAAGAACAAGUUGCCAAAAUUCAAGUUGGUCAUAGAUGAUGGAGAAGAGGAUACUAAAACACAUCCCAGUGUCUUCGAACGAAUCAAAGGGAAAGAACAAAAAAAGGACGAAAAUGUCCUGUGUACAAGGUGUAAAAGGGAAGUAAAUGGAGAUACAGAGAAACCAGGGAAUGGCAGUAUCCUCAUCGCCCUGCCUUCUUCUCAAACAUUCAGCCUGGUAGAGGGCGAGGUACCUCAUUCUAUAGAGGACCGCCUUUUGAAAGGAGACCAGCAGAUACUGGAAGAACAUUUAGGCUGCAACCUCGCCGGCCAAAUGUAUGGCAUUCAUUCCAGUACAGUGCAGGAAGGGCAAUACCCUUCGAUGAGAUGACUAGGACCCAACAAAGGCAUUUCCAACGAAACUACGGACGGAUGAUGAGGCAGCAACAAGGAAUGCCACAUCCCAAAGUGCCUCUACUACUCAAGGUAGCCAAUCAAAACGUCCUCAAAGGUAGUAAAGAGAUUGGUACAGACGAAUCAAUGAAAGAACUGUCAGAAACCUCUUCUGGGAGAUCAUGGUUUGAGAGGAACAAAAGGGAUGAAGAAGAUCCAGAUCAGCCCCUUGCUAUCCAAUUCGGUACGUUGCCUCCUGUCGUGGCCAAUAAUUACCUACUGGCCAAUGAAUUCAAGAAUAAGGAAAAGGAAGAAGAGAGGGAGGACAACGAAGGAGAAGCCUGCGUGCUGGUAUGUGAAGAAGACCAGACUUCUGGAGAGGCCUACAACGACGAAGAGGACGAUGGGAUGACAGACAUUGAAGAAGAAAUCGACCUAGAAGCAGAAAGGAAAAAGAGAGGAGUAUCGCGCAAUACUCUGUUUAAGAAACUGCAUCAAGAGGGAGUUCACGAAGUAGACUUAUUGGGGGAGCCAUCUGGGCAUCCUUUCGAUUUCUACGUACUGUACGGGACACCCAAAAAGAAGAAGAGAGUGCCUCGCUCUGAGAAGUAUGGGUCACCUCCAAGAAUAAUGCCCGCUCCCACAGGUUGGAUAACUGAUGGGGAAGCAUUAGAAAAAAGUAAGAAGGAAAUUCAGGAGACAGAGGAUCAGCGUGACAUACUGCACGUCGACCUAUCACAAGAGGAUAAUUCGACAGAAAACAAGCAAGAGGUAGAAAUAGAGGCUGCCGAAAAGGUUGUUUUUAAACGGCCAGCCAUGAAAUUGACAAAACACCUUAGGCCAUUAUACGUUAAAGCUCUAGUUAACGGCGUCCCAGUGGCAAAAGUGCUUGUCGACAAUGGAGCAGCUAUAAACACCAUUCCAUCCAGGAUGAUGAGAAAGUUCGCAAAGACAGAGGGUGAUAUGAUUCCUACAGAAGUCAUCCUCACUAGCUUCAAUGGAGGAGCAACUUUAGCUAAGGGAGUUAUGCCAUUAGACAUAACUAUAGGUACGACUACUAGGACCACUGUCUUCUUUGUAAUAGAUGGUCCUACUAGUUACAACGUGCUCCUAGGAAGAGAUUGGAUACACGGAAGUCGCUGUAUAUCCUCGUCGCUCCAUCAAUGCCUGAUUUUUUGAAAUGAGAAAGGCGAAGCAGAGGUGGUACAGGCUGAUCAUAGGCCUUUUGUCGCAGAAGCAAACUCGAUGGAAAAGUUCAUGUACGAAGGAAACUAUGGACCUGUCAGAGUGGUACAAGACGAGGAAGAAACUCAGGUUGUCGCGCAAAGCGAAGAACCAUUCUCAGUGGACGCACUCACUGAGAUGUUCAAAUAGAUGAAGCCAAAUAUAGUGGCCCUGGAAGAGCCAGUAAUUAGCAAAAGAAUAAUUAAGGAGUCUUGAAUGAACUUUAAGUUACAAAAGCAAAUGGCCGACAUUCAGGCCUUCAAAGCCAGACUGAUGGCUUUCAAUAAGGAAUGCAAUGACAAAGUAAAGGAAGAGACUGCCCUAAAAGUGCUGAAGGACAAGUUGGCAGUGUUCGAGUUAGAGCAAAGCAUUGGCCGAGAAGUCAACAAGGUGGAUUGUUUGGAAGAGAAAGUACUUACAAAAGAACUGGACGACGAAGCGAUGCGGAUUGCCAAACCUGGAUACGCUCAAGCACAAGACCCUCUGAUCAAAGGAAAUAUUGGCGAUGAAGGAGAAGAUCACCCAACGUUCAUCAGCCAGAUGCUCGAUCAAGAGGUUAGUAACAAAUUAAUCGCUUUGUUAAAAGAGUACAAAGACUGUUUUGCUUGGGAAUAUGAACAAAUGUCUGGUUUAGAUAGAGACUUAGUGGAACAUAGAUUACCAACUAAGCCUAAUUUUAAACCUCAUAGGCAACCUCCUAGGCGUUUUGCUCCUAAUGUACUCCCUGAAAUUAAGAAAGAGAUAGAGCGAUUAUUGAAAGCAGGUUUUAUAAGAACAGCCAGAUAUGUUGAAUGGUUGUCGAAUAUUGUGCCAGUACUAAAAUAGAAUGGAAAACUAAGGGUGUGUAUAGAUUUUAGAAAUUUAAACAUAGCUACACCCAAAGAUGAGUAUCCAAUGCCCACGGUGGAUCCUUUAGUAGAUUCAACUGCCGGACAUGUUAUAUAUCCUUUCAUGGAUGGGUAUUCAGGAUAUAAUCAAAUCUAUAUAGCUGAAAAAGACAUACACAAAACUGCCUUUAGAUGCCCUGGGCCUCUAGGAUGUUUUGAAUGGGUGGUUAUACCUUUCGGCCUAAAAAAUGCAGGGGCAACUUAUCAAAGGGCGAUGAAUUUAAUCUUUCAUGAUAAAGAAGAACAUCAAAAGGCUUUUGAAAGCCUGAAGACAUAUCUAUCAAGUCCACCAGUAUUGGUGUCACCAAUCCAGGGACGGCCAAUGAAAGUAUAUGUAUCGGUUGAAAAAGAAUCAAUAGCUGGAAUGGUCGCGCAGGAAGACCAAGUUGGUGAAGAAAGGGCAAUUUACUAUUUAAGUAGACGGUUAACAAAAUGUGAAUGUAAUUACUCUGCUAUUGAAAAAUUGUGUCUAACACUAUAUUUCACAUGUACAAAAUUAAUGGCUUAUUUACGGCCCGUAACCGUUUAUUUAAUUUCUAAAGUAAAUUUAGUCAAGUAUAUGUUCUCGCGCCCUAUUUUACACCAAAGGGUAGGCCUUUGGACACUAGCUUUAUCAGAGUUCGAAAUACAUUAUAUAUCUCAAAAGGCAGUCAAAAAUCAGGUUUUGGCUAACUUUCUAGCCGAUCAUCCAUGCCUUGACAUGCCUGAAGAAAUCGAAUUAGAAAUCAAUUCGUUCGAAUUAAAACCUUGGGUGUUGUAUUUCGAUGGGUCAAAAACUUCUAAAGGUGCAGGAGUAGGGGUAGCAUUGAUUAAUCCUUUAGGGAUUUGCUACAAGUUUGCAUUCACCUUAGACAGAAUGUGCACCAACAAUCAGGCCGAAUAUGAAGCUUUAAUUGUAGGCCUAGAACUAAUAGUAGAUAUGGGAAUAAGAAAUGUAAUUGUUAGGGGCGAUUCUCAAUUGGUGAUCCAUCAAUUGAUCGGUGAUUUUAAAUGCCAAAGUGAUUCCAUUAUAAGUCAGUACGAGAUCGCCCAAGAAUUACUAGAAGAAUUCGAUCAAGUAGAACUCCAAUGCGUUAAUAGGAUAUAUAACGACAUGACAAAUGAGUUAGCCCAAAUGGCAUCAGGGUACUCAAAGGUUUUGAAUUGGAAGUCUAUUUGUGAAUAUGGAAUCAUAUUGCCCGUGAUUCAAAGAAGGGUGAGAAAAAUUGAACUUCACUGUAUACAAGAUGGAGAUACAGUGGAUUGGAAAACAGAGAUUAAAGGGUUCCUUAAAGAACCUAAUGGAGGGAUUAGCAGGAAGACAAAGCUAUGUUUGCUGAAUUACACACUAAUAGAUGAAGAAUUGUUUAAGAAACGCUCUGAUGGUCUAUUACUAAAGUGUAUAAGUUUGCAAGAAGCCAAGACGAUCAUGGCUGAAGUGCACGAAGGGAUAGGUGGAGCUCAUCAAGCUGGCCAAAGGAUGAGAUGGUUAAUUAUUAGGAGUGGAUAUUUUUGGCCAAAGAUGGGAGAACUAUGCGUUCAGUAUGCAAAAAGUUGUUUAGCAUGCCAAAAACAUGGUCCAAUACAAAGGGCACCAGCACGAGAGAUGGCACCUAUUAUUAAACCUUGGUCGUUCAAAGGUUGGGCGAUAGAUCUGAUAGGGAAGAUCUACCCUCCAUCGUCCAAGCAACAUAUUUUUGUUAUAGUUGCAACCGACUAUUUCACCAAAUGGGUAGAAGCGGUACCUUUAAAAGAGAUCACCCAGAAGAAUGUUAUAGAGUUUAUUCGUGAUCACAUUAUUUAUAGGUUUGGAAUUUCACAAACUUUAAUGGUAGAUCAUGGAACAUCUUUGAAUGGGGAUCAAGUGAACAAAUUUUUGAGCGAGUUUGGGGUUAAAUUAGUAAACUCCACAACUUACUACGCUCAAUCCAAUGGACAAGCGGAAUCUUCUAAUAAGAUUCUAAAAAAUAUCAUCAGAAAGAUGAUAGAUGAAAACGCCAGAAAUUGGCACGAAUGUUUGAACAAGGCCUUAUGGGCUUAUAGAACAUCACCUCGGUCAAGUACCAAAGUUACUCCUUUCCAACUUGUUUAUGGACAUGAGGCCGUUUUGCUUAUGGAAAUCAACGUGCAAUCAAUUCGAGUGUGCUUGCAACAUAAGUUGAAUGAUGAUGAGUAUGCUGAAUCACUAGUUCAAAAUUUAUUAAGUUUAGAUGAAUUGAAGUUGGACGUCUUAGAUAGGUUGCAAGUUCAAAAGCAAAGAAUGGCUAAAUUUUAUAAUAAAAAAGUCAUAGCCAAGUCGUUCAGCCUGGAUGAACUAGUUUGAAAGACGAUAUUCCCUUUGGAUACCAAGGAUCCAAAGUACGGGAAGUGGUCGCCCAACUGGGAAGGACCAUACAAAAUAAACAAUGUAUUGCCUAAUGGAGCAUACCACUUGGAAGAUUUAGACGGCACCAAGCACGUAAGAUUCAUUAAUGGCAAAUAUUUGAAAAAAUAUGUUCCUUCUUUAUGGGAAUGUGAACAGAUAAAAACAUAACCAAACAUUCUGGACGAUCAAAAGAUAAUAAAGACAGAGCGAAAUACGUUCGAAUAAAGUUCUUUAUUAUCAAACGUUCAUUACAAGAAUACAAAAGAUACAAAUAAUAGAUGUGUUACAAAAUACGACUAAAGUAAGAUGAUCUCCCAGUUGAUCGCUGAGUAAGCUUCACACCCCUUCCUAAAUACAUCGCUGCAAAGGUGGGGUUGACGAGUAAGAGGGUGUACUGGCCUCACCACCUUCUUAAAUGCAUCGCUGCAAUGGCGAGGCUGAGAAACACUCUCAGCAGGCAAGCUGAGAAGCACUCUCAGCAAGCAAAGUGGCCCACAAGCAGCCCAAAAAUUGCCUCCCAUCAUUGACUCCUUGUGAAGAACAAAGAGACGAUGGGAAGAAUUUUGCAGGAAAGAACUUCGCUGCUGGCCAGAAAAUAUUUCCUAUACCUCCCAUACCAAAGGUGACAUCAAGGUAAAUAUAAGACGGACGUACCAUUUUUGGAUCAGGUUGAUCGUUAGAAUGCCAAGAAAUGGCAGCAAAUUGGUUUCGAAUAAGAAAAUGAAGAGAUGAAGAUAGAGGAUGAAAAAUGCCAAACAUUUAUAGGAGGGUGAAGAUGAAGAGACAGAAUAUGAACAGCCACAUUUCUGUUUAAUAAGUAGAAUUAAAUAGCCCUAAGUCUUGGGAACAGUAGUGGGAAUAUCAAAAGGGAAUGGACAAGAUUCUUAGUGCAAAGCAGUUAAGUGGUUAAAGAAUUGAUGACUAAAAAAUAAACGUCAAAUAAAUGCACAAGAAGUUAAUGUUCAUUAAUAAUGAACAAAGUUACAAAGAGAAAAAUCGAAUUACAAAAGAAAAAAGACAUCGCAUGUCUUAAUUAUAGUCUACCCCAUAAGGAACGAAUUCGUUCCCUAAGUUUUUCCCAAUCCUCAUUCUGUCGAGAGGAAGUGAUGUUCAAUUCAGCCGCGACGUCAUCAUCAUCAACCUCCAACUUCUUGUACUGCUCGACCAAGGACUUAGUUCGCUCAAUUCCCUGAGAGGCGUUGUGCUUUUUAGCAGCCAUCCUCGCCCUGCAGUCAUCCAUUUUAGCUUGAAGUUCCCUUAUCUGAGCAGCCAAGUUAACCAUCAAAGAGUCUUCAAUCAUGACUUCGGAGGAGAUUUCUUUCAAUUCGUCCUCAGCCUUGUUAAUCUCCAUACGCAAAGACUCUUUCUCAGCUACGGCUCGAAGAUAUUGAGUACGCUUGGCCUUUAAUUCAGUAUUCUUGGCCAGCAUAGAAAGGACCUCGGAGUGGAUAACUUUCAACGUCGCUUUAAAAUCGGCAGAAAGAUUGAGCGACGGAAGUGUCAAUGCUUGCUCCAACUUCGCACUCAAAUGCUCAAGUUCAUCCUUAUGCCUGGCAGCACUAGCCCUUCCAAUAUCCAUAUCCAUGAAGGAUACGUACUCAAAUAUCAAUUCCUUCAGGAACUUCAAGUCUUCCUCUGAAGAAGCAGCAGGAUGAUCGGAUGGAGCAGGGCGAAACGUCUGAAUUUGCCCCCAGGAAGCGAACAAGUCUUGGAUAGAACGCACAUUCCUGUCAGCAUCCUGCAAAGAAGACUGCCAAUAUUGAAAAUCCUCACUACAACGAAUAAGGUGGAAAUAGAAAUGAAGCAAAAAGAAAAACUACAUCGUUGACAAUCGUAGAAGAUGGCGCACCCUCAGCCAAGCUUGCCACCAACGACUCAUCCAUUCGUGAGGACUUCCCCUUGUCCGAGCGAGAAGAUGUUGCCACAACAGGCGGACUCAUAGGAGUAUCUGUAAAGUUCAAGAGCAACAAAUCAGAAACCAAUAGCACGAGCAAAGGUAAGACAUCAAAAACUGAAUUACCUUCUGCUUCGAUGAUUGGGGGGUCGACGCCCUGGGAAGAAGGUGGCUCAUCCAUGAGUUGUGAUGAAGACUUUGGGACUGAAGAUGUAUCUUUAAGCAUGGUCCCAUCAUCAACCGGUUUGGAUGAAGUAGCCUCAGCAUAUGAUGAUGGAGCAGGAGUUGUCGAUGCCAAAGCCUUUGAAGGGGAGGCUGAGCUUUUCUGAAAAGUCCAAAAGAUUAUCAGUACACAGAAAAGUUUCAAAUAUGGAAAAACAUACUUGUAAAUAGACCAAUUUAAUUACCUUCCUCCUGACGAUAAGAGGAGCAUCAUCAUCAUCAUCAUCAACAUCAUCCUCCAGAAUGGGAGAUGCUGAGGUUGGCCGUUUGAGGCUUGGAGCACUCUUGGCCGUAGUCGGCCUGGCGGGGAGAGAAGAAGAUGGACGAGUAGAUUGUUUAGUGCGACGAGAAGGAGAGGGGCUCCGAAUAGACAAAGGAGUGACCAAAACAGGAGGAGGAGAAGAGAUACUCGGUUGGUCUAAUGAAUGAAAGGCACGAAUGGCCUCAGUUGCAAAUAAUCUGCGCUUCACCGAUGGCCAGAGUUGUUCAAAAAGAGGGUGAGUGGCAUGACAAGAAUUAAAAGGAGCUAAUGAAAAGUGGCUUGAUAAAUGGAGGUUGCGAGCGUUUAUAGCCUCUGCUUCCGCCUUAUUAAUGGUAUGAAAACGGUCAAUUAAGUUCUUCGAAUAGUAAAGAGGAACAGGCCAAGUUUGGCCAAAACCAAGCUGACGAGCAAAAAAUUGGGGAGCAUAAAUUUCUUCCCCCGCUUUGGCAUUGGUCCCAGUUAAGAUAUCAUGGAAAAGCUCCCUCCCGGUUAAGAACUGGAUCCAAAUGAGCAGGGAGGUGCUCGCGCUAUCUAUAGUAGAAGGGGGAUGUACAUAGUUUGGAGUUAAAAAAGGAAAAAAGGAAGAGAUUGAAUCUAAAGAAUAAAAGAAGGAAAAAAUGUCCCUUCUGGACAUAUUUACAGGAGUUAAGGGCUCCAUAGCUAGCCCGUAACAGCUAGCAGAAGGACGAGAAAUGGAUGGAGCACCAAGCAAUGGAAAAUAGAAUCUCAACCACAGUUGAGUGAACCAAAGAGGUCCACUGCCAGUGGGAGAUGCACCAUUCUUCAAUUGAGCUUGAAGAAAAGCCAUGCCUCUAUAAAGGGCAGCCAAAAACAAAGAACAUAAAUUCAAAGGCCUGCCACACGCCAAUUCGUGUGCUAUAGGUAAAUAACUCAGAGAAGGCUUUAUACUUGGCACGCACAAAAUAUAUUUACAAAGCCAAACUAAAAGAAAGGCCACUUGCUCAGCAUGGGUAGGCUCAGCGCUCGAAUGAUUGUGGAGGGUCUGCAGGCUUGAAUAAGAAUCGGUGUAGUUCUUGCCAAACUUUGGGGCGCCACCAGAAACUAAGAUACCGGGAAAAAUAGUAUCGCCCAAAGGUGGCAGAUUCACCAGGGCCCCAACAUCCCUUAAGGUAAUAGACAUGGGGCCGAGGGGGAAAAUAAAGGUGUUAUACUCAGGGGACCAAAAACUCAAAGCAAUUGGAAAGAGCGCUGAAUCAAAAGUAGGGGGGCGAAUAGAGACUUCUAACAAAUCAGAAAUCCUAGCGCUAUCAAAAAGUGCCUUAGUAGGACCAUGACCCACAAGACGAGCAUACCACCUACGAAAAGCUACGUCAGAUUUAGGCCAAGUGCGAAUACCUCUUUCGCGAAGUGGCCCCAACGGUAAAUAGUUCAGGAAUGGAGGACCCUGAGUGCAAGGAAACAGCUGACCCACCACCGCCUGUUCAACUGCCUCUGCAUUGUUGAAGAAAGGACCCAAGUAGAACUCAUUACGUCCAACGUCGGCGGGUACGAGAAAACUUGGGGUUAUGUAUGGGCGACUCAGAAGUCUCUGAAAGUCAUCAAAACUAAAGGAGUCGCUAGCUUGAGAUUGUGAAGCAGCCAUUGGAGAAGGAGCGAAACUUUUCAGGGUUACGUAAUAAGGAAGCAAAAGAUGAACAGUGAAUUGUGAAAGAGACGCAAAAAAUAUGAGGCGUGGUUUGGUAGCAGUGAAAUGGCGUGUUUGGGGUUUAUAAGGGUUUGUAAAACGACGCACCUUUUCAAGUUAUAGAAGGAAACAAUGAUUGAAAUUCUUGGGAAUUUCGAACGUUGCUGGAAACAUGAAGUGAAUAUGGCAAAAUUCAAUAAUUAUUAUUAAUUCUGCCAUAUUGGGGGGUAAUUGUUGACACAUAAAAAUUCAGCCCAAAUCGAACAGCCCAAGGAGUAAAGCCCAAUUGGAGGAUCCCCAAAUCAGAUAGCCCAAAGAACGAAGUCCAAUCGAACGAAUCAAGGUGAAGGCCCAAAUAAGAGGGCCCAAGAAUGCGGUAAUGCCAUCGCCCAAGUUUGCAAGUCGCCCAGAAUCUGAACGAAUAGAGUGUCAUACGGUCGCCCAGAGCUGUUAUUCUAUUCUCGCCCAGACCUUCAAGUCGCCCAAGGUAUCAACAGACAUAACGCGUCGUGGUUAUCAUGAAAUGCAGUUAUCAAGGCAGUUGUUAAAGCAGUCAUAUCACGUUCCACGACUCGAGAAAUUCAAUCGAAAGCGGUUGAACGAUGAAAGGUAAUGGCAGCAGUUAAAAGGCAGUUUUAUGACAAAAUGGCCACUACGAAGAAAGUGGGUAGUUAUAGGACGACCAAGCAGUUUUUAGAGUAGUUAAUCACAAAGAGAUCGUCUAUGAAGUAUAAAAGGGAGAAAGGACGUAGAAGCAAAGGACCGAAUCCAAAACUCUCGAACAGAGAAUAUGUAAUUUUCAUUUCCUUAGCUUUUAGACUUAAACACUUUUCUUUCUGUAACUCGUGUGCUUGCGCCCCUUGGAGGCACGUUGUUUUUCAUUUCCAAUUGUAAAGUUCAUCGUCAAUAAAAGAACACCCCUUUUUGGGACUUUGUCUCAAGAGGUUUCGUCCCUUACACAAUCGUCUGAUCCUUUUUAAUUGUUAGCGACUUAACCCAUGCGAAACAAAGUCAUUGGAUUUUAUUUCUAAAUCUUCACACAUAAUAGUAAGAAAAUAACCUUGAAAAAGCUUUAAAAGACCUUCCAACUUUCUAGCCAAAGCUUCACUCCUUUGAUCUUCUCCCAUGUUUCCCUCCUUUAAGUGCCUCCCUUACGAAAUAUGGGAGAAUGUGGCUAAACCUAAUAUUAAGAAAAUUUGUCCACAACGGGUAUAUUUAUAAUACACAGUUAGGAUUUCAUAAUUGCACUAUUACCCUUGGACUUUAUUGUAGUAAGCAAAUUAAAUUUCAUACUUAUAUUAGACCCAAGAGGGGGACCUAAUCAGGUUCACAAGAUUCAAACGCCAAUAGAUGUUUCUAAUUAGGUUAACUCUUGAGCAAUUAAGAUACAUUUAUUAGUCUCGACUUAUUCUAUCAAAAAGUUGAAAUUGCACUCUAGAGUCAAGUGAUAAUUAUGAAAGCAAAUUGUGAUUCAAUAGUAAUAUCCUCUAGUAAUCAUUCCAGAAGCUUACCCCCAUUUGACCGUCAAUAUGUUGAAAUUGACAAAAUGAUCGUUUUGCCCUCUCAACAUGUAUUGUCCUCCAAAUCCCAUUUUUAUAAACCAAAUUCAUUGUGAACUAAUCAUAACAUAGAAUCUAAUGAUCCCAUUGUUAAAAUGUAUACUGAAAUGCCUCGAAGUGACGAUUGUGUCAUUGUGAUGAUUAAUGAAUUUAUUAUUACAAGUAUGCCUAUACUCUAAUUGUUUCAUCCCAAUUCCCAAAGCACCAAGAUCAAUCUUCUAAUUAUGACAUCACUUAUUAGUACCUCAAAGAACAUGAACUAGCAAUAAAAAAUGCAUUACUCACUCAGAAUUUAGGUGACUCAUUUGAUUAUCGAUUAGUGUCUCAUUCCUAGUGGUAAAAAAAAUGAGUCAUCUACAUGAUCCCGUCAAAUGUGCACCAAACACAUCAUUUUUCUUAUUUUUGAGAACUAGAUGAAUCUUGAUAAGAACAAUUUAAUUUUAUCAACAUAAAGUGUCUAGCUUUAUGUACCAAUUGAGAACGAUAGAUUUUGAUCACGUUACAAAACGUAUCUCAUUAUACUCAUAACCAUCAAGAUACAAUUUGUGACAUCCUAUAUGAUCAUGAAACUAUAUACUAUUGUUACAAAUUAAAAUACACGAAUAAUCGAAUGUUAAUUCAUAAUGUAGUUCACAAAAUAUUGCUCUAAGGACAUCAAACUAACACAAAGAAUAUAAAUUUGGUGUUUCUGGAGAAGGUGAUUGUAUGGUACCAUCUCCACCUUUCCAUUAGACAAUUUGCAAAUCACGGCUUCGAUGUUUUAAGGCUUGAUUUCCAAGCCUUUAUUUUUCCACUAAAAAUUGCUUUAUGAAUAAUCACUUGGUAAAUUAUAACACUUAUUGGUCAAUAUUUACAUGGUUAGGGAAACAAACUUAAAAUUCAACAAUUGAUUUGUUCAUUGCCUAAUUUCUAGAAUUUAUAGUAGAAAUACCAUAAUUUAUAGUUUUUAAGUGACAUUACAUGAAAUAAUUAUAUUCUUUUUAGUUAUUUUCAUUAAUUUAGUUAUCCUUCUUUUGUUGUCUCUUCCAUGCCUCCAUGGAAAUAACGUUACAUUCUUAAUGAGUUUUGUUCUGAUAUAUCCCGUAACCAUACGGGAUCGUUGACAAUUAACAUAUUUGAUUAGUUAAGAGUAUCGUUCAAUAGAGAAUAAGCUUUGAAUCAAAUUCCAUCAAUCCAUUAUUGAAUUCGAAUGUAAAGUAACAAAAUAGAUUAUUAUUUAUUAUUCUAAGUUAUCUGCUAAUUAUCUAAUAUAGUUAUAAACUAAACUGGUAUGUAAGUGUUGGAAUUCUGAAUCCACCCAUUAUUAUUCUAUUUCCAUUUCUCAACUAUGUAAUUUAAUUUCAUUCAUGCAUUUUAUUACAAUCGAUAAUCCUCUUAUAUUCAACUUUCAUUUUCAAGAUAAGUCAAUUCUAUUCUAUACACAAUCCAAUCUUAUUCUUAGUCUGAAUUCGAAUAAGCAAAAAGCAUUCAAUUACAUGAUAAUCUAGGUGAUAAUGCAUUAAUUAACACAACUAUCUAGGUGAUUGCACACGUGAUAUAUGCUAUUUCUAACAUUUAUUGUCCAUAUAUUAAUCACGUAGUGUUCUGCUUAAUUGUAAGUGUCCCAGCACUACAAACAACUAAUUACCUAAUUGGUGAUUAAGUAAUCAAAUAGUACAACAAACAUGCAUAAUUAAUUAAGAAAAAUAAAAACUACUAAACUACUUGUCUUUGAAUUAAAAUUAAACAAAUAAACGGUUAAUCUUCAUCCAAUACAAAGGAAUCUAGCUUAAUUUUGAGAGAACGCAACAAGAAGAAUGGAAAAUCAUCACCCAAAAUUUAUAAGUAAAAGAGAGAGUUAUCACGGUCUAAUUCUUGUUCUUGAUCUUCAAUCCCAAGCUUUGAUUAUUCAAGUUCUUGAUAUUUUUUGAUUCAAUCCACUUGCUAAAUUUGUACACCCCUCUUACUUAUAUUGAAUUGGCCCCUUAUUCUUGAAUGAUUUUGUUAUAUGGACGUGAUUUGAGAAUUGAGAGAGAGAGAGAUCUCUUCAAUGGCUGUCGAUGUAUUGUAUGUAUAGAAGGUGAAAUUAGGUAAAAAAAAACACGUCUAAAUUGGGUUUCAAAAAAGAGUACUAAUCAAAUAAGGAAAGUUGCCUUCAUGUCGUGCAUGGUUAUAUCUCUAUAUAGUCGUCAAUAUUUUAUCAUAUCUUUCAAUAUUCGAUAAUCGAUUGAGGCAAAUCAAAAUGUAUUGAAAAACUAACUCAAAUAGAUAGAAUUGUUCUAGAAAUAUCAUUUUUCUAAUUUGAACAUUUAGUAUGUGAGAAAUGGAUCUCAAUGUGCGACUUAAAAUUGGAUUGGUGAACAUAUUUUGACUAUAUUCUAAUACUUCACUCUUUCGACUUUUAAAUGCAUCCAAUUGAUCCUAUAUAUCUUUAAUCAUCAUUUCAAGGUUAAAAAUGUAUUGGUAUCUGCAACUAGAUCCCCCAAACUUUGGAUUUUAUUCAUUUUCGUUGAUUUUUCAUUCUAUUAUUCCAAAUUAACUUCAAAUCAUUGAGUUGUUCCUACCGUUCAUCUAAUGACUAAAACCAUUGUAUUAAAUCUAUGGACAACUUCAAAAUCACAACACAAAAAUUAAAAUAGACUUACCCAAUUAAAAUUCGAUGUAUAUUUGUGAAAAAUUAAGUAAAAUAUUAUAAAUUCACAAAUUGCUUCCAUUCACGAUCCUUAAUAGUCAAAUAUAUCAUUUUUUUCCAUUCGUGAGAUAUUAUACACACAAAGUUAUUCCAUUAACUCUUUUCCCAAUGUGUAAUCUAAGGUCAUUUCUUAUACUAAUCAUCACCCUCUCUAGUUUCGAUAGAUUCCACUAAUUGCAAGUCAAUAUCUCUACAAAAAUGAAUUCUCCUAUAUUUUGACUGCAUCAACCUCUAAGAAUAAACUAGACUAAUAGAUAUGAAAUAUAUAAUUCUCUCAAACAAGUAUUUGAGGUUUAAUCAAGGUAUGUAGCUCGUCAAGUCAUGUAGUUCAUCUUCUAUUUCAUGCACCUGGUUGUUCAAGUUUGUCAUGCUCAUUCUGAUUCAUACAUUAAGUGAUCACUUUUGAUUUUUUUUUUUUUUUUGGGGUUUUUUGAAAAUUGUCGCCAUUGAGAUCUUGUAUAGAGUAAUUUCACUCAUGAUCAUGGAAGCUUUUCCUUUUUUAUGUAAUGAUUAAUGCAAUCUUUCUCAUUAAAUAUUCAUUCUAAAACACCAACCAUUAACUUAAAAUUUUCACCUAAUUUUCAUCUUAUUAGCCUUAAACAAUUCAAACAAGAAUUUGCACACAUCUAAUACACAUUCAUCUCAAUAUCUUCUUAUAACAAUUGAAUCAUCCCCAAACUAUUCUAAAUUUGGUUUAUAAAUGUAUAUUAUAACAAUUUUUGAGAUUAGCAUCUAAAUCCGCUUUUUCAACCUAUUCAAGAUAUGAAUCAACUCAUUCCUUCUCAAUGUAAAACUUAGUUCAAAUGAUCAAUUAACAUCAAAAUCCAGAUGAAUAAGCAAAAAUUAAUUUAAGCAUUAUUUUAAAUAUAUAAAUCAUUGUCGACAAGGCUAAGUCGUCCACACGAGCAAGUAGAUUAAAAAGCAACUAAAGAAAAUCUUUUGAAUUUUCUUUUAAUCUUUUUCAUUAUGAAUAAAACAAUAAAAUUUGACACAAUCACCCAAAAGAAAUAAUACAAACUAAAUGAUUUGUUCACUCCCAAAUAUAAAUCAGACUUUGCCCUGAAUAUCUCAAAAUAUUAUAAAUUAAGAAAAAUAAAAGGAACAAGGGAAUAAGAGACCCCCCACAUUUAUGUCAAAUUUUUUAUGUUGAUUUGCAAUAAAAUUUGCCAAAGCUAGAUAGUUCGCUUGACUGCAUCCUUCCCUUGUCUAAUAUUGGGUCAUGUGUUCUUAAAUAUCACAUUCCUACAAAAUAAAUAAAAUUCAAUCAUUAAUGACAUAAUAAUAUUAAACUCAAAAUCAUAACUAACAAUAAAUCUAGGGAAGAAGGGGCACGAAACGGGGGAUGACAACUGCAGGUUACGACUAUCACUAGGGAACGCAAACAAUUACAUCCAACCAUAAAUAAGGUUGCAGUCAAGUUUUAUGACCGUAGACAGGCAGCACGGCACGGGUUACGAUCAUAAACUGGUUUUUUUAUUGAUAAAAUGUGUAAGGGUGAAGAUACCUAGCUAACUAUUAGCACACAAAAACAAUUAAUUUAUCUAAACUAUUUUCUAGAAAGUAUAAUAACUAAAAGGAAAAUGGUUGGGCGUUUGCAUUAGCUUUGCUUUGGCAAUCUGUAUUUUGAUGUAUUGCUUUGUUUGCUCUUUUGACUUUUCUCUACUUUUCGUUAGUUCUCUAAAUAUUUUCCUUGCCUCUUUCAAUGUAAUAAGACUUGCAUAUUUCAUCCUAUUCAAACUCAACAAUGUACACUUCUAGCUCUCCCUCGGGUUUAACAACAAAUUGUUGGGCAAUCGAUGAAGUCAAAAGAAUGUGUGUUAAUUUAAUCUUCAUUAAUUACCACUUUUUGUGGGGUUCCUUUGUAAUUACUUUGUUAUAAUUCUUAUGCUCUUCAAUAGAUGAUAUUGCUUUGGGUUGAACGAUUGAAUUCCAUAACUUAAAUCCACGUUAUCAACUCUUUCAAGUGGAUUAUAUUCCCACAUUUUAAAUUCACUUCAAUAUACAACAUCUUCCACACGUAUUUUGCUUUCGCCCAACUUGACAAUUUCAUUAUAAUAUUUUGUGAGUACCUUCUCGUUCAAUGAAGGAGGACUAACUCCCAUAAGCAUGAUGUCUUCAUCCCAAUCUGCAUACACAUAAUUUUUCAUAAGCAUGUAGCCUUCAUCAGAUUAGUCAAUGACUUGUUUUCAACAUUUUUAAAUAUUGUUUAUACCUCAGAAACUUUAAUAUAAAGGAGUUAGUGCAUGUAUAUAAUCAUUGUAUGGUAUAAUGUAUCCCAUAUCAAAAUUCACAAUAUAUAUUUACUGCAAGCAUAUUCUAAUCAUCAAUGUCGAGAUUCAUUAUUGCAAACAUUUUUCUCCUUUGUUGUCGUCAGAAUCAUGAAUAUACUAUUGAAUAGUAUCUAAAAGAACACCAAAUACAAGAAAGAUCAGGAUGGGUAGUAAAAUUUAACAAAAAAAAUAAAAAUAAAAAUAAAAAAUUUUGAAUUUAAUAUGAAUCAAUAAAUUCAGUUUAAAACAACAUCAAAAACUUGCUCGGGUAAAUCCUAUAAGCGUAUGGGAUCAUUGACAACUAAUAGAUUUGAUGAGUUGAGAGUAUGGUCCCAUAGGGAAUAAGCUUUAUAUCUAAUUGUACCAAUUUGUUAUUGAAUUAUCUAAAGUGAUUAUAAACCAAAUAUGGGACGUAUGUACUGAAAUUUCGAAUCCACAUAUUAUCAUACUAUUUCCAGUUCUCAACUAUGUAAUUUAGUUUCAUUCAUGCAUUUUUGACAAUCGAUAAUCCUGUUGUAUUCAAUUUUCUUUUUGAAGAUAAAUUAAUUAUAUUGAAGACACGACUUGAUCUUAUUCGUAAUCCGAAUUCAAAUGAGUAGAGUGCAUUCUAUUACACGAUUAUCUAUUUAUUAGACACGUGAUAUAUGUCAUUUUUAAUAUUUAUUGUCCAUGACAUAUGCAGCGUUCUACUUAAUUUUGAGUUUUUCAGUACUACAACAAGAAAUUAAUUAUCUAAUUGGUGAUCAAGAGAAUACAUAAUGCAACGAACAUGUAUAAUCAAGAAAUGCAAGAAUUACUAAGCUACUUAUCUUUGAAUUAAAAAUAAAUAAAUAAAGGAAUAAAGCUUAGCAUAUUUCUAAAGAUAAAACAACAAGAAGAAUUAAAAAGAAUCACCCGAAAUUUAUAAAUACAAGAAAGAGAUGUCAUAGUCUAAUUCUUGUCCUUGAUAGUCAACAUAUUGCUUUGACUCUUCAAGUUUUUUAUAUUUAUUGAUUUAAUCCACAUGGUAGAUUUGUUCUCUUCUCCAACUUAUAUUGGAAUGAUCUUUCGUUCUUGAAUGAUUUCGUGACUUGAGAUAUGAGAAAGAUCCAUUCAAUGACUGCCCAUAUUUCGGAUAUAUAAGGUGAAAUCAAAUCAAGAUACACGUUCAAAUUGUGUUCCAAAAGAGUUUCAAUCAAAUAAGGAAAGAUACUUUCACAUCGCUCAUGGUUAUAUCACUGUGCAGUCGUCAAUAUUUUUAUCUUUCGGUAUACGAUUGAGGAGAUUCAAAAUGGUAAAAGCUAACUAAAAUAGAUACAAUUAUUUUAGAAAUAUCAUUUCUUAAAAUUCGAACGUUUAUUAUGCGAAAUAUGGAUCUCAAUAUGUGACUGAAAAUCUGGAUUGGAGAAAAUAUUUUGAUUAUAUUUCAUUACUUCGCUCAUUUGAUUUUUAAUUGCAUCCAAUUCAUCUUUUGUUAUUCAAUCAUUGUUUCAAGGUCCAAAUAACCUAAUGAAUAUUUACAAUUAGAUCCCAAAAUUUGGAAUUCAUCUGUUUUCAUUGAUUUUUCAUUCAUUUCUUCCAAACUCACUUCAAAUCGUUGAGUUAUUCCUAACAAACGAAAAAUACACAAAAUUAAACCAUAAUUUAUCAAUGAAAGUACACAAUAUCCUAUUUUAAUGAUCUAGAUAAGUGUACAAAUUUCACUAAUCAAAUUUUAUAACUCUUCAUUUGUUUUUCUAUUCUACUCAUUAUGCUCUUCUAUUUAUUAAAACAUAGGAUAACUUGCAACACAUGUUGAUCGUAACUAGUCAUAGCCAAGCGUCCGUGCACAAGUAUAUUUGUGCCUCAGUUGUCAAUUAUUUAAAAGAUUAUUAUUUCUCCACACUUAAAAUAAUAAUAAUAAUAAUAAAUAAAUAAAGAAGCUUUGUUUGAUUCACAUUCUCCUAAUAAAUAAUUUUACACGUAACCUUUAUCUUUAUUUUACACGGAACAUUUAUCUAUAUUAUCUAAAAAAUCAUUAUUACAAAAUCUAUUUUCCCUAAAAAUAGACUCAAACAUAACCUAAUUCUCGUCAAAAGUUAAAUCUUGUGUUCAAUUAAUUUUAAACUAAUUUUAUAUGCCCGUCGAGCAAGCCAAUAAAUUAAAAUGUAUAAAGAUGAUACAAAUAUUACAAUAUUCCCAAGUUUCAUUGCUAGUGAAAUAGAUAAAUACCGAUGGGAAAUGUGAACGGUGUGAUAGAGAUCGUGAUUUGUUUAGGCGAGAUCAAUCUCAAUCAGAUUACGUUCAAUCCAUGUUUAUUGUUUAGCACUCAUUUUCUUAAACUCAUUUGUACUCAAACUCAUUUUUAAACAUAUAUUUUAUAUACACAGCUUUUAUCAACUUUAAUCAAAAUUGAUUUUUAGCUAAAUUAAANNNNNNNNNNNNNNNNNNNNNNNNNNNNNNNNNNNNNNNNNNNNNNNNNNNNNNNNNNNNNNNNNNNNNNNNNNNNNNNNNNNNNNNNNNNNNNNNNNNNNNNNNNNNNNNNNNNNNNNNNNNNNNNNNNNNNNNNNNNNNNNNNNNNNNNNNNNNNNNNNNNNNNNNNNNNNNNNNNNNNNNNNNNNNNNNNNNNNNNNNNNNNNNNNNNNNNNNNNNNNNNNNNNNNNNNNNNNNNNNNNNNNNNNNNNNNNNNNNNNNNNNNNNNNNNNNNNNNNNNNNNNNNNNNNNNNNNNNNNNNNNNNNNNNNNNNNNNNNNNNNNNNNNNNNNNNNNNNNNNNNNNNNNNNNNNNNNNNNNNNNNNNNNNNNNNNNNNNNNNNNNNNNNNNNNNNNNNNNNNNNNNNNNNNNNNNNNNNNNNNNNNNNNNNNNNNNNNNNNNNNNNNNNNNNNNNNNNNNNNNNNNNNNNNNNNNNNNNNNNNNNNNNNNNNNNNNNNNNNNNNNNNNNNNNNNNNNNNNNNNNNNNNNNNNNNNNNNNNNNNNNNNNNNNNNNNNNNNNNNNNNNNNNNNNNNNNNNNNNNNNNNNNNNNNNNNNNNNNNNNNNNNNNNNNNNNNNNNNNNNNNNNNNNNNNNNNNNNNNNNNNNNNNNNNNNNNNNNNNNNNNNNNNNNNNNNNNNNNNNNNNNNNNNNNNNNNNNNNNNNNNNNNNNNNNNNNNNNNNNNNNNNNNNNNNNNNNNNNNNNNNNNNNNNNNNNNNNNNNNNNNNNNNNNNNNNNNNNNNNNNNNNNNNNNNNNNNNNNNNNNNNNNNNNNNNNNNNNNNNNNNNNNNNNNNNNNNNNNNNNNNNNNNNNNNNNNNNNNNNNNNNNNNNNNNNNNNNNNNNNNNNNNNNNNNNNNNNNNNNNNNNNNNNNNNNNNNNNNNNNNNUCAUCCUCAUCCUCAUUCUCAUUAACAGAAUUAUCAUUUGAUUGCUCUUCCUCAGCCUUAUCACUUUCCUUAUCAGACUCACUCUUAACAGUAGCCACAAAUGCCAUAUAAUUUCCUUCAUCAUCACUACUGGAGGAUUCCUGCCUAUCACUGGUCUCAGAUUCAUUAUCAGUAAGUGAGACAACUAAGGCCUUACCUUUCCCUUUUCUUUGAUUUUUCUUAUAGCUCGGACAUUCAUUCCUAUAGUGACCUAUUCCUUGACACUCAUGGCAUCUAACCAAACGUGGCUUCUCACUAGACCCCUUAUUGUUAUCUUUCUCAAUUUUAUCUUUUGUGAAUCUGCUAGGGGCUCCAUUCUUUCUAUCCUUAGGCUUUCUCCUAUUGUUGAGGACUUUUUGGAAUUUCUUGACAAAGUAUGCGAUUUCCUCAUCCCUAAGUGACUCAGUGUCAGACAAUUCACCUUCUUUAUUGGAUUUUAGGGCUAUGGAUUUUCCUUUCUUGUGUUGUGAGAGAGUAAGUUCAUAGGUUUGCAAGGAUCCUACCAAUUCUUCGAUCUUAACUUCAUCUAGGUCCUUACUUUCCUCAAUAGCAGUGACUUUAGGCCUAAAUCUCUCAGGUAGGGAUCUAAGUACCUUUCUCACUAUCUUGGUCUCGGGAAUUCUCUCACCUAGGUUGAAACUCGAGUUAACUAUGUCAUUUAGCUUAGCGUAAAACUCAUCAAAUGUUUCAUCAUCUUUCAUUCUCACUUCUUCAAACCUAGAAGCUAGCAUUUGCAGUUUUGAGUUUUUUACUAUUUUAGUUCCCUCAUGUGUUGUUUCGAGAAUGUCCCAAACCUCUUUAGCAGUUUCGCACAUAGAGACUCGCCUAAACUCUUCUGGUGAUAGUGCCAUGAAUAAUGCAUGAAUUCCCUUACUAUUCCAGUUACAUGCAGCUAACUCAUCUUUAGUCCAUAAUGAUAUGUCAGUAAGAUGAAUGUUUCCUGAUACGAUACUAGAGGGAGGUUUCCAACCAUUUUGAACACUAAUCCACACAUGCUCAUCUAAUGAUUUGAGGAAUGCACGCAUUCUAACUUUCCAAUACGCAUAAUUACUUCCGUCGAAAAACGGAGGUACAGACAGUGAUUGACUCAUCUAGACAGCUAUGGGUCAGGAUUCGAGAUUUUGCUCUGAUACCACUUGAAAAACCUAACGUUCGACCCAACUAACACCUAGAGGGGGGGUGAAUAGGUGUUCAUGCGGAAUUAAAAAAACUUAUCAAUUAAUUCGUGCAACAAGUCACAAGAAUUAAAGUUUGUCCAGAUUCAUUCACAUGUCUUAAUUACCUAUGUUGAAUUACCGGUAACAAUAAAUAAAUUAAAGCAAUAAAAGAACACAACGAAUGUNNNNNNNNNNNNNNNNNNNNNNNNNNNNNNNNNNNNNNNNNNNNNNNNNNNNNNNNNNNNNNNNNNNNNNNNNNNNNNNNNNNNNNNNNNNNNNNNNNNNNNNNNNNNNNNNNNNNNNNNNNNNNNNNNNNNNNNNNNNNNNNNNNNNNNNNNNNNNNNNNNNNUUUGAGAACAAGACUCUCCUGGAUCUAGCAGAUCUGUGCUACCAUCCCAGCCUUGUGUGACUUCUACUUCCCAUGAAUCGUCAAGCACUCCCGCUCUUCAAGCAAGUUUUUCCCGGAUCUUCAAUCUGAGGAUCUUCUGGAAGUUUUAUAGGAUUUAGAGAAGGUGGUGUUUUGGUAUUUCAGGGUGUGAUGUUUUUUCUGCAAAAGCCAAGGAUUUUUAAUCUGAAAAGUUUAGAAGAUUGUUUGGCUUUUUGAACCGUGGUGUGAAAGAUAUAAAGGAUUAAUCUCCCAGGAAUAUGAAAGAUUAAAGAAAAGUUUUUUCAACAAAAGCUUUUCGAGGAUUUUGAUCUCCAAGGAUUUUAGAGAGAAUCAAUAAUAUGGCUUCAAUGUAUAUUUCCUCGAUCUUCAACUCGAAGGAGACGAAUGGUAUUUAUAGGGCUCAACAUAUGGUCUUGUGGCGCGUCAAAAAUUCGCGAGCUUUUAAAUUUAAUGUUGCCCAGAUAAAUAGGUCGCUCGAGCGAGGGACCAGCGUGACUCGAGCGACGUCCACUUCGCUCGAGCGACCUGUUGGCGAGGCUCUAGCGACAGUGGUUCUGCAAUCGUGGCUCGAUCGAGAUCAUGGCGUGACUCUAGCGAAAUCUCGCGCUGUUUGCAACUUCGAGGCAUCCAUCACAACCCUAGACCUAGCAUUCAACACUUUGAUUAAUUGCAACUCAAGUCCCUGAACUAUUGGACAUUUGACACUUUGGUCCUUGACCUUACAAUUAUGACAUUUUAAUCCUUGACUUUACAAUUAUUACAUUUUGGUCCUUGGUCACAGAUUUGCCAAUUACAUAUUUCCUAACACCCUGAAUAUCUCAAAAUAUUAUAAAUUAAGUAAAAUAAAAGGAACAAGGGAAUAAGAGACUCCCCACAUUUAUGUCAAAUUUUUUAUGUUGAUUUGCAAUAAAUUUUUGCCAAUUUGCAAUAAAAUUUGCCAAAGCUAGAUAGUUCGCUUGACUGCAUCCUUCCCUUGUCUAAUAUUGGGUCAUGUGUUCUUAAAUAUCACAUUCCUACAAAAUAAAUAAAAUUCAAUCAUUAAUGACAUAAUAUUAAACUCAAAAUCAUGACUAACAAUAAAUCUAGGGAAGAAGGGGGACGAAACGGGGGAUGACAACUGCAGGUUACGACUAUCACUAGGGAACGCAAACAAUUACAUCCAACCAUAAAUAAGGUUGCAGUCAAGUUUUAUGACCGUAGACAGGCAGCACGGCACGGGUUACGAUCAUAAACUGGUUUUUUUAUUGAUAAAAUAUAUAAGGGUGAAGAUACCUAACUAACUAUUAGCACACAAAAACAAUUAAUUUAUCUAAACUAUUUUCUAGAAAGUAUAAUAACUAAAAGGAAAAUGGUUGCAUCACAAUAAGCGUUUGCAUUAGCUUUGCUUUGGCAAUCUGUAUUUUGAUGUAUUGCUUUGUUUGCUCCUUUGACUUUUCUCUACUUUUCGUUAGUUCUCUAAAUAUUUUCCUUGCCUCUUUCAAUGUAAUAAGACUUGCAUAUUUCAUCCUAUUCAAACUCAACAAUGUACACUUCUAGCUCUCCCUCCGGUUUAACAACAAAUUGUUGGGUAAUCGAUGAAAUCAAAAGAAUGUGUGUUAAUUUAAUCUUCAUUAAUUACCACUUUCUGUUGGGUUCCUUUGUAAUUACUUUGUUAUAAUUCUUAUGCUCUUCAAUAGAUGAUAUUGCUUUGGGUUGAAUGAUUGAAUUCCAUAACUUAAAUCCACGUGCAAUGAAAAUUCUUUCUUAUCAACUCUUUCAAGUGGAUUAUAUUCCCACAUUUUAAAUUCACUUCAAUAUACAACAUCUUCCACACAUAUUUUGCUUUCGUCCAACUUGACAAUUUCAUUAUAAUAUUUUGUGAGUACCUUCUCGUUCAAUGAAGGAGGACUAACUCCCAUAAGCAUGAUGUCUUCAUCCAUCUGCAUGCACAUAAUUUUUCAUAAGCAUGUAGCCUUCAUCAGAUUAGUCAAUGACUUGUUUUCAACAUUUUUAAAUAUUGUUUAUACCUCAGGAACUUUAAUAUAAAGGAGUUAGUGCAUGUAUAUAAUCAUUGUAUGGUAUAAUGCAUCCCAUAUCAAAAUUCACAAUAUAUAUUUACUGCAAGCAUAUUCUCAUCAUUAAUGUCGAGAUUCAUUAUUGCAAACAUUUUUCUCCUUUGUUGUCAUCAGAAUCAUGAAUAUACUAUUGAAUAGUAUCUAAAAGAACACCAAAUACAAGAAAGAUCAUGAUGGGUAGUAAAAUUUAACAAAAAAAAUAAAAAUAAAAAUAAAAAAUUUUGAAUUUAAUAUGAAUCAAUAAAUUCAGUUUAAAACAGCAUCAAAAACUUGCUCGGGUAAAUCCUAUAAGCGUAUGGGAUCAUUGACAACUAAUAAAUUUGAUGAGUUGAGAGUAUGGUCCCAUAGGGAAUAAGCUUUAUAUCUAAUUGUACCAAUUUGUUAUUGAAUUAUCUAAAGUGAUUACAAACCAAAUAUGGGACGUAUGUACUGAAAUUUUGAAUCCACAUAUUAUCAUACUAUUCCCAGUUCUCAACUAUGUAAUUUAGUUUCAUUCAUGCGUUUUUGACAAUCGAUAAUCCUGUUGUAUUUAAUUUUCAUUUUGAAGAUAAAUUAAUUACAUUGAAGACACGACCUGAUCUUAUUCGUAAUCCGAAUUCAAAUGAGUAGAGUGCAUUCAAUUACACGAUUAUCUAUUUAUUAGACACGUGAUAUAUGUCAUUUUUAAUAGUUAUUGUCCAUGACAUAUGCAGCGUUCUACUUAAUUUUGAGUUUUUCAGUACUACAACAAGAAGAAAUAAAAAGAAUCACCCGAAAUUUAUAAAUACAAGAAAGAGAUGUCAUAGUCUAAUUCUUGUCCUUGAUAGUCAACAUAUUGCUUUGACUCUUCAAGUUUUUUAUAUUUAUUGAUUUAAUCCACAUGGUAGAUUUGUUCUCUUCUCCAACUUAUAUUGGAAUGAUCUUUCGUUCUUGAAUGAUUUCGUGACUUGAGAUAUGAGAAAGAUCCCUUCAAUGACUGCCCAUAUUUCGGAUGUAUAAGGUGAAAUCAAAUCAAGAUACACGUUCAAAUUGUGUUCCAAAAGAGUUUCAAUCAAAUAAGGAAAGAUACUUUCAUAUCGCUCAUGGUUAUAUCAGUGUGCAGUCGUCAAUAUUUUUAUCUUUCGAUAUACGAUUGAGGAGAUUCAAAAUGGUAAAAGCUAACUAAAAUAGAUACAAUUAUUUUAGAAAUAUCAUUUCUUUAAAUUCGAACGUUUAUUAUGCGAAAUAUGGAUCUCAAUAUGUGACUGAAAAUCUGGAUUGGAGAAAAUAUUUUGAUUAUAUUUCAUUACUUCGCUCAUUUGAUUUUUAAUUGCAUCCAAUUGAUCUUUUGUUAUUCAAUCAUUGUUUCAAGGUCCAAAUAACCUAAUGAAUAUUUACAAUUAGAUCCCAAAAUUUGGAAUUCAUCUGUUUUCAUUGAUUUUUCAUUCAUUUCUUCCAAACUCACUUCAAAUCGUUGAGUUAUUCCUAACAAACGAAAAAUACACAAAAUUAAACCAUAAUUUAUCAAUGAAAGUACACAAUAUCCUAUUUUAAUGAUCUAGAUAAGUGUACAAAUUUCACUAAUCAAAUUUUAUAACUCUUCAUUUGUUUUUCUAUUCUACUCAUUAUGCUCUUCUAUUUAUUAAAACAUAGGAUAACUUGCAACACAUGUUGAUCGUAACUAGUCAUAGCCAAGCGUCCGUGCACAAGUAUAUUUGUGCCUCAGUUGUCAAUUAUUUAAAAGAUUAUUAUUUCUCCACACUUAAAAUAAUAAUAAUAAUAAUAAAUAAAUAAAGAAGCUUUGUUUGAUUCACAUUCUCCUAAUAAAUAAUUUUACACGUAACCUUUAUCUUUAUUUUACACGGAACAUUUAUCUAUAUUAUCUAAAAAAUCAUUAUUACAAAAUCUAUUUUCCCUAAAAAUAGACUCAAACAUAACCUAAUUCUCGUCAAAAGUUAAAUCUUGUGUUCAAUUAAUUUUAAACUAAUUUUAUAUGCCCGUCGAGCAAGCCAAUAAAUUAAAAUGUAUAAAGAUGAUACAAAUAUUACAAUAUUCCCAAGUUUCAUUGCUAGUGAAAUAGAUAAAUACCGAUGGGAAAUGUGAACGGUGUGAUAGAGAUCGUGAUUUGUUUAGGCGAGAUCAAUCUCAAUCAGAUUACGUUCAAUCCAUGUUUAUUGUUUAGCACUCAUUUUCUUAAACUCAUUUGUACUCAAACUCAUUUUUAAACAUAUAUUUUAUAUACACAGCUUUUAUCAACUUUAAUCAAAAUUGAUUUUUAGCUAAAUUAAAAAAAAAAAAAAGACUAAAUGCACGAAAUAGUAAGUCCCAGUUUGAAACCUCAAUUUUUAAAAAAAUAAAAAUAAAAAUAAAAAUUCCCACAUUCAUGAUCAAGUACACAUUUUAAAAAAUUAACAAUUUUUAUCAAUUUUCUAUUAUAUAAAUCAUCAAUUUUAUUAAAAUCUACUAAAAUUCUCAUUUUUAAUAACUCUAAAUAGGGGCCAUGUUAAAAUGAAUCGUGGAGAACUAUAAGCUAAUGAAUCAUUUUUGAGUUUUGCUACUUGUACAGGUGCUUUUGACAUUCGAAUAAAAAAGUGAAAACAGUUUGACAGAAUUUGAAAAAACAAUUCCUUUUUUUUUUUUGUACUCAAAUUCAUUUUUAAACAUAUAUUUUAUAUACACAGCUUUUAUCAACUUUAAUCAAAAUUGAUUUUUAGCUAAAUUAAACAAAAGACUAAGGUUCCGUUUGGGAAGGAUUUUGAGAAUUGAUUUUUUGACCGUUAGAAGAAAAGUGGGGUCCACCUGUGAGAGAAGAAGUCAAAUUACGGCUGAAAUAGUGAAAUAACGGUCAAAAAAUCAAUUUUUUGGGGUAAAAAAUCCCUCCCAAACAGGCCCUAAAUGCACGAAAUAGUAAGUCCCAGUUUGAAACCUCAAUUUUUUAAAAAAUAAAAAUAAAAAUAAAAAUUCCCACAUUCAUGAUCAAGUACACAUUUUAAGAAAUUAACAAUUUUUAUCAAUUUUCUAUUAUAUAAAUCAUCAAUUUUAAUAAAAUCUACUAAAAUUCUCAUUUUUAAUAACUCUAAAUAGGGGCCAUGUUAAAAUGAAUCGUGGAGAACUAGAAGCUAAUAAAUCAUUUUUGAGUUUUGCUACGUGUACAGGUGCUUUUGACAUUCGAAUAAAAAAGUGAAAACAGUUUGACAGAAUUUGAAAAAACAAUUCCAUUUUUUUUUUCCAAUCGGUUAAAUUGCAUGUACAUGUAACAUAUCUCAUCAUUUUUUAUGCUUUUGUCAUAGUUGAAUAGUUACUUUUACUUUUGACUAUUUUAAGAAAAUGAGUGCUUGGAUAUAUAAUCGUGUGUUUGGACCUAUAAAUCAGUAGGAAUAUGUGAAGAGUGAUUAUAUACCAUAAAUCCGUAAAAUCAACACAUUUAUACCAACAAUACGAUUAUAUAUAUAUAUAUAUAUAUAUUGAAAUUUGUCAAAAUAUUGAAAUUUGUAACAAAUUAUGCCUCCGUUUGGGCCCUUUUUUUUUACAUGAAAAUGGAUAAAAUAGUAUUUUUUUUUAAAUGAGUGGUUAAAAUUUUUUUUUUUUCGAUUUAUGUGUAAUAUUGUUUUAUGGAAGAUUGUGUAAUUGAGAAUAUGAGAGAAAAAAAUUAAAAUGUAAUUAGUGGGAGCCAAAUAGGAGCUGAAGGGUGUUAUCGAUUGAAAUAGUGGUGGAUUUUAAUUUUUUUUUCCUAAAUUUAGGUGUAUCUAAUUUAGAUUUUAUUCAAUUUUACUAAAAUUUAAGGUCCCAUUUGAUUAUCAUUUUUUAUUAAAAUGCAUUUUUUUCUCGCUUCUUUUUAACUACAAAUUCUUCAUUAAAAUAAUUUUACACAUAAAUAAAAAAAAUCCUUAUUUUUCGUCAACACAUUCUCCAUCAAUCUACUAUUUUAAAAUUCAUUUUUUUCCAUAAAAAUGGGUAUCAAACAUAUAUUAAAUGUCCUCAAUUAAGAUUUUUAAUGAUUUCAUUGAAAUUUAUUAAAAUCUUAAUUGGAGACACCUAUACACUUUUAAGCUUAACGUUUCCUCAACUAUAAUUUUGAUUGAAUUUAAAAAAAUAUAUAUAUAUUUCAAUAAAUUUCAUGGAUUAGGAUAGAUUUCCACAAAUUUCAUUAAAAUCACAUAAAAAUGUAGAAAUUUCAGAAGAUAUAUGUAUAUAUAUAAACUUGAAAGCUAUUCAAUUAUUUUAAAAUCAUUCCAUUAAUGAAAUUUUAGAAAAUCACUAUUUAAAUUCAUUAAAAUUCAAAUUAAGAAUAACUAUGAUUAUGGUAGAUUUUGAAAGAUUAUAAAUUUAUUAAAGGAUUUUCACAAUUUUUAAGUACACCCCGUUAAUUGAGCAGCCUGGUUGAGAUUUCGGAUUUGCUGGGAAUUUUACGUCUAGACGUGGGCGGCGGCCACUGCCCAGACAAAAAUCCUAGACAAACUGAACCAAAAACUCUUUACAAUCCAUAUAUUUCGCUUUUCAUUUUUCUUCUUCUUGCAAGUUUUGUCAUGCACCCACUUUGAGCAAAAAAAUUCCCUCAAAUUUCCCACCAGUCACCAAAAUUUUUCCUUUUCCACCCGGCAAAAUCUGGGAUUGUACGUAAAUCAGAGAAAAUUUUGUACUGAAAAGUGAGAAUUUUGGUUAAUAAUGGCUGGGAAUCAAGAAAAUUUGAGGGCUUUUAGACCGUUACUGAUAGUUGCUUGGAGCUUUCUGUUGGCUUCAAUAUUUGUUUCUGCAGAAAGAAGUAGCUUAAAGCUGAAAUUUUUAACACAUAAUGCAAACGAGUUUUCACAUUCUGAUUUAGAUGUUUUAACAAAUUAUCAGAAUUUUACAAGGCGAGCCAACAAAUCUGGGUACCAGCAUUUUUGGCCGGUGUGUUAAAGCGUUGCUUCUGUUAAAUUUUAAUUUUCAAAUUCAAUUUGUUUUCUGCUUUAAUAUAUUUAAAUUGAGUAUGAUCUUAAAAUUUACCUUCCUAUUUAUUUGUGCACGNAAAAUAUUGAAAUUUGUAACAAAUUAAGCCUCCGUUUGGCCCUUUUUUUUUUAAAAUGAAAAUGGAUAAAAUAUAUAUAUUUUUUAAAUGAGUGGUUAAAAAAAAAAAGUUUUCAAUUUAUGUGUAAUAUUGUUUUAUGAAAGAUUGUGUGAUUGAAAAUAUGAGAGAAAAAAAUUAAAAUGUAAUUAGUGGGAGCCAAAUAGGAGCUAAAGGGUGUUAUCGAUUGAUAUAGUGAUGGAUUUUAAUUUUUUUUCCUAAAUUUAGGUGUAUCUAAUUUAGAUUUUAUUCAAUUUUACUAAAAUUUAAGGUCCCGUUUGAUUCUCAUUUUUUAUCAAAAUGCAUUUUUUUCUUGCUUCUUUCAACACAUUUUCCAUCAAUCUACUAUUUUAAAAUUCAUUUUUUUCCAUAAAAAUGGGUAUCAAACAUAUAUUAAAUGUCCUCAAUUAAGAUUUUUAAUGAUUUCAUUGAAAUUUAUUAAAAUCUUAAUUGGAGACACCUAUACACUUUUUAAGCUUAAUGUUUCCUCAACUAUAAUUUUGAUUGAAUUUAAAAUAUAUAUAUAUAUAUUUCAAUAAAUUUCAUGGAUUAGGAUAGAUUUCCACAAAUUUCAUUAAAAUCACAUAAAAAUGUAGAAAUUUCAGAAGAUAUAUGUAUAUAUAUAAACUUGAAAUCUAUUCAAUUAUUUUAAAAUCAUUCUAUUAAUGAAAUUUUAGAAAAUCACUAUUUAAAUUCAUUAAAAUUCAAAUUAAGAAUAACUAUGAUUAUGGUAGAUUUUGAAAGAUUAUAAAUUUAUUAAAGGAUUUUCACAAUUUUUAAGUACACCCCGUUAAUUGAGCAGCCUGGUUGAGAUUUCGGAUUUGCUGGGAAUUUUACGUCUAGACGUGGGCGGCGGCCACUGCCCAGACAAAAAUCCUAGACAAACUGAACCAAAAACUCUUUACAAUCCAUAUAUUUCGCUUUUCAUUUUUCUUCUUCUUGCAAGUUUUGUCAUGCACCCACUUUGAGCAAAAAAAUUCCCUCAAAUUUCCCACCCGUCACCAAAAUUUUUCCUUUUCCACCCAGCAAAAUCUGGGAUUGUACGUAAAUCAGAGAAAAUUUUGUACUGAAAAGUGAGAAUUUUGGUUAAAAAUGGCUGGGAAUCAAGAAAAUUUGAGGGCUUUUAUACCGUUACUGAUGGUUGCUUGGAGCUUUCUGUUGGCUUCAAUAUUUGUUUCUGCAGAAAGAAGUAGCUUAAAGCUGAAAUUUUUAACACAUAAUGCCAACGAGUUUUCACAUUCUGAUUUAGAUGUUUUAACAAAUUAUCAGAAUUUUACAAGGCAAGCCAACAAAUCUGGGUACCAGCAUUUUUGGCCGGUGUGUUAAAGCGUUGCUUCUGUUAAAUUUUAACUUUCAAAUUCAAUUUGUUUUCUGCUUUAAUAUAUUUAAAUUGAGUAUGAUCUUAAAAUUUACCUUCCUAUUUAUUUGUGCACGAUAUGUUUGUUUGUUAAUCUUCUUAUACUUGAGCAUACAUGUUUGUGUUUUGUAUGAAUUUACGCAUAUGCAUAUGACCAGAAAAAAUAACUUUUAGUAAACCUCAAAGAAAUGGUGGAUUUGUAGAAAAGAGUAACUUUUAGAAAAGUGUGUGUGCAUGUGAGCAAAAGAUAGUUCGUAUAGUUGGCUUCAAAUACGGUAAGUGACAACUUCCUUAAGCCAGGGAGAAUCAUACAUUUAUGUGUUUUACUUUGGGUCAGUGUUAAAUUCAUAAAUUUGUAUUGUUACUAUUUGAAAAAUGUUGUAAUGAGUUGAGGUUUACAUGGUUUUUCUUGUUAUGGAACGUUUGACAAUAUAGUAUGUCGUCUACAGGAUCUGAAAUUCAACUGGAAAUCUAUUGUUGGUUGCAUAAUUGGCUUUUUCGGAGCAUCUUUCGGAAGUGUUGCUGGCGUUGGUGGUGGUGGGAUAUUUGUUCCCAUGCUUACUCUGAUCAUUGGAUUUGAUUCAAAAUCAUCAGCUGCUGUCUCAAAAUGUGGGUUAAAAACCAAAUUGAUAUAACAUGGAAUGAUAGGAUAUUCCAAGUUCUUCGUUGAUUGAAUUAAUUCAAAUCUGAGAAUCUAUGCAUAUAGUUUCAGCCUCAACCUGAAGUUCUUAGUCUCCUUGUAAUCAUGGAAGAAGAAACUAAUCAUAUAAAAUAUUUUAACGGCCCUGAAGUUCUCGAUUUGAAAACACUUUCAGCCAUAGAAGAUCACAAGUUCAAUGGCUAAAGAUAAACUGAAUAAUUCCUUGGAUAAGUUAAAAUGUCGUUUCUAAUUUGACAGGUAUGAUCAUGGGAGCUACAAUCUCGACUGUUUACUGUAAUCUUAAGCUCAGACAUCCAACUAUUGACGUGCCAAUUAUCGAUUAUGACUUGGCUGUUUUCAUACAACCUAUGCUUAUGCUAGGCAUUAGCAUCGGAGUUGCUUUCAAUGUGAUAUUUGCCGAUUGGAUGAUCACUGUUCUUUUAAUAAUUCUCUUUAUAGGUAAUUAACGUUUGUGUUACAACUGAUUUAUUAUUAUCCUUCUUCAGUGACUCUUUUUAAUAUGAUAUGAAACUUGCAGCCACAUCAACUAGGGCCUUCUUCAGAGGAGUUGAAGCAUGGAAAAAAGAAACUAUUGUGAAAAAGGUAAUCGUCGCAACUUUUUUAUAUAGUUUGGUAGCAUUUUGGUGUCGUGUUAUUCACAUUUGAAGCAUCAAUAUGAUAGACGGGUUCAUAUUAAUUGAGUUGUGGUAAAAUCUAAGUGUAAUUUAUUGUUGUAUUCUUUGGAUCGUCAUGUCCUUGGAAUAGCUGUCUCUUCCUUUCGUAUUGAAUGCCAAUUGCUGUAUUGCUGCAGGAGGCUGCAAACCAAAUGGAGGCAAAUGGUGAGUUCAUUUAUAAAAUUUUGUCCAUUGUAUUGUCGCCUUCAAUCUAACACUGUAGACCAAACAUGCGCCGAAUGAUCACCUUUUCUUUUUCUUUUCUUUCUUCCUUUUUAGCCCAUAAUUUCCUAGCUAAUAAAUAAAGUAUAUAUGCGUUUCCUGUUCCACCAGGAAAUGGUACAGAAGAAGGCCCUCGCAAUGACACGGAAAAUGAGGCCAGCGGCUUGGCAAUACCUGAGGUAUGAUUUAUUUCCAUACUAAUAUGCAUUUCCCAAACUCUCAAAUAUGACACAACUCACAAUCUCAGGUCAGCUUCCUCGAGAAUGUUCGUUGGAAGGAACUCGGUCUUCUUGUUUUCGUUUGGAUGGCAUUUCUUGCAGUGCAAAUCGUCAAAGUUUUCACUUUUUUUCCUUUUUCCUUUCAGAUAUUAUUUUUACUUUCAGAUCAUCUUAACUAAUCAGUAUCUCUAAAACUUACUCACCAUCAAAUUGAACAGAACUAUACUGCUACAUGUUCAGCAAUAUACUGGGUAGUGAACUUGCUGCAGGUAUGUGUAAUCUGCCUAUUUGGGAAACUUGUAGCCGAUUGCACGAUUUGCUAUUAUUUCUUUAGCAUUUAAAACUACCAUUCUUUGAUCCCCAGAUCCCCAUCUCUCUUUGCGUAUCUGGUUACGAAUCAAUUUGCCUGUACAAGGGAUGGAGAAAAAUUGCAUCUAAGGGAGAUGAAGGCUCCAACUUGAAAGUGCACCAAUUGAUAAUCUAUUCCUUGUUGGGUGUACUGGCUGGUAUUGUAGGGGGUCUACUAGGUAUAGGAGGAGGAGCUAUUAUGGGUCCGCUGUUUUUGGAGUUAGGCGUUCCACCUCAGGUGAGUUUGAGAUCUUUCUAAAAUAAUGUUGCAGACUCUUUGUUAAUCAAUUUUUAGUUGAUGUUCUCAUCGUUAAAUAUAAGAGAAUUUUCCAUUUUCUUGUCCGUUAAACGUGAAAGAUGGAGAAGAUAGCUAAUAUUUAUACCUCCGUUCAGGUUGCAAGUGCGACAUCCACCUUUUCUAUGAUGUUUUCCUCAUCAAUGUCUGUGGUUGAAUAUUACCUUAUAAAACGGUUUCCAGUUCCAUAUGGUAAGUGCAUAUCCAACUAAGAGUGCAAAUCUUGUGGAUUGCACGGUACUCAACAGAAGUUUAAGUUUUUAUUUAAAUACUAUAUACCAAACAUGUUCGGAUUGUUCAAUCCCGACAAUAAGUGAACAUGUAUUGGUUCUGACAUCGCAGUCAUUUACAUUUUUUCUAAGAUUUGUAUUUAAUCAAUAAUUUCUGCAUUUCUGUGUUCAGCUCUUUGCCUGGCCAUUGUUGCCACUAUUGCUGCGUAUAUCGGCCAACGCGUCGUGAUGAAAACGAUUAUUAAGAUGGGACGGGCAUCUAUAAUCGUCUUUAUUCUUGCAUUUAUUAUCUUUGUGAGUGCCAUUGCUCUAGGUAAGCAGCUUCGUUCACCAUUUUUUUAUUGGUUAAAAUCAUGAAUUUCUUCGGAGUUCCAUUUUUCAAUUAUUUAAACUUGAAGCAAGAUAAAUUUCUCCACGUGCAACUGUUUACUCGAUCCAUUUAACCUGCUUUUAGUACAUGCGUACAUGAUUGUAUAAUCAUAUACAUUCCUACUAAUUUUUUCGUUAAACAGGUGGAGUUGGCAUUUCAAACAUGGUUAAAAAGAUUGAGAGGCAUGAAUACAUGGGAAUUGAGAACUACUGCAAGUAUAAAGUCUAACACAAUGCUUCGAAUCCUUGCUAUUAUCCCUUUCCCAAUCCCAAUCCCAAUCCCAAUCCCAUUCUUGUUCUUGUCCUCGGGGUGCGUGUUUGAUCGGGAGAGUACGUGCCCCUUUAGAUCAGUUGCAGGAUCAAUUAUCUUUUAGUUAUUAGCUCUGUUUAACUGUUUAUGGCUUCUAGUUUUAUUAUUGUCUUAUAUUUUGUGGGAGAUGCUUAGUUAAAAUGUAAUUGAUGAAUUUUCAUUAAGACGAUUUGAAUUGCAAAAUCCAAUUUCAUAUGAAGUAAAAUAUUAUGUUUUUAAUGAUAAUCUAUUUUCUUUUAACAAAUUUAUUUUAGUCAAGUUCAAAUCACAUAUAAUUACAUCCUAGAAAAAUUGCACAAAGAAUAAAUGGUUGAUUAUUGAAAUCAAUUGUCGACAAAUUGCAUCAAAGCAACACUUAGCCCUUGAAUAAUGUCAAUAACUUGAUCAGAAGCCAUGUUGUAAUCCAACAAGUCAUACGUGAGCUAAGCAAAUAUAAGGAGUAUUAUCCCUUAGCUAGUGAAUUGUUAGAUAUCAUGGAAUCAAACCGAAAAAGACCGUCGGAUAAGGGGUUCAAGUUCUUCCCAAAUUUUCUUUCAAAAUUCUAUCAAAACACUUUUCUUAACUUCUAUUUCUAAUUCAAAAAUAUCAAUUACUUGCAUUGUUAGUAUUAUACAAAACUCCAAACCAAGAAACAAAAUAACACAAAGUAAUUUCCGAAUCCUGAAGCAAAUACAGUAUCUCACACUCAAUCUUGGAUAAAAACCCUAACCCGAAUCCUAAAGCAUUCCCUUAUUGAUUAAAGGAAGCCACAAGUAAGCACACUAUUUCUCUAUACACAAACACGCUCAUUGUUUAGAUUUCCCAAAGAAAAUUAGAAGAAAUCAACUGCCAACCAGAGGAUUUGGAAGAAGAACACGAAGAGCAAAGAGAAGAAGAUUUUGAAAAUCAACCCAAAUGGUAGAACUCAGAUUAUCACCUAAUAGGGCAACCAAGGGAUAUAUUUAGACCCUGAUUACCAACCAUUGAUCUAAUCUUGAUCCAAUGGUCCUUUGGCUUCACAGUUGUUACACGUUUUCUAUACGUAAAUAUACCAUAAGUGUACAAUGUCACAUUUUAUUGUAUAAAGAUCAAAUACAGAUGUAGAAUCCACAGAAUUGAAUAUCAAUGUAUACUAAGUACUAUCUAAGUAGCUUUUAUUUUAACUAGAUAAUUAGAUUAUAAGAUCAAUGUUUUACCCAAUUCUAACGUGAUUAUUGUGACGAAUUCAAUAAUUUCAAUGCAAUUUAAAAGAAUUAAUCAUGAUCAGAAAGCUUAGGGUUGUGAUUUUACCUAAAUAUCAAUUAUGUUUCUCAAUUAUCUAGUUAUCUCUAAUCAACUUUUUCAAGUUUAUAAGUAAGAACCCUAUUGUAAUUUUACUUCCUUUCUUGAGUGUUGAGCAAAAACUAUUUCGAUAAUUCAAUUCCAAUUCUCUAUUCCGAAUUAAAAUCAAUAAAUUAUCAAGUUUAUGGUUUUUAAGUGAAAUAUUCUUCAAAGAUUUUACACUUUCCCUUGAAACCUAAAAAAAUCUAGGUUGUGUUAUUCUAUGAUCAAGCCUAAGUUUUUCUCUCUCGAGUGUUCAAACUUAAGCAAUCAAUCCAUUCAAUUAGUGAUCAGAUAAUUAUAAGUAUUAAAAUCAAUAACACAAAUAAACGGAAAGGGAAAAUAUCAAAGAAAAAACUAUUUAAUCAUCAAAACAUAAUCUCAAGUUGGUUACAUCAAACCGUAGAUAUAGAGUUUAGUUCAUGAAGAAAGCCAAACUAAUAAAAUCAUAUAAAAACGACAUAGAGAAGAGAAGAGGGAGAAAAAAAAUUCUAUUUUUGAAGAAUUUCAAUCUUCUUUUCGAUGUUGUUCUUGCCUUCUUCCUUAAUUUCCUGCCUCUUGCUCAGUGGAAUUAUAGUUGAAAGAUGGCCUAAAGAUGGUAUUUAUAUCAUCAUCAGGUCCCAAGAGCAAUUGGAGUGGGAUUGGGCCCUUAAAAGAUCCCCAAAAUUCAAAACUUCUUUUCGCCUCAGACAGCGCCUAGGCGCUGCCUCCAUUGCGCCGGAACAAUUUGGUGGUUGGCGCCUCGUCACCUGGUCAAUGGCAUUGGGAUGCUAUUGUACUAAACUUUUUUCUUGAUGUAGGGUGUCGUGGUACCCCGGGCAUGGCGCUAUUUUGUUGAAAAUCUUCUAGCAUUAGUGGUGUUGAGAUGCCAUAUUACUGGAGUUGCGGCGUUGGUCUUCUACCAUAAUUUUUGUCGAGAUAUGGCGUUGGUUGUCACUGUUAAUUUUUUCCCUUUUUCUUCUUCAAUUUAGCUUAUUUCUUUGCCUCUUUUACUAACUUCCGUGCCUCCUUAAUGUCAAUUCAUAUUCUCAUCCUUUUAGCUUAUUAAACUUGAUUUUUAUCAAUUUGCCAAACUUAUAUCACAACGUCAGCAAACACAUCAAAACAUUCUAAAAGCUCUCAAGAUAUAGCAAAUUAUCGAAUUAAGCGGCAUAAAUAUCAUGAGUGUAAACCACUCAUCAAGCAUCCCCAAAUUAAGCAAUCCAAACACAAUAGUUACAAAGCCUCCAUAAUAAUUUCACAAUUGCACAAUUCCUUGCUUAUUUUUAUAUUUUCUUUCCAGCUCGAGAUUAACUUCACCUCUUUUUCUUUUCUUGACCCAUGUAACAAGCUUUCAGUCUAUAAUUCCCCAGCUUUAAAGGCCAAAGGGUAUAGGGUUUUAAGAAACCCCUGCGGACUUACCAACUUGAGUAAAAAAGGUGCCAACGUGAGGCAUAGACUCAACAAGUGCGAUGCUCUUUUUUCUUUGCAAUAAAUACAAAAAAUAAUAAGGCUAGAUCCCUAGCAUACAGUCAUCACUUAGCUUAUAAUUGAAAGUUAAAGAUACUCCACACGAAUAUUUCUUUUCAACGUGCAUGGAAUCACCACAAGCCUAAAUUAUAUCCUUCAUGGCUCGAACACCCCAAAUUAUGUUAUACAAGGUUAAGGAUGUAGUGAAUCAUAGGUUAUGGGACUGGACAUCCAAGUUCUCUAUUUCAACCUAUCGGUAUGAAUCAACCUAUUUAUGUACAAUAUUACAAUCAACUCAUGUGCAUAUAUAAUUUCACGUUUCACAUGAAUAAGCAAAAAUUUAAUUAACGAGAACACAUAACUACAUUAUAAUUCAUAAACCAACACAUGUUCUCAAGUAUAUAUCUACGUCGAUAAGGCUAUCUAAUUCACACAAACAUGUAAUUUAUUUUUUUUAGCAGUUGCAUAAAUCAGUAAAAAAAAAAAAAAAAAAAAAAAAAAUAAAAAAAAAAAAAAAAAAAAAAAAAAAAAAAAAAAAAAAAAAAAAAAAAAAAAAAAAAAAAAAAAAAAAAAAAAAAAAAUCACACAAAAACAACUAAGCCAAUAGACUAUUAAUAUUUCACCCUCAAACUUAAACUAAACAAUGUCUCCAAUGUGAGAUUAAUGAAAAAGGAGAGAACUUCCUUGAGUGAAAAUAUUUGUUGUCGUCAUUGCUAACUGCAUCAUGGUGAUGUGAUGGUGGAUAGAAGGAUGUUGACUGUUGAUUCUAUCUCCUCUCCAAAGCUUGAGAUUUAACAUAUAGAAAAAGCAAACUUAUCAAUACACUAUUAAUAAAAUAAUAAACUAAUUAUCUAAAGAUAAGAGAUAGAGAGGUAGAAAGCUUAGUUUGCCUACCAAAAAGCGCUUCUUCAAUGUCAUUUGUUAAUGUUGUCGGAAUGCUUUAGGUUGGAUCUUCAAGAGGUACUUCAUGUUUGAAACUUUUUUCUUGGCUUUAGAUUUUUUUUAAUAGAGCAUGGACACAAGGAUUAGGAGGUGGCUUCAACUUUGGUAUAGCCUUCAAAACCUCUUUUGAUUAACAUUGUUGAGAGGUUUCAAAGGUUCUUCUAUGUAGUUCUUCUUUCUUUCUUGUGGGUAAGCUUCAUGAGCUAAGAGAAAGCCAACCACUUCUUUGCUCCUUGUGUAGCUUCUAGUAGCAGGUGUAUCACUUCUUGAAUAAUUGGUUGCAAUAUAUUGCUCUUGAGGGUCAUAGAACAGUUCUCCUCGGUAAUUUUCACCCACCACUGCAUCAUUUGAUUUGAUCACAUGGCAAGUAUUAACUUUUUCAUGGCAUUUCUUAACUUGAUAGAUGUUGAAAAUGACUUGCUUUUCUUUAACUCGUAGUGUCAAUUUUCUUCCUUGUGUAUCAACCAAUGCUCUCUCGGUUGCCAAGAAAGGUCAACCAAGAAUUAAUGGUAAUUCUUGAUCUUCUUCCACGUCUAAAACCAUAAAAUCGAACAGAAAGAUGAACUUGUCUACCUUCACCAAUACAUUUUCAAUGAUACUUCUGGAAUAUGUGAUGAAUAUAUCAGUUAGUUGCAAAGUAAUGGUAGUUGGCUUCACUUCUUCAAGACCUAAUUUAUUUAAUACCAAUAGGGACAUCAAAUUUAUGCUAGCUCCAAGGUCACACGGUGCUUUGUCAAAAAUAGAAGCACCAAUUGUGCAAGAAUUAAUGAAACUAACCGAAUUUUUCAAUUUCUGGGAAAGCUUCUUUUAUAGAAUUGCACUGCAUUCCUCUGCCAAUAUUAUUGUCUCAAAAUUUUCCAACUACCUUUUUCUUUCACCACUUCAAGAACUUAGCAUAGUUUGGCAUUUAUGUUGAAGCAUUUGCAAAAAGAAUGUUGAUGAAGAUUCUCUUCAAGACUUCAAGAAAUUUUGUAAACUGCUCAUCAAACUUUUUUUUCAAGAACCUCUGUGGAUAUGGAAAUUGUGGAUUCAAGAUAGGUAGAUUAUUAGGAAAUAAGAUUCAAUUAGGCUUUGGAGCCUUCUUUGUUGUCCCUACCUCAGUCUUCUGCUCUUCAACAAUAUUUUCUUCUACAUUUGUGGAAUCAGGUAUAUAAAUUGAAGCCUCUUUAGACUUGCUUCUCUAAUCUACUUACCACUUCUCAGUGUGAUGGCAUUGUAGUGCUUUCGUGGGUUUACAUAUGUGUCACUAGGAAUUGUUCCUUUCUGUUGGUCAGAUGAGUCUCAAUAUUGUCUAGUCCUCCAAAAUGUCCUUCCUUCAGAACUCUAAUUAUUAAACCUAGGUAGAGGUUGCAUGUUCCUGGUCUUGUAAUAAGAUAGAUUCUUAUGGUUUCACCACCCUGGAUGGUAGUUAUUUGCUAAGCAGAUUCUGCUUUGGUUGAGGUUUCGACCAUUUACAUACUGGACUUGCUCAUUUUCCAUCUUCAUCUCUUGGUAUGAAGUAGAAGCAGCCAUAAUAGAAUCUAAUUUCUACUAAAGCCCUUAUGAAGUUAAUGCAGUUAUUUGGUUUGUGAGUGAUGACAUCUGAGCUGCAAGGGCUAUAAUGGGAUCCAACUCAUAAAGGUCAACAACUUUAUUUGCACUUGAAUGUUCACUUGACAAUUGGUAGUUAUUGGUGGCUAUUGCAUCCAGUAGUAUAUAAGAAACCUCUACAUUAUUAGACUUCAAAGUACCACCUGGUGCAGCAUCAACUACUAAUCGUGUCUAACCAUUCAACUUGUUGUAGAAGAUCUCUAUUUGUAUCCAAUUUGAUAACCAUGCCAAGGGUAUCAUCUAAGUAGAUCUUUGAAUUUUUCCCAAGCCCCUUAGAAUGGUCCAAAGCCUGCUUAUCUAAGCUAGCGAUUCCACUCCGUAUUUGAGCUCGCAAGUUGUGAUGCAUCUAUACGGCAAUGACUGAAACCAUACUUUGACUUUAUCCCUGAGAGGGAAAAUAGACUGAGUCUGAUGUCGUCUUCAAUAACAACGUUCAUCUUCAUGGCAUUGCAAAUCUCCAGAAAUGAACUUAGAUGAGCAUUAGGAUCAUCUUGUGGAGUUUCCCAAACUGAUUUUGUUGUACCAUGUAGACCAAUCCUGGAUUCAGUUUGAAAUUAUUUGCAGCUAUUGUUGGGUAUGCAAUAUCGGAGACGUUUUCAUUGACAAUGGUUCGACAUAGUCUCUAAUAUUCCACAGUUGAUUGUUUUAAUUUGCAACUUGUGCUACCAUUGCUUUGAGUUCGUUUUUUCUGUACGAUGUCAAGUUUUGUAAUGUAAAGAUAACAUACUAAUGUCGAACCCAUAGGGAUUGAAUAUCAAUUUAUAUUAAGUACUAUAACUGAGUAGCUUCUAUUUUAUCUAUACAAUCAAAUUAUAAGAUCAAUGUUUUACUUAAUUAUAACGUGAUUAUUGUGACAAAUUCAACAAUUUCAAUGCAAUUUAGAAGAAACAAUCAAGAUGAGAAAGCCUAGGAUUGUGAUUUCACCUAACUAUCAACUAUGUUUCUCAAUUAUCUAAUUAUUCCUACUCAAUUUUUCAAAGUUUAUAAGCAAGAACCUUAAUGUAAUUCUACUCCCUUUUCUCGAGUGUUGAGUAAAAACUAUUCCUAAAAUUCAACUCCAAUAUCUUUAUUUCAAAUUAAAAUGCAUGCUUCAAAGAUUUUAUACUUCCUCUGAAAACCUAUAAAAUAUAGGUUGUGUUAUUCUACGAUUACACCUAAAUUUUCCUCUCUCGAGUGCUGAAACUUAAAUAAUCAGUUCAUUAAAUUAGUGUACACGUAAUUGAAAGCAUUAAAAUCGAUAACACAAAUAAUCAGAAUAGGAAAAUAUCUAAGAAAUAACUAUUUAAUUGUCAAAACAUAAUCUCAAGUUGGCUACAACAAACCCAGAUGUGGAAUUUAUUCAUGACAAAAGCCAUGGAAACUAAUAAAAUCAUAUAAAACAACAUAGUGAGGAGAAUAGGAAAAAACCAUUUUUGUAGAUCUUCAAUCUUCACAAUGUUAUUCUUGAUUUCUUCAUUGAAUUUCUUACUCCUUGCACGGUUGAAUUGUAGUUGAAAAAUGGUCUAAAAGAUUGGUAUUAUAUCAGCAUCAAGUCCUAAGAGCAAUUGGAGUUGAAUUGGGCCUUAGAGGAAUUCCCAAAAUUUAGAACUUCUUUCCACAACCGCCUAGGUGCUACCAAAACAAGACUAUAGCACUUUGACUAUUAGAAUAGCCAAUAGAAGGUUUGGAAAUAAUAUUUAUUUUAGUUAAUAAUCCUUAAUCCAUAAGGCAUCCUUUACAGCCUUUGUAGCUACAACUUAUUUGACCUAGUAGUAGACAGUGUAACUAUAGGCUACAACUAUUAUUUCCAACUUAUACAAGUACAACAGAAAGUAAAGUAAACAUAUAGGCUGCGUUAGACUCCUAUUAUCUCUAUCACUAGUAACAUUAUUAUUAACAAAACCCUUAACAUUAUUCAGUCGUUGAAGGUCUUAAACACUAAUCCUAAAUGUGAAAUUCGUUUCCAAUGUUUGAGAAGCCACUUAGAGCCUCUAGUGUUCUGGUCAAGGAUUAGUCAUGAAUCAGUUUAAAAUGCUGAUAGCAUGAGUAACAUCAGGUCUUAAACAUACCGUAGUAUACAUGACUGUACCCGCAACAUUAGCAUAGGGUACUUUCUCCAUAUAUCUAAUAUUAGAAUUAUCAAUUGGGCAUUAAUAUUGAAUGGCUGUACUUGUGAUAGCCGUAGCAUUAAAUGUUGGACUUGUCAAAAUUUGGUCAUGAUCAGACUAGGGUAGCUGAUCGUGUCAUCUGCCUUUACCUCUAGAAUCAAGUAUAAAACUACCUCUUCCUCGUCCUCGUCCUCGUCCUCUAACUUGUACACAACCUCGACAAUGAGCCUUUCCUGUAGAGAUUUCAUUAUGAGUUUCCUCUACUGAAUUAUUUGUCAUUCUCAGCUCAUGACUAGUAAUGAACUCUGUAAUUCCUCAAUUGAAAGCUGAUCUAGUUCUUUAGACUCCUCAAUAGAACAUACCACAUAUGUAAAUUUUGAAGUCAUUGAUAUAAGACUUUUCUCCUCCAUGGCCACAUCCUCAAUUUUGUCAACAUGAAUGCACAUUUUGUUAACAAUUGCUAGUGUACUUGAAAAGUACUCCUCGAUAGAUUCUCCUUUCUUCAUGUAAAGAAUCUCAAAUUUUUUGUGAAGUGUUUGAAGUUGUUUGCUUCACUGGUAUUUUUUCCUGAUGGAGUCUAAAUUUCUCUACUAGUAUCCUUUUUGAUAAUUGUCUCUAAAAUGGUUCAAUCUAUUGCUUGAAAUGGAUAAUUCUUAACAUUCAAGUCCUUUAGCUUUUAUUCGUCCAAUUUCAUUUGUUGAGCUUCAGUUAACACUGUUCCAUGGCCUAGUUCAGUCGCUCAUGUUUCCACAAUAUUCCAAUAUUCUUAGGAUCACAAAAAAUUUUCCACCAACAUGCUCCAAUGAUUAAAGUGACCAUCAAAGGAAGGGAUUGCUAGUUGCUACUAGGGCUUAACAAUGAAACCUCAAAACCUAACUGAAUCCCUUUUUCAAAACCAUCAUCCACCUGGAACCAUCAAUGUUUUGGCUUUAAACCAAACCAAAUCGUAUCGAAAUGCAUUGGUUUAUCUUUCAAUAUUUACAAACCAUUUCAAGCUACCAAACUGCAAAUAAAAUAAAAUAAAAUAAAAUAUAAUAAUAAUAAUAAUAAUAAUAAUAAUAAUAAUAAUAAUAAUAAUAAUAAUAAUAAUAAUAAUAAUAAUAAUAUUCAACCAAAUUAAAAAUAAACAAAUCCUAGUUAAAAAAUACAUCCAUAUUAGUCAUAAUCCAAUUAAACUUAAUUAAAUAAACAAUUAUUUUUCUCUAUUAAUUAAUUAAAUCAUAUUAAAAUAUCCAUCGGAAUGCAAAACUCUCAAUAUGUUUACCAAAAAUCCCUCACAAGAUGUCUUCCUUUUCUGCAUAGGAAACUGACAUGGGAGUGUUUUGCCUGAUGUGAUGGUAACUUGUAGAACACCAACAGUUUCUUCAUAAGCUAUACGCGAUUUAGCAAUAAAAGCAAUAGAAAUAAAGAAAUGAGUAGCUUCUGAGUUUUUAAGAACAUAAGCAGGUAGUUCAGAUAUUGACAGAAUAUCCACCAUCAAAUUUUGAUUAUCAAUUGCCUCAUGUUAGGUUAAGGUAAAGACUUUGGCAGCACCCUUUUUGCUUUGUUCAUUGUCCCUCCUUGGAAGGGCUCAUGGCAGCUAGUAGCAAUAUGAUCUUGAUUACCGCAUCAAUAGCACGCAUUCCUUUUAUACAGACAAUAGCCUCUAUGGGCCUUGUUGCACUUAGGACAUGGAGUAAUAAUAUUAUUCGGUUGCUUGAACUUAACCACCUUUCAAACUUAGCCCUCUUGUUUUGUCCAUUUUCUUUACCUCUAUAUAGCCCAUUUCAUUCUCUUUCUUGAAAACUCAGUUCUUUCCUGAACCAUCUGAUCAUUUUUCAAUCGAUUUGAAAUUACUCAAGCUUGUUGCUGAACUUGACUGUUCAUGGUUAAUUCAUAGGUUGCCAUGAUUCAUCCGAUUUCUAGAUACAAUCCUAAUUCGAACUUUCUUGCUUUCGUUUGCUCUGUGUCCACUAUAUUUGUUGCAUACUUAGAGAGAUGUUUGAACUUUCUCUCAUACUUGACCAGUGCCAUUUGUCCCUACUUAAGUUGCAAAAAUUCUCUCUCCUUUCGAUCUCUUAGGGCUUCUAAAAAAUGUUUUCCCAUUACCUCCUCUUUGUAACAUACCCAAGUGAGAUUGCAUUGUUGGGACUCGAUCCUAGUGCAUGAAGCAGACCCUUACUGGUGGCUUGCUACAUCCACAAACAUAAACUCAGCACUCAAUAGUUUGAGUACAGUAUAAGAGAUGUGCUUGAAGAUUUGCUCCAAUCCUCUUAUCCCUCCUCGACUACCAAUGGGUCAGCUCAGAGGCAUGUAACAAUGAAACGGUUCCAUGUCUAAGCUUGUGAUGUUGGAAUUAGUCUAUGCAAUCUGAGGAGACACUUGAGUUUGUUGCCUUUCGAGAUCUUAUACACUUUCAACAAAUGUCUAACCAUAGCUAUUUAUGAAGGUCGACGUACCAUUUCCUUUAAGUCGACAAAAUAUUUUUUGUUUUAGAAAUAAUAAAUGAUAUAGCCGAAUAUAUUCGAUGGAAAAUCUCAGUUUCAUCAAAUUUUAAAUCGUUGAAGAGAUGAGGAAAUGAUUGAAAGUAUUAAAUCCUAGAUGAUGAAAGCAAAACCUACAGAUUAUAGUUCAAGUAAUGAUUACAUUUACUUUUAAGAGGGGAAGAAAUCAUUUAUUUAACUUAACUAUCUCUAGGUUACUUAUCUUCAUCUUUGCUUGUCCAAACGUUUUGAAUCCCAUGAUGCUUGGAUGGUGAAGCUUUAUCAUAUGAAGAUAGCCAUGACUAAGGCUCAAAUUUCUGAUCAACCUCUGGCUCUGUUUCUAGAUCUAGCUCCUGCUAUGGUUCUGGCUCUAGCUUUAAUCUGGUUCAUACUCCGUCUCGUAAUCUUAAUCUGGCUCUGACUCUAGGCCCUACUUUGGCUUAGGUUCAAGCUUGAGAAUAACAAUCUAUCUAUCUAGAAAAGUUUCACAAUACUGCAAGAACUUGUUCCUUUCUGGGCGCUCUAAAAACGUACCCUCUAGCAUCUCGUCUCUAACCACAUGCCCAAGUCUCCCCCACUGAGGUGGUAGUUUAUGAAUAAGCUUGUUAACAGCCUAAAUGGGCGUAACCUCAUGUUCUACACCCCCUGUCACAGCCCACCUAGAGAAAACUUCACCUAUGUGCAAAAUAAGUAUGUGAGUUGGAUCUACCUCAUUAUUCUUGUAAGCCUGAAUAACUGCUACCUCAUGGUUUAAAACAAGACUAGAAAUUGUCAUCUUCCUAGCGGUCUUUCUAGUUCUAGACAUAUUUAUCCCAUGCAAGCCAAGUCCAAUUAUGCUUAAUCUUUUAUUAGUGAUAACACAUUGCCUUUUAUACUUGCUUAAAUCUUUAAAAGGAUAAAAUAAAAUAUUAUACUUUUUUGAAAAAUGAUUAAGAUGAUUAAAAGCAUGCCAGAAACAUAUCAUAAGUGGAAGCAAAAUAAAUGAAUUAUCAUGCUUACAAUUUAUGAUAGAAUAUGACAUUUCAUUUCAUUUCAAACAUUUCUCAAGUUAAAUAUAAAGAAUGUAUAUCUCAUGCUCAGAUAUUAACAUAUAACAUUUCAUAUAAUACCUUUGGUCGUCAUAUGGUACGUAGUAGAUUGUUGAAUGCAAGGUGCCAAGAACCUUGUUCUAUUUCAUGUUUGUUAAAUAAAAUGUUUAUAAUAGUAUCUUAUUAUGUAGUUUAAUAGCCAAUUUUUUAUUUUUUUUUUCAUUAUCUUUCGUCUUCUUAAUUUAAAUUACGCACACUAAAAGGCUUAUAGGUGAGUACGGGACCAGUGGACCACUUAUCGACAAAUCUUCCAAUCUUGCCAAUAUGUGAAUCAAGAAAACUCGAACAAUGAGUGGAAACUAGAAAUGUCUCAAAAUAUGACUACAUUUGGAUUUUAAAUUUGAACAUUCUAGUUUUUUAACAACGUCGUACCGCUAGAAAGGAAAAUUUGACACAAUUAAUUUGAUUCGUUUGGAUUUCUCAACGCAAUCCCAAAAACACUUGCACUUCGAUGGUAGUCUAGUAAUUUGAGCUUCAAUUUGUAUAUUUUUGGGAAGAAAAAGAAAAAAAUGCAGACAUGUAUUUGUGUUGACUAAAUGUAAGUUUCAUGGUUGUAGAAUUUAAAACAUGCAAAUACGGAUAAUUGUUAAAAGAUGCAUAUUCUUUAGUUCUAACGAUUGACCAUUCAAUAAGUAUAAAUGGGAUAGAAUGGGUUGCGUUUAAAAUUAACAUAUAUCAUACAUGAUAUUCUGCUAACAGCUUGCUAAUCAACAAAAGUAUGCUAACAAUUCAAAAUGAAAAAGUAACUCAUCCCAAAUCUUAACGCUAUGUUCACUAUAAAAAUAACUAACAUAAAAACAAAUAUUCACAUUUAAAAUAAAUAUCAAGAUUUGAAAUGUUUUUUACUAACCGAGAUACUAUUAAAUAUUAAACAUUAAAAUUUUGACAUAAAAAAAUCAUUAUUGACACGUAAUGUUCAUUUGUGAAUAGUAACUUUCCAAAAACAAAUCAUCUUCUUCUUUACUUAAAAUGAAAUUAAAUAAUAUUAUUUGCUGUCGCUCACUACCGCAAUCGUCCUACGUGACAUAAAAAAUACCACAUUAAUGCAUCAAAUCACUAACCGCUACAUGUGUGUCACGUAGGACGACUAUGAUCGUGAACGACUGUAAAUAGCAUCACUCUAUAAAAUUUCUUACAUUUAUAUUCCUCCAAAAUGAUCACUAUACAAUAAUCGGGCAACAAAACAAAGUCCGCAGUCACCCUACGUAAUAUACAUGUGACGAUUAGUGAUUUGAUGCAUAAUGUAAUAAAAAAAAUACCACAUUAAUACAUCCAAUCACUAACCGCCACAUGUAUGUCAUGUAGGACGAUAUGGUUAUGAGUGACUGUAAAUAGCAUUACUCUAUGAAAUUUCUUACAGUUACAUUCCUCCAGAAUGAUCACUAUACAAUAAUCGAGCAACAAAACAAAGUUCAUGCAUUGGAAAAUGUCCUAUUAUAAAUUCUCUCUCUCUCUCUCUCUCUCUCUCUCUCUCUCUCUCAACCUAGACACUCAUUAAAAUUUAAAACUUAAAUUUUGACAUUUAAUCAAAUUUUUUCUUUCACUAUUCAUAUAUCACAAUAACUAGAAUAAUAUAAUGUAGCCUUACUAGGAUUAAAGUCCAGUCUAUGUGGCAUUAAUGUAGUAUUAAAUGAUAGGUGGGAUUAAAUAUGCCAUUUAAUUUUACAUUUUAUUCAGCCUAUCAUGGCUAAAUAGCAUUACUCCAAUAACUAAGGGUGUGUUUGAUUUGUUGUUUACAAUUUUCAAUAUUGCAGAACACUAAAAACGUGUUUGGUCUAAUAUUUUUGAAAAUGUUUUUUCGAAAGCUAAGAUAAACCUUUACAUAAAGCUCAAAAUGUAUUUUUGAUAGUUUGAGCAUUUUAGCCGAAAAUUCUAAAAACAUUCAAAAGAUGGAAAAGAGGUGUUUGAAUAAAAUUUUUAAAAUUAAGAAUUUUAAAAAUAAAAUUAUAAAAUUCUAACAAAUAAAAAAAUAUAUAAUUCAAGUAAAAUAAAAUUAGUAGAUUGUUAAAAAACAGUCUUGACAAAAUAAAAUUCUAAAUGCUUAUAUCCGUUGCUUGCAUUCUUCCUUCCUCUCUAUUUGAUUUGCUUCCUUUGGAGCCGCUGAAAUGAAAUUCACACCUCGAGUUGUACUGUCUUGGUAAAGGAUUAGGCCUUGUCCUCGUAGGACCAGAAAGAUGAUUAGUACCAUUCACAAGUUUCAACAAAAGAGGCUAAUUGCAGUACUUAAACACGCCUUUCUCACUGUCUUUCUAGGUUGCCCGUCACUUGCUUCUACUUUGAUUCUAAAAAAUAAAAAUAUUGAAAAAUAAAGUUAUAAAAACAACUGGAAAAAUAAAAAUUGCUCAAGCUCUUAAUGAUUAUUUAUGUACUAAUUCUUAUAAAAAAUUAAAUGAAUACAUGUAAAAAUAUUCUCAACCCAUGUCAUCAAUUUUUAUUGUUAUUUCCUAUAUUUUGAACUCAAUUUAUUAUUUAUUUUAAUUUUACUUUUAUAGCAAGAAAAAUAUUGUAAAAUUCAUAAACUUGUAAUGUAAAUAUUACUUGAUAAUAUAUUAAUAUAAACUUAUUCUAUUUUUACUGAAUAAUUAAAUUUCAUAAAUAGAAAUUCAUAAAAUAAUUUUUUGAAAAUUUAAAACCAAUCGUGUAUUCUAGUUUCUUGUUUUGAAAAUAAUUUUUCAAAAUGACAAACCAAAUGCGAUUAUAGCAAUCUUAAAAUGGACCAUCAAAAUAGAAAACUAAAAAUGAACUUAAAACUGAAAACGGGAACACAAACCAAAUCGAGACUAAUUUACUUCUUUAUAAAAAAUAGCAUUUAUUCAUACGUACAUAUUUCAUUACAUAUACGCAAAAAUUUUAUAUUUAUUCUACACAAAGAUAAACUCUUACUCUGUUAUCAAGUUGUAACAUCCCAAAUGUUAUGACUUAAAAUUUUAAGUAUUACCAAUAUCAUUUCAUAAUUAUGCUUGACGUGGAAAGAUUUAAUUGAAAAUGUACAUCCUUAAUUUAUUUGAACUUUCCUAGACUAAAUUGAAUCAACAUAAAAUUUCGAAACUAAGAACAUUUAGUAGGAAUUAAAAAAAUAUUAAAAAUAUUGACAAAAAAUAAUUAUUGAUUGUUUUCUUGAGAAUUUUAACUUGGCAACCUAUGUAUUGCUCAGCCAUCAUCACGUCUGAUCAUUCUAACUUCAAACAUUAAAACUGAAGGAUAAAUAUAUUAAACUCGGUAGGAAACUUGCACUCCAAAAUAAUAUAAUAAAUUUUAAACAUAAAUUAUGACAUUCCAUACGAUCAUUUUAUUGAGAGUAAUAGAAGAUCAGUUGAUUACUCUGACAUAUUUCUGUGCAAACAAUUGAGAAAACUCGAAAGAAAUCUUACUUUUCAUUUCAUUAAUGAUGUGUGGGUCAAUUAGCAUUUCAUGCAUAAAUUUAUGUAAAACAUACAAUAUUAAAAGGAUAAUUUAAUUUGCACAUAGUAUCCUACCUUCAACAGAUCAAGAAAUUUAUUGUAGGAUUAAAAAUACGGGUUACACUCCUUACACAUACAAAUUAUGAACAGUGUUUUCAAAGUGUGGGUUGUAUGUCUUCUUUAAAAAUAAAUGAAUGGAGAAGAAGACCGAACAAUAUUAUUAUAUAAGAGAAUUUGUUUUGAUUUUAAAUGCAAAUAUCCAUCUAUUUCUAUCAUACACGAUACCUUCAAAAAUUACACAUUUUUUUUACAUGUCAAAUGAAGAACAGAAUUUGAGAAUAUUUCAAAUUUCAAAUCAUCUUUCAUUCUGUCCAUAUACAAAAUCACUUUACAAAAUAUCUAUAGUAGAAAACUGAACAAUAUUAUUAUAUAACAGAACUUGUUUUGAUUUUAAAUGCAAAUAUCCAUCUAUUUCUAUCAUACACGACACCUUCAAAAAUUACACAUUUUUUUACAUGCCAAAUGAAGAACAGAAUUUGUUGAUAUUUUUAAAUUUCAAAUCAUCUUUCAUUCUAUCCAUAUACACAAUCAUUUUACAAAAUAUCUAUUGUAGAAAACUGAAUUUGUUACUGUGGAUUUCAAUGGAAUAAAUUAUAUUUGAAUAAUCCAUUUUUAAACUAAAAGAUAUGUUAAUAAGUAAUAAAAUAAUACAUAUUAAAUACGUAUCUUUGAAUUAAAAUAACUUGGACUUAACUUAUACGAACUUAUAUUUUCUUAAACCCAACUUAUUUAAUGCGAGUUACAAAAUGAGCCCACUAUUAAUAUACUAGUUUUCUCUACUCCUACAAUACUUAAAUAUUUAGCCCAAACAACAUAAAAUAAAUGGACUGAGUGAUCAAACUAUCUUACAGUUUAAUCAAUAAUGUGAUAAACAAGUUAAGAUGUAAAUAGGUUUCUACUUACAAAAAGAUAACGUAAUAAAAUUAAGUCGCUCUAUUUCUAAAACACCAAGGGUGCAUUUGAAUAUGAGCAUAAAAUUUGCAUGAAAAGAAGAAAAAUUUUAGGCAAUUCAAUUGCCUAUAACUUAUUUAUUUUGAAAUUAUUAAUUUAAUGUGUUUGAUUGAUUUAGUUAUUUAAUGUGUUUGAUUGAUUUAGUUUUCAACCUAAAAAAUUUUAUACUUGUCCAUUUUUUAUUGGUUGGUAGAUGAGAUAGAAUGUAUAGAUAAGAGAGAGAGAGAGAGAGAGAGAGCGAGCGAGCGAGGGGAUUCACUGGAAAAUAAAAUCUUACUCCCUCUAAAGAAAAUAUUUUCCUUAAUUUUGAGGAAAAUUUGGUCAUGUGACCAAAAGUAGGAAAAUGUUUUCCAUGAAAAAAAUAUCAAUCAAAUAGCACAAUUAAAAAUUUGGGUGGAAAAAACACAUUUUUCAUUAAAACUAUUGGCAAUCAAAUGCACUCUAAAAAUUUUACAACUGCUAAUACUGCAAAUAAAAAUAACGAACAUGCAAAACAAUCCUGCACAAUAUAAGCCAACAAACCUGCACAAAAUAAGCCGUGACUAACCUAUGACUAACAAUUCCUAUUCUCAUGGGAUUGGCAAAAUUACAUACAAUUUCAUAUAAAGUAGAACUCCAACAGUUAAGUUUUGUCAUGCACCAACUUUGAGCAAAAAAAUUCCCUCAAAUCUCUCACCUGUCACCUGCAUUUUUCCUUUUCCACCCUGCAAAAUCUUGGAUUGUACAUAAACUAUAGAAGAUUUUAUACUGAAAAAGUGAGAAUGUUGGUUAAUAAUGGCUGGGAAUCAAGAAAAAUUGAGGGCUUUAAGACCUUUACUAACAGUUGUAUGGAGCUUUCUGUUGGCUUCAAUAUUUGUUUCUGCUGAAAUAAGAAGCUCAAAGCAGAAAUUUUCAACACAUA